GUGACCAUAAUGUGGUGGUUUCUCUCCCUUGGGAGGUUUACCAAUUGGGGUUGGUGGCUUGUGUUCUGGGAGUGGUUUCUCUCCCUUGGGAGGUUUAGUGGGUGACUUGUGUUCUGGAGGUGGCUUCUCCACCGAAGGCUUGUGCUCCGGUGGUGGCUUUUUGGUUGGAGGGGGCUUGGGGUAAUCAGCAAGAGAUGGGGUGGUGAGAACCACCAGUCCAAGGAACAACACUAGCAAGUAUGUGGGAGACAUUUUUGAGUUUGGGCUGAUCAGAUGAUGCAAAACUAAAGCAUUACGUGACCUUUUAUAGCAAGUAGCUCCCAAUACCUACUUGACACGUGUUACUGUGACCCAUAAAUAUUAUGGGGUCUAUUUGUGCCCUACCGGGUUGAAAACUUGGACAAUUGGGCAAGGACCCGCCUGACUAUGGAGGACUACUGAGGUGUGAUCACAGCUUUAGGAUUUUUCUUCCUCUGCAGCCGUCUUGCCGUUGGCAUGAUUUUCUUAAUCUCAAAUAAAGGCAUAGUUAUAGAGUUGUUUAAUCUCUAAAUGGGAUUUUAUAUAUCUUCAGAUAGCCAUUAAUACAUUUGAUGAAGAAAGAAAGACAAGUGCAUACAACAUGUAUACGACUAGCUUUCAUGGAGUUCAUUUAUGAUCAGUUUUCCUGUACAUGUAAACCAAGAUCAUAUAUGUUUUUGUUCCACAACAAUUUUGGAAUCUUGUUUAUCCGUUUUUAUCAUUAUAAUGUCACAUAGGCUGCCAACUUGGGCGCUAAAUUAAAGAUCCAGUUGGGCAAGUUCGUUUCAGAAUUUCAAUGGUGGAUUCAGGAAUUGUUUUAUAAGAUAUGCAAAAUAGUAGAGGGAUGAAUAGUGUUUCAUUAAGAAAAGAGCCCUGUAAAAAUAUUGUUUAAAGGUGCCAUAGAAACUAUAAUCAAUAAAUAACUUUUUUUCCCCAUGGGUGGUGUUUCUUGUGGGGAUCAGUGACUGGUUUGAGUCAACGCCGUGUCUCUUUAGUCCAGAAAUCAACUAUUUUAUGCAUUGAAUACAUCAACAAAGAAAAUAUGAAAGCCAAAUGACACCUCCCCCGCAAAAACUAAACCCUGGUUGCUAACUUUCUAUGUUUCAGUUCCAUUCACACAAGAAUAUUAGUUCAAGUUUGAGAAAAAUGGCGACUUACCUAGUGAUAACUCGGUCUUGGUUUGCGAUUUGACUUUAACGUCAUGGGUUGAAGCCUCCUACAAUCAUCGUGUAUGCUAGUUCAAAGCUCGUGGAAGAAGUUAUACAGGGAGGGAGAAACCUCCACAGCAAGCUCCAAAAGAGAAUUAUCACAUUGAAAGCUCCAGUUGAACACUGGGUGAAAGCCAUAACAAGAUUGGUUUUCUAUCGCUCUUUUAAGUAAUGGAAGAUUAUUAUCUCUGCUUGUCACUACAACCGUGCAUGCUGCUAGAUCUUUCUAGACACUUCAAACAGUGAAACCAAGUAUGAUUCUUUUUCUCUUGAGUGGGUCCACUUGCAUGCCAAUGAACGAGUUGAAAAGUUGGACAAUUGGCCACAGCGCGCACUUACCUUCUGGAACCGAAGGUCAGUGAAGUGGGGUUCCUUUUGGCCCCUUGUGUUUCUGUUCCAACCUACUCCAGGAACCGAAGUUCAGUGAAGUGGGGCUACUUUUGGCCUCUUGUGUUUCUGUUCCAACCAAACAAAAAUGGGAGGGAAAAAUAGCAUUAUGCUUGUGCUAAAGAUCAACGCAUGAUAGCUGAAUAAGGGAGAAAAAGGCAUUGCUAUCUCAAUUUCAUAAACUUGAUAAGUAGUGACAUUAAUAGUCUUCCUCAUAGAUGGAUACAUGGUUUUAUUUUAUUUAUUUAUUUUUAUUUUUUUGUUUUAUGUCAAUGCUAAUGAAUGAAGUGCAUUAGCUUGUUUUGUGACUAGAACUACAAAUGUCCAAAUUGGAGCUUCUCCAAUAUAUUUCUCAGUGAGUUAUUGAUUAGAACUCUUGGAUUGAGUUCCAAGAUUUGAAUCAGACCCCUCUAGCAGCUUCAGGGGUACGUAGCAACCUAUAGCAUAUUAAUGAAGACUUAGGAUUUAGACUUAGGAAUACAAAUUAAUAUGUACCUCAUGCUCUGACUAGCUUCCCUGCGUAUGCACAAAAUGGAGAUGACUCCCAAAAAAAUAGCAGAAUCGCCUUAGUAUGUUUUUGUGGUUAAGAUGAUUCUCCACUUUAUAUAUCCACAUUGGUUCAUUAUGCAAAUUAAUCAACUAAGCUAUUUUUAUUUUUUCUUAAAUGUGAAAUAGGAGCUCCAAAUUAACCUAACCAUUGGCCUGAUUGAAUUGAUUUCACUUGCAUAAUGUUAUAGUAGAAGUCCGUAAUUUGAAUUUUAUUUUUGCAAAAGGUAACGUAAAUGAAGCAUUGUAAUUAAAUUUAUUUGUAAUUACAAACUAAUUUUAUUUUAUUAAGAAUUAAUUUAAUUACUCAUUUAAAAUAAAAAUCAGUUAUACUUUUACCAAGAUGAUAAUAUUCAUAUUUUUCUAGUUAACAUAUAUAAAAUAGUACACUUUUUCAUAUAAAAAAAUAAUUUAUGAUUUAUUAUAAUGUUACUAUUCACAUUUUACUAAAUUGAUGGUACAUGAUAGUGAGAGAAGGGGGUGUCACACUCAGCUAAAGUUCUUUUCAAAAUAUUGCAUGGUGUUUAAUUUUAUGUGUCGGCGCGCGUGUGAAUGGAACCUGCAAAAGUCCAAAUUGGCGUUUCUCCAUUUUCCACAUAGGAUGGUGACGUUAAUAGACAAAGAUACAAUAUCUGUAGACAUUGCUUAAAAAUCGAUGUGAAGUAUUAGAAAUUACAGGGCACUGUACUGGGGGAGCGGCUGCCCCGCCAAAGGAGGAAGAAUGUAGCAAUUUCUUCUGUUAGCCAGGCCUUAGGAUUUAUGCAUGGGAUGCCUAAUAACAAACAGAGAAAAUAUACUUUUGGGGAAGGUAUCCAACAACAGACACCAUCAUUCAGAUGGUGGGAAGGUAUCCAACAGAUGCCAUCAUUCAGAUGGUAACAUAUAUAUACAUUUAUUAGUGAGUUUUUUUAAUACCUAUAAAAAAAAAUAUACACUUUGAUAUUGUGGCUGAAUCCAUUACAUACUCAACUAACCUUGCUCAUUAGGGAUUUGACUUAACAAGGGCAACGUUGCAGUACAAGCUCAAAACUUUAUGCAGGUGACAUUACAUUUGGUAAAGAAGAGGAAAAUAACGAAAGCCAUCCAUAAAAGCAAAAUUCCACAUGGGAUGAAAUUCACAAGCUUCAUUUACGAUAGAGUCGCAUCCAGGCAAUUAAUUCCACAUUAGACCGCCUGUUGACAUGUGUACCAAUCUUUUUUCAAAAAAUAUUUAUAAAUAAUUGAUACUCACAAAAAUAAUUUAAUAUUUAUAAAGGAUAAAAAAAUAUUUUCAAAUCUAUAACAAUUUAUAAAAUAUUAAUAAAAAAUUAUCUCUUAAACUUAGUAUAGUUUUAUCAGAUUAAACUUUUAUUUUGAACAAAUAAUUUUAAUCUAAGUUUUAAAUUCUAAAAUUAUUUCCUUAAAAUAAAAUUUUAAAAUUCAACACUUCAAUUGAAAUUGUCUUUUUAAAAAAUAUCUUCUUAUUUUAAUCCUUAUAAACUAUAGUUGAUUGAAAAUACUAUUGAAGUUCUCUCUUAAAAAAAAGUCUUAUUUUAAUCUUCAUAAAUUGCCCUUGAUUUGAAAAUAAAUUUUCAGUUAUCAUAUUUUAAAUAAUAUCUAUAUUUAAAAUACUCUAUUUAAAAAAAAAUGAACUAAUUUUAAUUAUAUUAUAUUUUAUUUUUUUAUAUAUUUUUAAUGAUAAACCAAACAUAGAAAAUCAUUUUUCUAAAUAUUUUAAAAUUUCUAAGCAACCAAACAUAAUCUUCAAAAUAAAAGGAAAAUAAGGAGGGACAUUUGAGAAAUGGCGAUUAAAAAAAAGUGUACAAAAGCUCAAUUAAUUUUCUUCUAGUCUUUUAUAUAAAAAAGUAAAGGAAUUGAAAAGUAUUGAUAUGUAAAUUAAUAUUUGGAUUUUAAUAGUAUUUUAUUUGUCUUUCUCUAUCUCAUGUAAAAGAGAAUUUAAGAUAUUUCCUAAAGCAAAGCAUUAGUUAUCUGCAAUCAGUGGUGAUCAUGCCCCAUGUCAAUUUCGGACCCAUAUCUUAAAACUGUAUAAUUUGCAUUCAAACAUUACUGAUUUCUCAGAUGUUUCAUACUCCACAGAAGAGCAUUGUUUGUGAAAGCAUGCAUUUAUGUUGGAUUUUGGAUGAUGUGGGAACUGGGGCAAGGAUCAUAUGGAAGAGUGGUCGAUUUUGUUCUGUACUUUAACAUUUGAAAUAGGAGAAGCUCGGGCAUUUGUGGGGCUUAAUUGAUUUUGAAGCCUGAAAUUGCGUUUCUGUCAUUUUGUAAAAAAUAUGGCAGAUUCCAUGCUCUCAUAUGUUUGGUCUGUGGCCAUGUAUAGAUGCCCCUUAGUGACCAGUUUGUAACUGUCAAUCAUAGUGUUUUGACUCUGGCUCAACAACAUCAGCCAUUGACGGAUUUUCAUACUUGCAAAUCAAAUAGUCUUCUUCCUCCCUUAGGAAUUUCGGUUUAAAUGUUAUUAAGCAUACAUUUGGCUGACAAUUAUUAACCACUUCAUGAUAUGGUUUCUUACCCUUAAUCAAUGGUUUCUAAGUGAAUAUAUGCAGAAGGAAAUCUGAACUGUAGACAGCAGUAUUGAUAACUCUCAAUAUUCUUUAUAUAAGAGAAUAAACAACGUCAUAGUGAUCGUCGCCUACAAGAAAGGUACAUUUCCCAACAAGAUGUAGUUGUGACUGGUACAUGGACGCAAUUAACUCGUACAAAAGAAUAAGACCAGUGCACGGCAGCUCUUAUUUUACAUGCUAAUUAUGCUAACCAAAGUCACUCAGUUGGGAUGGGAGGGAGAUGGAGGUUUGUGCGGUGGCUUGUGGGGCGGAGUUGGUGGCUUCUUUUCAGGAGCUUGUGGCUUUUUCGGAGCUGAAGGAGGCUCAAUCUUAUGAGGCGGCUUGUACGAGUCUUCUUUACUCUCGACAGGAGGGUGGCCAGGGUUGUGACCAUAAUGUGGUGGCUUCUCUCCCUUAGGUGGCUUGCCAACUGGGGUUGGUGGCUUGUGUUCAGGAAGUGGUUUCUCUCCCUUGGGAGGUUUACCAAUUGGGGUUGGUGGCUUGUGUUCUGGGAGUGGUUUCUCUCCCUUGGGAGGUUUAGUGGGUGACUUGUGUUCUGGAGGUGGCUUCUCCACCGGAGGCUUGUGCUCCGGUGGUGGCUUCUCCACCGGAGGCUUGUGCUCCGGUGGUGGCUUCUUGAUUGGAGGGGGCUUGGGGUAAUCAGCAAGAGAUGGGAUGGUGAGAACCACCACUCCAAGGAACAACACUAGCAAGUAUGUGGGAGACAUUUCUGAGUUUGAGCUGAUCAGAUGAUGCAAAACUAGAAGAAUUACGGGACCUUUUAUAGCAAGUAUCUCCCAAUACCCACAUGACACGUGUUACUAUGACCAUAAAUAUUAUAGGGUCCAUUUGUGCCCUACCGGGUUGAAAACUUGGACGCUUGGCCGAGGACACACCUGACUAUGGAGGACUAUUGACGUGUGAUCACAGCUUUUGGAUUUUUCUUCCUGUGCAGCUGUCUAGCGGUUGGCAUUAUUUUCUUAAUCUUAAAUAAAGGCAUAGUUAUAGAGUUGUUUAAUCUCUAAAUGGGAUUUUAUAUAUCUUCAGAUAGCCAUUAAUAUAUUUGAUGAAGAAAGACAAGUGCAUACAACAUGUAUACGGCUUGCUUCAAUCGAGUACAUUUAUGAUCAGUUUUCCUGUGCAAGUAAACCAGUUUUUUGUUCCACAACUAUUUUGGAAUCUUGUUUAUCAGUUUCUAUCAUUAUAAUGUCACAUAGGCUGCAAACUUGGGCACCCAAAGAUCUAGGUGGGCAAAUUUGUUUCAGACUUUCAAUGGUGGAUUCAGUAAUUGUUAAAAGGUGUUUCUUCAUUAAGGAAAGAGUCCGGUAAAAAUAUUGUUAAAAGGUGUCAUAGAAACUAUAAUAAAUAAAUAACUUCUUUUCCCCAUGGGUGGUGUUUCUUCUGGGGAUCAGUGACUGGUUAGGGUCACCCAAAAUGAGUCCAGAUUAAAAUUGGUUCGAGUCAAAGCAGUCUCUUUUGUCCAGAAAUCAACUAUUUUGCGCAUUGAAUGAAUCGAUAAAGAAAAAAUGAAAGCCAAAUCACACCUCCCCUGCAAAACCUAAACCCCGGUUGCUAACUUUCUAUGUUUCAGUCCUAUUCAUAUAGGAAUAUUGGUUCAAGUUUGAGAAAAAUGGCAACUUACCUAGGGUUUACUUGGUUUUGGUUUGCGACUAUUUACGCAACCAACCAUGAGUUUGACUUUAACGUCAUGGGUUGAAGCCUCCUACAAUCAUGUAUGAUAGUUCAAAGCUCGUGGAAGAAAUUAUACAGGAAGGAAGAAACCUCCAAAGCUAGCUCCAAAAGAGAAUUAUCACAUCGAUAGCUCCAGAGAUUCCCAAGGGAACUGAAUCAAAGACAAGUUCCUCACUUUUUCUUCUUUUGAGGCCAAAUAUGAACCAAGGAUCACACGACCUCAUUCAACUUCAUAAGUUUGAUUUCAUGCAGUUGAACACUGGGUGAAGGCCAUGACAAGAAUUGAUUAAAAAAUUCUACCACUCUUUUAAGUAAUGGAAGAUUAUUAUCUCUGAUUGGCACCACAACAGCACAUGCUGCUAGAUCUUUCUAGACACUCCAUGCAAUGAAAGCACAAUGGAUCUUGUAAUGAUAGAAACUAAGCCAUGCUACAGUACUAGAUGAGGGGGUAAAACUAGUAGACAUCUUUCUAGACACUCCAUGCAAUGAAAGCACAAUGGAUCUUGUAAUGAUAGAAACUAAGCCAUGCUACAGUACUAGAUGAGGUGGUAAAACUAGUAGACAUGGCUGGCAGUUGAUUACUACUCAAAAAGUACUCUUUUAUAGCUUGAAACUAACUGUUUUAAACACUUUUGAGUAGUAGUUAAUACCUUUUAACUUAAUUGGCACAUUAAGGAACCUAGCAAGGGUUACUAAUCAACAUUUGGCAAGUUUUGAUGUUUUUGGUAGCUAUUUGAUCAUUGAAACAAGCCAAGAAUGAGGGGGAAUUUUGUGAAGUCCAUGGCAAUGCAAGUUAAAGCUCAAAUACAUGAAGAAUCCAAGCUUUGGAGCACUUCAUAGCCCUUUGCCAAGCCAAUCAAAGAUGCAAGGAAGAAAACCAAAGGAAGAAAUCCAACAAUCAGCAUUUUGGCAUGGCUAUGUGAAAUUUCGCACACCAUGCGAAACCACAAGAGGCAGCCAAAGAAUUUCGCAUGGUAUGCGAAAUCUUCUUGUGCACUGACUCUGUUAGAUUUUUAUCUUCAGAUAUUUUGUGUAAUUUCCUAGUUUCUCCUUGUAACCAACUUAGAUAUUUUCUUUUAUAUCUUUUUUUAUAUUUUUUAGGUAACAUCAUAUAUAAGAGGAGAGACAUAAGGAGGAUAUGGAUGUUUUUCAUAGAACACUUGUAAAUUUUUGGUAGUAAGAAAUAUACAAAGCUUUUUGCUCUGCCUUACCUUCUCAAGGGAUGAGUGGCUAGGUUUUCUUGGAGUGAGGGAAGCUAGGUGAAGGACCUGAAUGCAAAGGUGGGAGUUUUCCUUACUUUAAAUGAAAGUAGUUGUUAAACAUUAAUGGUUUUUAUUUUAAGGUUUAGCUUUAAAUCCCUGAAAAACACCUUGAAUGGCCAAUACUUGGUAAGCUUUUUAGAUUCUAUGGAUGCUUAUUGCUAGAUCCAUGGAUGUCUAUUAGUUAUCAUUUACGAGCCAUUGGAAGGUGAUUCAAGGUGAGGGUCUUUAGUGUUUGAAGCCAUUAAUGGGAAGCAAUUACCAUUUUUUCAUGAAUCCUUUGGAUCAAAUCUUAAUUGCUAAAUAUAAAACCGGUUUCGAGAGAUAACCACCAUCCUUUAUGUUAUUAUCCCCAACGCGAGGAGAAGAUCCGAAAUCUUCCUUUUUAUCUAAGGAACCCGAUCCUAGUGACCUAAAGCUCCAAGAUACCUUUUCUUUGUAGUUAACUUCAUUUAUUGUUUUUGCUUAACUUAAAAUCAAUCUUUGCAACCACAAUUCCAUUUUCUUUAAAAGCUAAUUUUUAUAAGGAAAAACACCAUUUUAUUUCCUUCACUAAGUCAACUGUACGAUGAAAACCCAUCCCUGUGGACGAUCCUAGAGCCACUAUACUAUGUUAGCUAUGCUACCCUAGUGUGAGGUGAUUUAGGUUUUAUAAAUUUUUUUGAUAACACCCAUCUGAGCCAGAAUCAAAUGGCACGACUGAACCAGGGACGAAUCAAAUGACGCCGCUACCAAGGAUGGUGCCAAAGUACAUUGACAUGACUUUUGGUGAACACUUGUGAUCUUCACCACAAGUUUGGUGAUUUUUCUUUUACUAAUUUUUUUUAUUUUAGCUUAUCUUUUAUUUAGUUUUUAGUUAACCUUAAAUUUUUCCUAGAAUUGUAUUUCUUUUGUUUUCUUUGUUUUUGUUUCAGUGAUCUUUAGUUGUGCAUGCCCUAUUGGAUAAGAGAUAUUGAGGGAAUACUUGUGAAGAUUGAAACUCCUCGAGAAACUGAGUUAGAAGUGUGCUUGAACAUCAUGGAUGUUCCACCUGAAGACCAGAAUAGCCAACAUGGUUAAGAGGAUAAUUUCAACACAUACCGAUCCAUGAGGAACCGCAUACAUCCACCUUGUAUGAGUGCACCGUCAGGCAUAAUGCCUCCCACUGAGCAGCUAGUAAUCUGACCUCACAUUGUGCCACUCCUACCUACUUUCCAUGGGAUGGAGAGUGAGAAUCCCUACUCGCAUAUUAAGGAAUUCGAGGAGGUUUGUAAUACAUUCCAAGAAGGAGGAGCUUCAAUUGACUUGAUGAGGCUCAAGCUAUUUCCUUUCACUUUGAAGGAUAAGGCCAAGAUUUGGCUUAAUUCUUUAAGGCCAAGAAGUAUCCAAACUUGGAUUGAUUUGUAAGCCGAGUUUCUUAAGAAGUUCUUCCCUACCCAUAGGACCAAUGGUUUGAAAAGGCAAAAUUUGAACUUCUCAGUUAAAGAGAAUGAGAAAUUCUAUGAGUGUUGGGAGAGCUACAUGGAAGCUAUUAACGUUUGUCCUCACCAUGGCUUUGACACAUGGCUCUUAGUGAGCUAUUUUUACAAUGGUAUGUCUUCUUCAAUGAAGCAACUCCUAGAAACUAUGUGUGGAGGAGACUUCAUGAGUAAGAAUCCGGAGGAAGCCAUGGACUUUUUGAGUUAUGUGGCUGAAGUUUCAAGAGGAUGGGAUGAACCAAAUGCUAGAGAGGUGGGAAGAAUGAAGUCUCAACCUAAUGCUAAGGGUGAGAUGUAUGUUUUGAAUGAAGACAUUGACAUGAAAGCAAAGGUUGCAGCUAUGGCAAGGAGAUUGGAAGAGCUAGAAAUGAAGAACAUACAAAAAGUGCAAGCCAUUUCUGAGACAUCAAUGAAAGCUAUGCCUUGUUCCAUUUGUCAAUCUUAUAAGCACCUAGUGGAGGAGUGUCCUACAAUUCCAGCAGUGAGAGAGAUGUUUGGUGAUCAAGCAAAUGUUAUUGAUCAAUUCAAGCCUAAUAACAAUGCUUCAUAUGGCAACACCUACAAUUCAAAUUGGAGGAACCAUUCAAAUUUCUCUUGGAAACGAAAGCCACCUCAAUACACACAACCUACUCAAGCACCUUAGCAAUCCUCGAAUCUUGAACAAGCUAUUGUGAACCUUAGCAAGGUUGUGGGAGACUUUGUGGGAGAUCAGAAGUCCAUCAAUGCUCAACUGAAUCGGAGAAUUGACAGUGUGGAGAGUACAUUGAACAAAAGGAUGGAUGAGAUGUAAAAUGAUCUGUCUCAAAAGAUAGACAAUGUCCAAUACGUAAUCUCAAGGCUUACCAACCUCAACACAGUGUAAGAGAAAGGAAAGUUUCCUUCUCAACCUCAUCAAAAUCCUAAGGGUAUCCAUGAAGUAGAGGCUCAAGAGGGAGAAUCUUCAAAGGUGAGGGAAGUCAAAGUAGUUAUCACCUUGAAGAGUGGUAAAGAGGUUGAUCAACCCACAUCCAAGCCAAAGCAUAAUGAAGAGAGUGUAGCAGAAAAAGAAAAGAGAGGAAAAUAAAGGAAUUAGAAUAGAGAAAAAUACAAAGAAAGAUGACCAUGAGUCUAGUGUGGAUGAAGAGCCCGAGAGGAUGGUGAUCAAGGAAGAUAUGAUGAAGAAACACAUGCCUCCACCUUUCCCCUAAGCUUUGCAUGACAAAAAAAGAACCAAUAAUACAUCAGAAAAUUUUGAAGUAUUGAGGCAAGUGAAGGUCAAUAUCCCUUUGCUAGACAUGAUCAAACAAGUGUCGACAUAUGAAAAAUUCUUGAAGGACUUGUGCACUGUAAAGAGAGGGUUGAAUGUGAACAAGAAAGCUUUAUUGACCGAGCAAGUGAGUUCCAUCAUACAGUGCAAGUCCUAGUGAAGUACAAAGAUCCGGGUUGCCGUACCAUCUCAGUGAGUAUUGGAAGGACUUGUGUGGAGAAAGCUUUGUUGGACUUGGGAGCAAGUGUGAAUUUGCUAUCCUACUCUGUCUAUAAGCAGUUGGGAUUUGGAGAGUUGAAGCCAAUAUCCAUCACUCUAUCUCUAGCGGAUAGAUCAAUGAAGAUUCCAAGAGGGAUGAUCGAAGAUGUCCUGGUUCAAGUUAACAAAUUCUACUAUCCAGUAGAUUUUGUUGUUCUUGAUAUGGAUCCGGUUGUCAAAUGAACUAAUUAUGUUCCUAUCAUACUUGGAAGACCCUUCCUAGCUACAUCAAAUGCAAUCAUCAAUUGUAGGAAUGGAGUCAUGCAACUCACAUUUGUCAACAUGACAUUAGAGCUCAACAUCUUCCAUUUGUACAAGAAGCAUAUCCAUCAGGAGGAAAAAGAAGGUCUAGAGGAAGUGUGAAUGAUUGACACUUUAGUGGAAGAGCAUUGUGAUCGAGAAUGCAAAAAGAUUUAGUUGAGAAUUUUGGGGAUCUUGAUGAAAGGUUACUUGAACCCUCAGAUUUGCUUGCUACCCUACUCCAUUGGAAGAGAAGAGAAGAAAUUCUACCCUUAUUCAAUGAGGAGGAGACGCAAAGAGCUGCAAAGGAGAAACCCCCAAAACUUAUUCUUAAGCCACUACCCACAGAGUUGAAGUAUGUAUACUUGGAAGAAGACAAGAAGUGCCCUAUUGUUAUAUCUUCAACUCUUACCAUUCAUCAGGAGGAUUGUCUACUUGAAGUCCUUAGAAGAUGUAAGAAGACAAUAAGGUGGCUAAUUUCUUAUUUGAAAGGGAUCAGCCCUUUAGUCUGCACCCAUCAUAUUUACAUGGAGGAUGAAGCUAAGCUAAUUCAUCAACCUCAGAGAAGGUUGAACCCUCACAUGCAAGAGGUGGUUCGAGCUGAAGUUCUGAAGCUACUUCAGACCAGUAUUAUUUACCCCAUAUCAAAUAGCCCAUGGGUGAGUCCUACUCAAGUUGCGCCAAAGAAGUCUGGGAUCAUGGUGGUGCAAAAUGAUAAGGGAGAAGAUGUCUCUACACGCCUCACUACAGGUUGGAGGGUGUGUAUCAAUUACAGGAGGUUGAAUGCAGUGAUAAGAAAGGACCAUUUCUCAUUGCCCUUUAUUGAUCAGGUGCUUGAGAGGGUCUCUGGGCUUUUUUUUUUAUUGUUUCUUGGAUGGCUACUCCGGGUACUUUCAGAUAGAAAUUGAUGUUGAAAACCAAGAUAAGACCAUUUUCACAUGCCCAUUUGGAACCUAUGCAUAAAGGAGAAUGCCUUUCGGCUUAUGCAAUGCACCCGCAACUUUCCAAAGAUGCAUGUUAAGCAUUUUCAGUGAUAUGGUGGAGCGUAUUAUGGAAGUCUUUAUGGAUGAUAUCACCAUUUAUGGAAGUGCAUUUGAUGAAUGCUUGGUCAACUUAGAAGCUGUUCUGAACCGAUACAUUGAGAAAGACUUAGUGCUUAACUGGGAGAAGUGCCAUUUCAUGGUACACCAAGGGAUUGUCCUUGGGCACAUUAUCUCCAAGCAAGGCAUUGAAGUUGACAAAGCAAAGGUUGAACUCAUUGUUAAGUUGCCAUCCUCAACAAAUGUCAAAGGAGUAAGGCAAUUCUUUGGCCAUGUCGGGUUCUAUAGGAGGUUUAUCAAGGAUUUCUCUAAGCUUGCAAGGCCUCUUUGUGAAAUAUUGGUGAAUGAUGUUAAAUUCAUAUGGGAUGAUGGAUUUGAAAGGAGUUUUGAAGAAUUGAAGCUAUUUUUGACAACCGUACCAAUAGUGAGGGCUCCCAACUGGCAACUGCCCUUUGAAGUAAUGUGUGAUGUCAAUGAUUUUGCUAUAGGAUUUUUUCUUGGGCAAAGAGAAAAUGGAAAACCUUAUGUGAUCUACUAUGCGAGGAAGGCAUUGAAUGAGGCACAAAGAAACUACACAACCACCGAGAAAGAAUUGUUAGCUGUAGUUUUUGCCUUGGAUAAGUUUCGCGCUUACUUGGUGGGGUCCUUCAUCAUGGUUUUUACUGAUCACUUUGCUUUGAAGUAUCUGUUGACUAAGCAAGAUGCUAAAGCAAGGCUGAUUAGAUGGAUUCUCUUACUUCAAGAGUUCAAUCUCCAUAUCAAAGAUAAGAAAGGAGUGGAGAAUGUGGUAGCAGACCACAUUUCAAGGCUAGCUAUCGCACAUAAUUCCCAUGCUUUGCCCAUUAAUGACGAUUUUCUAGAGGGGUCUCUCAUGUUGGUGGAAGUUGUCCCUUGGUACGCUCACAUUGCUAACUACCUGGUCACGGGAAAAGUUCCAAGUGAGUGGAAAGCACAAGAUAAGAAGCACUUCUUUGCAAAAAUUCAUGCCUACUAUUGGGAAGAGCCAUUUCUAUUCAAGUAUUGUAUGGAUCAGAUAAUAAGGAAGUGCGUUCCUGAAGAAGAGCAACAGGGGAUCCUUAGUCAUUACCAUGAAAAUGCAUGUGGAGGCCACUUUGCUUAUCAAAAGACAGCCAUGAGGGUGUUGCAAUCGGGUUUCUGUUGGCCAUCACUUUUCAAAGAUGCCCACACCAUGUGCAAGAGUUGUGAUCGAUGCCAGAGGCUUGGGAAGUUGACACGCAGGAACAUGAUGCCUUUGAACCCCACUUUAAUAGUUGAUAUUUUUUAUGUUUGGGGCACUAACUUCAUGGGACCUUUCCCUAUGUCUUUUGGCUACUCUUACAUCUUGGUAGGAGUAGAUUAUGUUUCUAAGUGGGUUGAGGCAGUCCCAUGCAAACACAAUGACCAUAGAGUGGUUCUCAAGUUUCUUAAAGAGAAUAUCUUCUCAAGAUUUGGGGUGCCCAAAGCCAUAAUUAGUGAUGGGGGUACUCAUUUUUGCAACAAGCCUUUUGAAACUCUCCUAGCCAAGUAUGGGGUGAAGCAUAAGGUAGCUACACCUUACCACCCUCAAACUCAUGGACAAGUUGAGUUAGCAAACAGGGAGAUUAAAAACAUAUUGAUGAAGGUGGUGAACACAAACAGAAAAGAUUGGUCAGUCAAGCUUCUUAAUUCACUAUGGGCAUAUAGAACAACUUACAAGACCAUUCUCGGGAUGUCUCCUUAUCGCCUAGUUUAUGGCAAAGCAUGCCAUCUCCCUGUGGAAUUGGAAUACAAAGCUUGGUGGGCAAUCAAGAAGCUCAACAUGGAUUUGAGCAGAGCUGGGUUGAAGAGGUUCUUAGACCUUAAUGAGAUGGAGAAAUUGAGAAAUGAUGCCUACAUCAAUUCAAAAAUUGCAAAAGAAAAAUUGAAGAGGUGGCAUGAUCAGUUGAUUUCCCGCAAGGAUUUUCAAAAUGGACAAAGAGUCUUACUUUAUGACUCUAAACUCCACAUCUUUCCGGGCAAGCUGAAAUCAAGGUGGAUAGGUCAUUUUACCAUUCACCAAGUGCAUUCAAAUGGAGUAGUGGAACUACUCAACUCCAACAAUAUCGAGAACUUCAAAGUGAAUGGCCACCGUCUCAAGCCCUUUGUGGAGUCUUUUUCUCACAACAAGGAGAAAUUCAUCCUCCUUGAUCCACAUCAAGCUUAACAAGACCAAUUUUCUUGAUGGACUUAGUCUUUCUAAAGACUAUCGAGUCCAUAACUUUUUGUUUUAUUUUUUAUUUGAGAUUUUUUCGGUAUUGUUACUUGUUUUGUUUUUUAUUUUUCGUUUUAAUUUUAUUUGGUUUGAUUUAACUUAGGUUUUUGAUGAUCAAUUACAGGGGGGAUUUCAAAUAGAGGAAAAACCAAGAUAAUUCGCACACCCUACGAAAAUUUCGCAAGGCAUGCGAAAUUUAUGGCUUAUUUUGCAUGGGGUGAAAAUUUUCGUACAUCUUACGAACCAAUUUCGAACACUUUGCGAAAAUAAACCAACCCUGCGAAAUCAUUUCGAUUACUCUACGAAAUUUUCGUAGAGCAUGCGAAAAAUUUAGCACACCAAACACCAUUUCGCAUACUAUGCAAAAACCUAAGGGGUCUGCGAAACCAUUUCGCACCUCCAAAUCCAUUUCGCACAUUGUGCGAAAACCAAGAGGCGCUGUGCGAAAAUGAAAAGUCGCCCUGUCAUCCCUUUUUAAACCCCUCGAGCCCUAAAAUCUCCAUUUCGCAAGCACCCCUGUCCUUGCGAAUCCCUCAUUUUCCUCUACUACCUUGCAACCUCGUCCCUUUCCAUUUGAUAUUGUGCCCCGCGCACAUCUCAUUUCAGAGACUCGCACUCCGCGCCCCCUCAAAGCAUGGACUCGAGACCCACCUUCCAUUUCCGACGUGGCACGGACCCAAGGAGCCCUUUCUGCCCCUUCACUAAGACACACACCAAGGCAGAAAGCCUCCUUUGCUCAAGUGCCUAGUGAUUCUCCAUCUUAGGCCUCAGAGGCCUCGGAGGCCCCGUGGAUUCCACCUUCCGAGGGUAGAGCAGCCAUUGGUCCUUCCUCUUCUACUCCUUAGCGUAGAUACGAGACGAGGAGACCACCUACUACACAAGGGGCGACUACUUCGAGCCUUGAGAAUUCAGUACGAUGCCUUCCUGCCAAGAGGGUCAAGACUUCAGGUCCAAGUGAGUCAUCCAGAGCUUCAUAGCCUAAGCCUCCUGUAGAUUCCAAGGUUCCUACUGACAUAUCACCGGAGUCUAUUAUCAGAAGCCCGAUGCUCAUAGCACCGCCCAUUGAGGGCAACUCAGAUUAUAGAGCGAGAUCUUUCCACUUGGAGCUAUAUUUUGAUCAGGAGGCCAUACGACAGCAGCCUGAGCUCCGAGACUCUUAUGGCUUACUGCAGAGGUACCAUCUUGAGGAACUUAUGACUCCUCGUGAGUUUUUUUAUCCCAGAGUAGCACUAAACUUUUACCAGUCCAUGACUACUCGUGGCGUCCCGAGUCCUACCACGAUUCACUUCACCAUUGAUAGACGUCAUGGUAUCCUCAAGGCCAGACAUAUUACAGAGGCUCUACAAAUUCCUUUCGAGCUAGAGGAUCCAUCUGUUUUUCGCUAAUGGUCCCCAGUAUCUCAGAGGGACAUGGUCCGUAUUUUAUCUAGGGGAACAUCUACAGAUUCGAUCUUUCUACGGAAGGAGCUUCGACCUGGGAUGCUCCUCUUAGAUGUGGUGCUAUGCUCCAACCUCUUUCCCUUACAACAUUCGGUACAUAGGUGAUGAGCUAUUUUGGACGCUUUAUUCCGUAUAUCAGAGGGCUUCUACUUUGGCCCGCACCACUUGAUCAUGGUCUCCCUCAUCCACUUUGAGGAGAAGGUUCAUAGGAAGAAGCUUCAGAGGGUGGACACCAUUCCAUUACUAUUCCUGAGGUUACUUUGCCAGGUCUUGGAGUACAUGGGCUUUCCUACUGAGCCUCGGCUCGAGCUUUGCCGCCUUUGUCGAGAGUGAUCCACUCUCGACAAAUGGAAUUAGUUGGCGGGCUAUUCUGCACCUCCAGGAGCCCCUCCCAUGGUAGCACCUCCAAUGUCCCCACAGGCAAAGUAGGGCGAGCUCCCGGCAAAGACUGUACCACCAAUGCCCACACUUGAGGCUAUUUCUGCUGCUCUGCCUAUGACUCCUACUGUUCCACCAGUUGGUCCUUUUACAUCCGAGCCUUCCAUCACCAUCUCGGCUUCGGAGUUUCGCGCCCUUGUGCAUACCUUUCAGACACUCACCACCACACAUACUCCUCUCUUCUAGCAAAUGGUUGAGAUGUGUGCCCAUCAGGACCGGAAGACUACUAUACUCUGCCAAAUUCAGCAGCACCUAAGACUUUUGCCUCAACCUCAACCUAACCAUCCCAUAUCAUCAGAGCCUCUAGCUCCAACUGAGGAUACUAUUCCACCUGAGAACACUACCACAGUAGAGGUCCGGUUUCCACCACCUUAAGAGGCCACCACAGCUACAUCAGAGGAUGUGUCAUCUCCACUUGAGGCUCCCACUACUUGAUCAUAGGACAUAUCUUUAUCUUAUUGUAUUUACAUAUUAUAUUACUAGAGAUUUGUCCUUGUUUUGAUACUUUAUAUUCUGGGAUUGGAUGUAUUGCCUGAUGAUAUCUCAAUUGUACUUUCUCAUAUUAAUAUAUAGACAUCAAUUUUUUUUAGUAUACUUAGCAUUUUUCUAUUUCCUCUACUCAUUACUCUUUUGUUUUUUUUUACUCAUGUGGUUUCUCUUAUACAACUCAGACUCCAUUUCACUCAGGAGGUACCACUUCCUCCCUUUAUUUUCAAUUGCUCUUGAAAUAUUGAGUGCAAUGUUGAUCUUGGUUGGGGGGAGAGUUGAGGAAGGAAGUUUUGUUAAUAAUGCUAGGUUAAUUUGUUAAUUUAGUUACUUUCUGCUUAAUUUUAAAAGUUUUCACUCUACUUUCCAUGGUUAUUAAGGAAAAAUUCUCAAAAUGAAAUGGGAGAAAUCGAAUUCUUGCAUUUUUACUUGAAUCUUAGAAUUUGUAUCAUGCUUAUUAAAGUUGAUGAAUUAUUGAAACUCCUAUUGAAUUCAACCUUAUUUUUUCCACUUUAAUCUUACCACACACGGUGCACAUUAGGUUCCAGUUAUAAGAUAAAAAACUAUCUCACCCCCUAAACUUAGAAAAAUUUACACUUGGUACCUUUGACAUCGUUUUAAUAGUGUUGGGACACCUUAUAAAAGGCCAAUGAGCCUUUAAAAAAAAAAAAAAAAAAAAAAAGAGAAAGAACAAAGUAUUGCACUUGCCUUGAAACCUGAGCAAGAUCCGAGGGGUAUACAGUGAAAGUCUUUAAAACCUGGUGCCCUAAGCCUUGAUUGGUUGGGAGUCACCGACCUCAAUGCUCGUUAUAAGGGUGAAUAGGUGGAGUUUAACAUAUUGUAGGUGCUUGGGUAUUGAAUUUCAAUCUCAAAAGUCCGGGAAAAAAUCUAAGGAGUUAGUGGUCAAAAGAUCCUUAAAGCUUGAUGCCCUAAACCUUGAUUGGUUGAGAGUCAUUGAUGGAUCCCCGCUACAUGGACAUUUUAGAAAACAAUACCUUUAGCAUUGCACGCCUACAAUGAAAAAAAAAUGUGAAAUAAAAGAGGUGCGUUCUUAGCCUAUUGGAGGUUGGUCAGUUUGCUAAAGUUUGAGAAAUCUAGGUUGGGGGGAGAGAAUAGUCCGACAUACUAUAAUAAAAAACUAAUAACCUUAACACUUAGAUUUUUGUGGAAGAGUAAGGAUUGGACCUUUAGGGGUGGAAAUUCUUUUGAUGCUUAAAUUUGCAUAAUGCCUACUCUUUAUAAAUUAUGAUUAGGCAAGAGAUUUGAUGACUCUUGUUCAAAGUUGGGUUUUUCCUCUUUGAUGUUCCAUGAGAGAGUAUAAUCCUCAUCAUGCCACUUGAAAUCUUUUUGGAGUGAUUAACAUGAUUUUGUAAAUUAUUUUACUGUCUAUUUUUCUUUAUCUCUCUUUUAUUGCUAAUGGACUAGCAAUAUGUCAGUUGGGGGGAGUGAUUACUACUCAAAAAGUACUCUUUUAUAGCUUGAAACUAACUGUUUUAAACACUUUUGAGUAGGUGUUAAUACAUUUUAACUCAAUUGGCACAUUAAGGAACCUAACAAGGGUUACUAAUAAGUUUUUGGCAAGUUUUGGUGUUUUUGGUAGCUAUUUGAUCAUUGAAACAAGCCAAGAAUGAGGGAGAAUUUUGUGAAGUCCAUAGCAAUGCAAGUUAAAGCUCAAAUACAUGAAGAAUCCAAGCUUUGAAGCACUUCAUAGCCCUUUGCGAAGCCAAUCAGAGAUGCAAGGAAGAAAACCAGAGGAAAAAAUCCAACAACCAGCAUUUUCGCAUGGCUGUGCGAAAUUUUGCACACCAUGCGAAACCACAAGAAGUAGCCAAAGAAUUUUGCACACCAUGCGAAAUUUCGCAUGGUAUACGAAAUCUUCCUAUGCACCAACUCCGUUAUAUUUUUAUCUUCAGAUAUUUUGUGUAAUUUCCUAGUUUCUCCUUGUAACCAACCUAGAUAUUUUCUUUUAUAUCUUUUUUUUAUAUUUUUUAGGUAACAUCAUAUAUAGGGGGAGAGACAUAAGGAGGAUAUGGAUGUUUUUCAUAAAACACUUUUAAUUUUCUGGUAGUAAGAAAUAUACAAAGUUUUUUGCUCUGCCUUACCUUCUCAUUUUGUUUUCACCUAUCUUUCUAGCCAAACAACCUCUGAGAAUGAUUUCUCAGGGGAUGAGUAGUUAGGUUUUACGUUUCUUGGAGUGAGAGAAGCUAGGUGAAAGACCCAAAUGCUAAGGUGGGAGUUGUCCUUGCUUUAAAUGAAAGUAGUUGUUAAAUAUUAAUGGUUUUUAUUUUAAGGUUUAGCUUUAAAUCCCUUAAAAACACCUUGAAUGGCCAAUACUUGGUAAGCUUUUCGGAUUCUAUGGAUGCUUAUUGCUAGAUCCAUGGAUGUCAUUAGUUAUCAUUUAUGAGCCAUUGGAAGGUGGUUCAAGAUGAGAGUCUUUAGUGUUUGAAGCCAUUAAUGGGAAACAAUUACCAUUUUUUCAUGAAUCCUUUGGAUAAAAUCUUAAUUGCUAAAUAUAAAACUGGUUCGGGAGAUAACCAUCCUUUAUGUUAUUAUGCCCAAUGCAAGGAGAAGAUUUCGAAUCUUCUCAUUUGUCUAAGGAACCCGAUCCUAGUGACCUAAAGCUCCUAGAGACCUUUUCUUUGUAGUUAACUUCAUUUAUUGUUUUUGCUUAACUUAAAAUCAAUCUUUGCAACCACAAUUCCAUUUUCUUUAAAAGCUAAUUUUUAUAAGGAAAAGCACCAUUUUAUUUCCUUCACUAAGUCAACUGUAUGAUGAAAACCCAUCCCUGUGGACGAUCUUAGAGCCACUAUACUAUGUUAUCUAUGCUAUCCUAGUGUGAGGUGAUUUAGGUUUUAUAAAUUUUGUUGAUAACACCCGUCUGAGCCAGAAUCAAAUGGAACCACUGAACCAGGGACAAAUCAACAGCCUAUAUGGGAGGGACACAAGUUUAAUUGAUUUGCAUUUCAGCGUUAUAGAUAAGUAUGUUUUGGAAGAUUUGUUCUGGAAAUACUGCACCAAGUACGAUUCUUUUUCUCUUGAGUGAGUCCAUUUGCAUGCCAAUUAACGAGUUGAAAAGUAGGAGCACCUACCUCGUGCUCAUGGAACCGAAUGUCAGUGAAGUGGGGCUCCUUUUAGCCUCUUGUGUUUCUGUUCCAACCAAGGCGGCGUAGGGAAAAACAACAAUAUGUCUGUGCUAAAUAUCAACGCAUGAUAGAUGUUUUUUUUUUUUUUUUUGGUAUGUCAAGGCUAACGAAUGAAAUGCAUUAGCUUGUUUUGUGACUAUAACUGCAAAUGUCCAAAUUGGAGUAUCUCCAUUUCUCACUUCGGAUGGUUAACUUUAUAAACAAGAUAUAGGAAACAUGUGAACAUCUUGAGGAACAAUUCAAAUUAUUCAUUAGAAGUCCUGGGUUAAGUUCCAAGAUUUAAAUCAGACCCUUCUAGCAGCUUCAAGGGUACUUAGCAACCUAUAACAUAUUAAUGAAGAUUUAGGAUUUAGACUCCGGAAUACAAAUAAAUAUGUAUCUCAUGCUUUGACUAGCUUCCCUACAUAUGCAUAAAAUGGAGAUGACCCAAAAAAAAUAGCAGAAUCUAGCUUCCCUACAUAUGCACAAAAUGGAGAUGACCCAAAAAAUAGCAUAAUCGCCUUAGUUUCUGUGGUUAAGGUGAUUCUCCGCUUAAUAUCCACAUUGACUCAUUAUGCAAAAUCAACUGAGCUAAUUUUAUUUAUUUAUUUAAUGUCAAAUAGGAACUCCUAAUUAACUGAUUACUGUCGAAAAGUGCUAUUUUGUAGACCUAAUUAUAAGGGUUUUAAGCACCUUUGAGUAGUAAUCAUAUUCAUUUAACCUAAUUAAUUCAUUAAGCUCCUUAGUAAUUAGUUCUAACCAUUUUUAGUGGCAAGUUUACAUGUUUUUCAUCAGCUUAUGAACCAAUUCAAGCAUGCCAAUUGAUGGAGGAGCUACUUGGGCGAGUUAAGCAAGGAUUUUGGACGUUUACAGGCUUGAAUUUCAAGUGGAAACACGAGCACAAGCAAUGGGAACACCAUUUCGCAAGGGGAGGCAAUUCACCUUGCCAAAUGACCAAUUUCGCAAGGGGAUUUUCCUCAUGGUGCAAAAUUUGGUCAUUUCGCACCAUGAAGAAACCACCUUGCAAAAUUUCGCAAGGUGGAUUUAGGCACCUUGCGAAAUGCCAAAUUUCACAAGGUGGCUUUUCACCUUGCGAAAUUUGGACCUUUCAUCUUCCCCCCUUGCGAAAUGCCUUUGAAAUCCCCUGUUUUGAGACGCUGUUGAUGAUAUUCCACUGCCGGUUCUCCAAGAUAUUUUGCUUGACUUUUAGCUUUAUAAAUACCUAUUUUACCCUUGUAAUCAACCAAUGAAAAGGUUGCUUUUGUAAUAGCUCUUGUAAUUUAGCUUUUUAUUGUCUUUAAAUAGAGGUGAAGAGCCUCAGACACGAUCAUCUUGUAACCUGUAACUUUAUAAGUUAUAAGAGCACUUUUGUUCAUACGCUUCUUUUCUCUUUUCUUUCUCAUUUUCUUAGUAGCCAAACAUCCUUGGAGGAUGAAAUCCCCAAGGAUGAGAGGCUAAAACCUUUUAGUUUCUUGAAGUAAUGGAUGCCAUGUGAAGCUCCCGUGUCAGGAUGGAGAUUUCCAAGCCAUAAAUGUAAGUAGCUGAGCGUCAUAAAUGUUUUCAUUCAAAGUAAAGCUUUUAAUCCCUCUGACUUGCUUUGAAUGGCCAAUACUUGAUAACCUUUUGGUCUCAAUGGAUUCUUAUUGUUAGAUCCACUGACGUUCAUUAGUUAUCUCCUACGAGCCAUUGUAUUGCAAGUCGAGGAGAUGACCUAUACCAAUAAAAGAGCAUUUAUGAGGUUCAACUACCCUUUUUGUAAGUUUUCAAGGACUAAAACUCAGUUGUUAAACUCAUACCGGUUCGAGAAGUAAGCAUCACCUUAGUUGCUUCCCCAACUCGAGGUGAAAAGUCCCAAAAUCUCCAUUUUUACACAGUGAGUUAAGCAUGGCUAUCCAAAGCUUUAAGAAACUUCUUUUUCCAUCUUUUAACCUAUUUUCAUGUUAGUUUAGUUUACAACACCUUCAUCUUUUUAUGUUUUCAUCUUAACCUAAUUUUUAUUAAGAAAAGUUCACUCCAUCCUCCGAACUUCACCAGUUAAAGUAAAAACCCUUCCCAGUGUUCGAUCCUAGAGCCACUAUGCUAUAGUAGCUUUGCUACUUUAGUGUAAGGACCUUAGGUAUAAAUUUUGUUGAUACCCUUACAUGCCAAGCUACCAAGAGUCGGGUUAUCAUUAACCUAACCAUUGGCCUGUGUAAAUUGAUUUCACAUGCACAAUGUUGUAGUAGAAGUCCAUAUUUUGAAUUUUAUUUUUGUAAAGGUAAGGAAAAUGAAGCAUUGUGUAAUUAUAAAAAUAACUUCAUUGGAAUUCACAAGGUUCACCCAAAAUGGAGCUACAUCUGUAUUCUAUCCUACAGUAGACUAUAUAGAUUGUACAAUAGUAAAUUGCAAAUACAAUUAAUAAGUCUUGUGCUUCCUUACUAAUAAUCCUUUGACAUGAACAUUGCAGCACUAAGGUCCUCUUGGGAAGACACCUUGCACCCAUGAGAGCACUAAGAGGAAGCAAGGCAGAGUCAUGGGUGCAAUGUCAUGACUUGUUGUUGCACCAAGAGAGGCUUGGUGAUGCCAUGGUGUUGCAGUAGCAAGAAUGUUGCCUUGGCAGGGACACGAUCUAGGGAUAGAUGCCAAGAAAGGCUUAGCACUCACAUGAGUUGCACAAAGAUGAAUGUAAUAGAGCAUCAGAGAGACGUCUUGGCAAGUAAAUGAAUGGAUCCAAGAGACAACAACAUGAGGAGUUUCAAAUGGAUAAGGAAUGACUCAAAGACAUUUGAAAGCUACAAGUUGGAUUCUAAUUACGAUUGCAAUUUGAGUUUGAGUAGGAGUUUAGAUUUUGAUUGUAAUUGUAGUAUGAGUUGGACUAGGAUUGCUUAUCCUUAGUCAAUAUAGGAGCGGUUCGUGUCACCCUAUGAAAAGAGUUUGAGUAGGGACUAGGAUUGCUUACUCCUAGUCAAAUAUGGAGUAGGUGGUGCCACACCUAUAAAAAAAAGGGACAACAUGAGAGAGAGAGAGAGAGAGAAAGAGAGAGUGAAUUCACUAAAGAUAUUGUGGGAGUUUUGCUUUGUUACGUCUUGUAUUAUUACUUAGAAUAGGAAUAAAAUACAAGUUGGGGCUAGAGCCCCAUAAUUAAUCUCGUGUGCCUUUGUGGUUAUUCUUUAUUUGUCAUCUCGUGUGGAUUGGAUUAGGUUGACUUAGAGGGCUUCUAAGCACCACCUUUGUGGGUUAUUAUUUAUUUUCCAUCUCUUGUGGAUUAGAUUAGGUUGACUUAGAGGGCUUCUGAGCACCACCUUUGUGGGUUAUUAUUUAUUUUCCAUCUAUUGUGGAUUAGAUUAGGUUGACUUAGAGGGCUUUUAAGCACCACAUUUGUGGGUUAUUCUUUAUUUUCCAUAUCGUGUGGGUUGGAUUAGGUUGACAAGGAGAAAAAUUAUGUGGGAAAUUUGUGUUGGGACACUUACCAUAACCAAGUAAAAUCUACCAAGUCCUUUGUAAUAUCUUCAACAAAUAUUUUAGACUAGUUCUUUCAGUUAGUGUAAAGGAGGAAGAAGUGGUAUUGAUUCUAGAAAUAGGGUGUGUGUAUUUGAACUACAAUCCUUAUGAUCCUUAGGUCUCUAAACCUUCGUGAUGGGCUCCCUGACAUUUCAUAGGUUGUGCUACACAUGCGUUUGAAAUUUAGAGUGCGUUUGACAGUGAUUCCGGGAAGUGUUUUUGGCCUUUCUUACACUUGAAAAUUUUUAUUUUUCAAGUAUUAGAAAUGCUACAAACACUUUUGAAAAUUACUGUCAAACACACUCUUAGGAGCGCACAUAUAUAGUAGAAAACUAGAAAUUGUGGUUUUUUUAGGAUUUACUGUAAUGUCAUUAGGAGGGUAGUAAGUUGAAAUUGAGUAUGAACAAAUAUUUCUUUCUUUGGGAUGUUCUUCUAGUAGGUGCUGAUGAAACUGUUCUUUCUACUGCCAAUGUCACAUAUCAGCCAGAAAUUGAAAAUUUCAGUCAAGGUGUCCUCUGUUUUAGUGGUGAGGAAAGCUAGAAAUUUUAAGGUGAAGUUUUGUUAAAAACCUUAAGUAGCUGGGAUAUCAGGCCUGUUUUGCUUGAAAAAAAAAGUUGCAAGAUAACUCAUAUGCCAAACAGGUUCUGAUAUUGUGAAUCUAUCGGCAGACAUCAGUAAUCUCAUCUUCUGAGAUGGAUGUUGGGGGUGCAUGUGGUGGUGGAGGGGCAAGGUUUCAUUUGGUUUAUUUUGUUGAUGGAUAUUGUCUAGCCACCUGCGCCAAGUUUGAGGGGUGGUGGGUUGUGAUGACCCUACAAUUACUAUUAAUUUCUUCAUCUUUUACCGAUUAAAGUGUCCGAACAGUCGAAGUUACCCUUAUGCAUGUCAACUUGAUCACUUACCUCUUCAAUGGAGUUUAUGCUGGUUCAUUUAGGAACUGAUUUUUAUUGUUAUGUAUUAUAUGCUGAUGUUUAGGUCUCUCCAUCAUCACUAUAUACAAAAAUUCUAGGUUGAUACUAUAGGUUGAGAUUUAUUUUUUAAAUAAAAAAUAAUAAAAAUAAAAAUUAUGGUGAUGUUUAGUUGUUUUAUGGAAAAUUUUAACAAGUAAAAGUUAUUUUUGGGCAAGUUUUCAAACAAAAAGAAAAGUAAAAGUUGUUUUGACAAAAACAUAUAGAAAAAAAAAUCAUAGAAAAUAAAUAAUUUCCCCAUAUUCUAACUUUUUUGAAUUUUUCUCAAUGGGCAAAGGAAUAUCAAAUCAAGUUUGAGUAGGAUUUCUUAAUUUUUAAAAUAACUUACAAUUAAAAAAUUUUGGUGUUUUCAUUUUUGGACAAUUUUUUAUUAAGCAAAUGGACUCUGAGUCAUGCAAGAGAUAUGGUUCAUUAACCGGUCGAACAAUUUUUUUAAAUUAAUUUAAAAGUCAAAUACAUAAUCAAUUUCACAAAAUUUAUAAACAAAAAUAGGUUUAGAGAAGAUCUACACAUAAUUUUACUUUUCUAAUUUUAUUUUAUUUUAUUUUUUGUUGGAAAAUAGUCUUCAAAUCAUGUAAGAUUUAAUAGGUUAAAUUUGUUAACAAUAAAUUUUAAAUUAUAAAAUAUAAUCUGGAACUCAAAAAUCAAUUCAAGUAAUGCUAAAAAAAAAUCAAAUUUGGUAUAGAAUGACUUUGUAAAUUUUUUUACAAAACAAAUGAAUUUUAAAUCAAGUGAGAUUUAAUGCAUUAGAUUUUUAUCAAAUAUAGUAAUUUUAAAAAUAAAUUUGGAACUCAACAAUAGACACAAUAAAUACCAAAAAAUAAUGAACCAAAAUUGGUUUGGAAUAACUCCACAACCUUUUUUUUUUUUUUUUGGUGCACACGAAUUUUCUUACUAGGUAUAUUGCUUUCAAAUUGAGAAAGAUUUACCAUUUAGAUUUUUUUUUAAUGAGUUUAAUGGUAUUUUAAAAUAAUUCAAAAUUUAAAAAAUUGACUAAUUAAUAUUAUAAAUUGAUAAACCAAGACUAUUUCAAAAUGCAUUGGGGGCUAAGGGGGUUGAAAAUAGGGACAAUGGGAUGGGUUUGGGACAUGACACUCAUAUCUCAUUUCCAUUCCAAUUACACAGUUAUCUCCCAUCCUUAUCCCAAACUUGUGUUGGAGCAAGUUGAUUUGUUCCCAUCUUUGUUGACGAAAUGACUAAUAACCUCAUCCCCUCCUUAUCUUAGAUGUACAUUUUGUCAAAUUUGAUCAGGUAUGAUUGAUCCAAGCCCUAACCCUAAUUGGUAAUGAGUGAAUACUACACCUAAUUGCAUUCUUCUUUCAUUGCAAAAUAAUGAGAUUAUAAUAAUCUAGCAAAUAAGAAAAAAUAGUAUGGAAGUUCAAAUUAACACCAUAACUAUCAAUAAUUUUAAGCUUAUAGAUGACUUAAAUGAUUAAAAACUAAUGCAAAAUCCUAAAAAAAAUAAAAAUCAUAUAAAGAAUUCACAAGAGAACAGAAUGAACAAAAACCAAAUAUGAACAUGGGUCAACAUUAGUUAUGGAUUUGGAUUCCUUUCAAGGCCAAUCUUUGAACCAAGACUUCAUCAAAUCAACUACUUCAAAGGCUUUUGUGUUCUUCUUGGGUUGUGCUCUCAAACAAAGACUUCGAGGUGAUGUUCUAGAUGAUUGAAUUACACAUAUUUAGGGUGGAGAGAUUGGAGAAGCUUGAAGAUGCCAACGAUGGGUACAAUUGAGUGGUCAAUAAGAACAAUGUAGCCUAUGACUAGUUUGAUGUCAUGGUACAAGAGUUUUAGGCAUUGAGGUUAAAGCAAGAGCAACAUGGAAUUGAUUUCGGAGUCUUUCAGUUAGUGUAAAGGAGGAAGAAGUGGUGUUGAUUCUAGAAAUAGGGUUUUAAGUGGUGCGUGAUUACUACUCAAAAAGUGCUAUUUGAUAGCCUUUAAUUAAUCCUUUUUAACACUUUUGAGUAGUAGUUUAGGCCUUUUAACUCAAUUGGCAUGUUAAGGAUCCUUUAAAGCAAUUUUGAUCACUUUGUGCAAGUUUUGGUGUUUUUGUUAGUAUUUUGAUCACCAAAGCAAGUCAAGAAUGAGGAGAACUAUGAGGAAUCAUGGGCAAAGCUUAGAAUUCAAUUGCCAAGAGUGAAUCCGGAUUGCAAGGAGAAAAAGCAAAGAGAAUCUGUCAUGAAGCCUAUUCUUGAUGACAGUCGUAGCAGCCACUUUUGGAGCACUUUCUGAAGUCCAAAUGAUGCAAGCUAUAUACCAUUUCAAAGAUCAGGAAGUCAACAAUCCAAUGCUUCAAACGGUGCGCGAUUCGGAGUUGAAACGAAGAAGUUGCAGCCAUUACAAGCCAGUCACUCUAAAGUGUUGCGGAAUCAGCCUUUUGUUGCGAGAAUUUCGCAGCACUUUUGUACAGUAAGGUGUUUCUCCUUCUGACGAUGCACGAACCAUGCCGCGAGAGGGAAGCUAGGAACUUCAAGAUGGAAGCCAACUUUGCAGCCUGGUGAAGAUAGCUUGGUCUUGCGAAAUAAUUUCGCAGCCCUCUUGGGUGUCUGCGAAAUUUCGCAGGCACCACUUUUUUCCUGCGAAAUGGCUCCGGAAGCCUCCCGAAGCUUGCUACCGACAUUGGGAGAUAUUUUCCAUUAGAUUUUUGUUGUCUAAAUUCCAAAAUACUCCUUGUAAACCACCAAUUACAUGAUUCCUUAGUUUUUAAGUUAGUAAAAAGACCAAAUAUCUAUGUAAUAAUUAGUUUUAUAUUAGUUUGCUAUAAAUACCUCUCGGGAGCAUGUUCUCAGAGAGGAGUUCCUUCUGUAACCAUUUUGGUAAGCAAGUAAAGUCUUUUCUUUCUACUGCCUUACCUUCUCACUUUGUAUUUUCAUUUUAUUUCUAAGUUAUGAAUUCUCUGAGGAGCUUUCCCCAGAGAAUGAGUAACUAAACCUCCAAUUCCUUGGAGCUAAGGUUGCCGGGGAAGGUUCCAAGUGCAAGAAUGCAAAGCUCUGUGGUUUUAGCUAGUAAUGAAGAGGAAGUGAAAUCCUUUAGUGAUUUCAAUGUUUUUAGUUAACUUAAAACACCUUGGAGUCACCUGGGCCAACACUUGGUAAGGCAAGUGAUUUCCAACCGUGGAAAUGCACUAGUUUACCCCUUGCGAGCCUCUGGUAGGUGACUUCAAGGUAGGAUUUUCUGGAAUUACCAACACUUGGUAAGCUUUUGGACUCCUAGGAGACAUCCAUUAGUUAUCUCUUGCGAGUUUGUGAAGGGGAAUCCAAGGUUAAAGAUCACCUUGAAUGGUAAGUGCUCGUGAGAGGCAUGAACCAUUGCAAGUUGUAUCAGUGAGAGAAUUAAAGUGAAAUCUAAUUGAAGGAGUCUCUGUACAUCACCGGUUAGAGAAUUGACUAUAAGUUGAAUCUCUAAUGCGAGGAAAUGAACCAUCUGACCGGAGCUAUGUCUUUUGCAUGAGGAACCACCCCAGUGAACCUAAAUCUCCAAGGAAUGCUUUUCUUCCUAAAUUAUUCCAAACUUCUGUUAAGUUAGUUAGUUUAAGUCUAAACCUUUACCAAUCAAACUUUGUGUUUUAUUUCUUAAGCUAACCGUGAAAUGAAACAAAACCAAUUCACUUGGAAUUGGUAUCCUUGAUUGCUUGCAAAUCAUUCCCAGUGAACGAUCCUUAGAGCCACUAUACUAUAGUAGCUUUGUAUUUGCUACCCUAGUGUAUGGUGUUAUAGGUAUAAAUUUUGUUGAUCACUUCCUCAAUCAAGGAACACCAGCUGAACACAAAUCAGCUGAGACACCAAUUGGGCAUGAGUCAAAUGGCGCCGUUGCCGGGGAAUGAGUGUCAAGAUCAUUGUGAUACCAUUUUUGAGCACUUGUGAUUUUCAUCACAAGUUGGUAAAGUUUCUUUCACUUUACUAAUUUUCAUUCUCUCUUUGUUUAUUUACAAUCUAAGUUUAUCUUUUUAAAAUUUAGUCUAGUUUAAUUUUGCUAUUGUAGCCUUGUUUCUCUUGUUGUCCUCUGUUCUUGUUGUCCUCUGUUUUCAUUUUAGUUGCAGCUGAAUACUAGUUGUGUAUGCCAAAGUGGAUACGAGACAUUGGAGGUAGGCUUAUUAAGUGUGAUACACCUCAGAGAGGAGAAUUGGAAGUAAUCUUGAAUAUCAUGGAGGCUGCACCUGAAGAUCAGCAUAGUCACCAAGGUCGUCAAGACAAUCUCAAUGAAUUCAGAUCAAUGAGGGACCGUAUGCAUCCACCUCGUAUGAGUGCACCAUCAUGUAUAGUGCCCCCUACAGAGCAACUAGUGAUCAGACCAUAUCUUGUUCCACUUCUACCAACUUUCCAUGGGAUGGAAAGUGAGAAUCCGUAUGCACACAUCAAGGAAUUUGAAGAUGUUUGUAAUACAUUCCAAGAGGGAGGAGCUUCAAUUGAUUUGAUGAGGCUUAAGUUAUUUCCUUUUAAUUUAAAGGAUAAGGCCAAAAUUUGGCUUAAUUCUUUAAGGCCAAGGAGUAUCCGCUCUUGGACUGAUUUACAAGCUGAAUUCCUCAAGAAAUUUUUUCCUACUCAUAGAACAAAUGGCUUGAAAAGGCAAAUUUCAAACUUCUCAGCUAAAGAGAAUGAGAAAUUCUAUGAGUGUUGGGAAAGAUACAUGGAAGCUAUAAAUGCUUGUCCUCACCAUGGCUUUGAUACUUGGCUACUGGUGAGUUAUUUUUAUGAUGGUAUGUCCUCCUCAAUGAAGCAACUCCUCGAGAAAAUGUGUGGAGAAGAUUUCAUGAGCAAAAAUCCAGAGGAAGCUAUGGAUUUCUUGAGCUAUGUAGCUGAUGUUUCAAGGGGAUGGGAUGAACCAACUAAAGGAGAAGUGGGAAAGAUGAAGUCUCAGUUGAAUGCUUACAAUGCAAAGGCUGGGAUGUAUACUUUAAAAGAGGAUGAUGACAUGAAAGCAAAGUUGGCAGCUAUGACAAGAAGAUUGGAGGAGCUGGAGCUGAAAAGAAUGCAUGAAGUGCAAGCUGUUGCUGAAGCACCAGUGCAAGUGAAGUUGUGUCCCAAUUGUCAAUCGUUUGAACAUUUGGUAGAGGAAUGCCCUGCAAUUUCAGCUGAAAGGGAAAUGUAUAGAGAUCAAGCAAAUGUUGUUGGACAAUUCAGGCCCAAUAACAAUGCUCCUUAUGGAAAUACCUACAAUUCAAGUUGGAGGAAUCAUCCAAAUUUUUCAUGGAAGGCCAGAGCAACUCAAUACCAACAGCCGGAUCCACCAUCUCAACAAUCUUCAAGUAUUGAACAAAUAAUAGCUAAUCUCAGCAAGGUAGUGGGAGAUUUUGUGGGAAAGCAAGAAGCCACCAAUGCUCGAGUGGAUCAAAGAAUGGACAGAGUGGAUCAAAGAAUGGACAGAAUGGAGAGUAUGUUGAACAAAAGAAUGGAUGGAAUGCAAAAUGAUAUGAAUCAAAAAUUUGAUAACAUCCAAUAUUCAAUUUCAAGGCUUACAAAUUUGAAUACACUGCAAGAAAAGGGAAGAUUUCCUUCUCAACCUAACCAAAAUCCCAAAGGUGUCCAUGAAGUGGAAAGCCAUGAGGGAGAAUCAUCACAGGUGAAAGAUGUGAAAGCUUUGAUCACUCUAAGGAGUGGUAAGAAAAUUGAGCAGCCAACACCCAAGCCACAUGUUGAGAAAGAAGAAGAGAUGAAGAAAGGGAAGGAAAUGGAAGAUAAAGGCAGUGAGAUCAGUGAAGAAAAGAAGGACUCUGAUGCAACAAUGAAAGUAAUUCCAGAGAAGGAGCUUCUGAAGGAAGAAAUGCUGAAGAAAUCAACUUUUCCACCUUUUCCUCAAGCAUUACAGGGGAAAAAGGGGGUUAGAAAUGCAGCUGAAAUCCUAGAAGUAUUGAGGCAAGUGAAAGUUAAUAUUCCACUGCUGGAUAUGAUCAAACAAGUUCCAACGUAUGCAAAAUUCCUAAAGGACUUGUGUACUAUCAAAAGAGGGUUGACUGUAAACAAGAAAGCCUUCUUGACUGAGCAAGUAAGUGCAAUCUUACAGUGUAAGUCUCCUUUGAAGUACAAAGACCCUGGAAGUCCUACCAUUUCAGUCAUGAUUGGAGGAAAGGUAGUGGAGAAAGCCUUGCUAGACUUGGGAGCAAGUGUGAAUUUGCUUCCAUAUUCUGUCUACAAGCAACUGGGACUUGGAGAGUUGAAGCCAACAGCAAUCACUUUGUCUCUGGCAGAUAGAUCAGUGAAAAUUCCAAGAGGGGUAAUUGAGGAUGUAUUGGUUCAAGUAGAUAAUUUCUACUAUCCUGUAGAUUUUGUUGUUCUUGAUACAGAUCCUACUGUAAAGGAAGCUAAUUUAGUUCCUAUCAUCCUUGGAAGGCCAUUUCUUGCAACUUCAAAUGCAAUCAUCAACUGUAGAAAUGGGCUUAUGCAACUCACUUUUGGUAACAUGACACUGGAUCUAAAUAUUUUCUAUAUGUCUAAAAAGCAAAUCACUCCAGAAGAAGAAGAGGGUCCAGAAGAGCUAUGUAUUAUUGAUACUUUGGUGGAGGAGCACUGCAAUCAACAUAUGCAAGAUAAGUUGAAUGAAAGUUUUGUGGAUAUUGAGGAAGGUUUUUCUGAAUCUCCUAAUGGGCUUGCUACUCUACAAAGUUGGAGAAAGAUAGAAGGAAUUCUACCUUUGUUCAAUGAAGAAGAGGAGGCAGCUGUUGAAAAAGAAAUUCCAAAACUCAAUCUGAAGCCUUUACCUAUGGAGCUGAAAUAUACAUAUCUUGAAGAAAAUAAUCAAUGUCCUGUCGUAAUAUCUUCAUCUCAAACCAAGUCUCAAGUGAAGGAUGCAAGCUUCAAAUGGGAUCCGGGCAAACUGAAUCAGGAAGGGCAAAAAGUUUUGAUGUAUGACACAAGACUCCAUAUCUUUCCUGGGAAGCUCAAGUCAAGGUGGAUUGGUCCAUUUGUUAUUCACCGAGUAUAUUCCAAUGGAGUGGUGGACUUAUUGAAUUCCAAUGGCAAGGACAGCUUUAGAGUCAAUGGAUAUCGUCUUAAGCCGUUCAUGGAGUCAUUCAAAUCAGAAAAGGAGGCAAUCAACCUCCUUGAACCUCAAAAAGCCUAAGUGAAAUGGGUUUGCUGGACGUGGUUUUACCACAGUCCAAAAAUUUUUGUAAAUUUUGUAAAUUUUCAAGUUGUUUCCAUGCUUUUAAUCUUAGUUUUUGAUUUUAAAUCAUGUUUUUAGGUGUGUUUUAAUCGUUUUAUAUGAUCCCAGGCGGAAGAAAUUUCAAGGGGAUUGAAAAGAAAAAAAUCGGGUCGAAAUUGGAGCCGAAACAGAGCAAAAACAGGGGAAAAACAGAGCUCUGCGAAAUUUCGCAGGGUGAAGGAAACUUCUGCGAAAUUGGCAUUUUGCUGCCAAACCAUUCCGCAGCACUGUAGAAGCCUCUGCGAGUGUAUUUCGCAAUUGCGAAAGUGGAUUUGGCACACGAGUGCCACUUCGCAGCACAGUGACAUCAAUUUCGCAGCUGCGAAACUCACUGCGAAGUUGCUGCGAAAAUGGCAAGUUGCUGCGAAAUUGGCGUUUUGUUGCGAAACGUAAUCUGACCCCUGGGCUUCCGUUUUUCCUAUUUAUACCUGUCAAAAGUGCUGCGAAAAAGGUUUCAAAAAUUAGAGCACCAUUCUCGCAGCCCUUUCAUCUUCUUCGCCAAGCCACGCCGUCCGUUUCUCCGGUCGUCUUCUCCGUUUAGCAGCGCCGGCCAAAGAUCGAUAGCCCAAAAAUGGCACGAACGCGAGGGGCAAAGUCUUCAUCCCCUUCGAACCGCAAAAGGAGUCUGCGAAAGGAGCCAAGUUCAGGCUCUGUUCCAGAACCUGCUCCAAAGCCUUCGCCGUCGAGACCACAACCUUCUCCAGUGAAGCCGGCGCCACCAAAGCCGCCGGCAAGGCGAUAUUUAACCAGGUCAGGUGGUCAGCCAUUGAAGAAGAAAGCCAGAGUUGAGAGCUCUGAACCAAUCGAUUUGACUGAGCAAUCCCCUGAGAAAUCACCAAAUCCUUCACCGGUACAAAUUCCAGUGCCAUCACCGGUUCCCUCGCCAAUUCCCUCACCAGAAGCAACUCCAAUUCCAUCGCCGGUACCAUCUCCGGCACCCCAAGAAAAAGCUCAGGAGCCUCAAGCGCCAAUUCCAGAGCCCCAAAUUGCAGCUGAAGCACCUCUGGAAGAAGUGAUCCGAAGGCCAAUGCUGCCUCAGCCCCCAAUCGAAGGAAACCUGGAUUGCCGAACUCGGGCAUUCCAUUCUGAGCUUUGCUUCGAUUUAACAGCAUUCAGAGUGAGGCCAGAGCUUGCCCAAUCCUUCCAACUGCUGAGGAGAUAUCAUAUGGAGCAUCUGCUAGCUCCAAGGGAUUUUUUCUAUCCCCGGGUAGUCACGGAUUUCUACCAAACCAUGACAACCAAAGAAGUAAGAAAUCCAACUCUGAUUCAUUUCAUAAUUGAUGGAAGGCAUGGUAUUUUGGGAGCAAGACAUAUUGCUGAAGCCCUGCAAAUUCCUUUUGAGCCAACUCAAUUCGACAAUUUUAAAGCUUGGACAAAUCCUACUGAGUUAGAGAUGGUUAGCACACUAACCAGAGGAGCUGCAAAUCGAUCGCAUUUGUUGAGGGGGGAGCUACCUCCAGUUAUGUUUUUGAUUGAUGCCUUUUUGAGGCAUAAUAUCUAUCCCCUGCAGCAUUGGACCCAAAGAAGGGGAAUUCUCCUAGAAGCCUUGUACAAAAUGUCUGAAGGAUUCUUCUUUGGGCCUCAUCAUCUGAUCAUGGCAGCCCUUCUAUACUUUGAGGAGAAGGUUCACAAGAAGAAGCUUCAAAGAGCAGAUUGCAUUCCACUCCUCUUCCCAAGGCUGCUAUGCCAAGUUUUGGAGCAUCUCGGAUACCCCUCUGAGCCUCAGCAGGAAAGAAAGAGAAUAUGCCGUGAGCCUUUUACCCUUGAUAAAUGGAAUAAUAUGACGGCCUACAAAAUUGAUCAGCCUGGGCAGCCUCAGCCAGCAGCAAGGAGAGUCUCCCCAAGACAUAUACCUGAAGGUAUAACACUUGCUACUCCUGCCAUCCCUCGAGCUCCACCAGCUGCACCUGCUCCAUCACAGCCAUCCACAUCAGCUGAGCCGAGGAUGGCCAUCCCUAUAUCCGAAUAUCGAGAGCUGUGCCGUGCAUUGGAGACUCUUACAGCUUCUCAGAGCAAUCUUGCUCAGGAGUUGGCAGCCAUUAAAGCAUGCCAGGAGCAGAUGUUAGCCUCUCAGACUCAACAAGCUGCCAUCCUAAGGCAGCUUCAAGUCCAUUUCGAUCUGCCACAAGCUGUAGAGCCCUCUAUUCCUACUCCACCAGAGCCACACUCUCAGCCUUCAGAGUCUCAUCCUCCAGAACCCGAAGCACCAGCUGAUCCACCUACUGAGGAGGCAGAUCCUUCUGCCUAGCACCAUCACCCCCCUCAUCAGACAUUAUAUAUAUAUUUGCUGUUUAUGUUUUUAUGCAUGUUUGUUUUGUUUUAGUUGAAAAGAAAUCCCAGUAUUUUGGUACUAUAUAUGGGAUUCCUUGUGUUACUUGUCUUUAGUAUUGUAAUCACAUGAACUCAAAGUAAUACAAGUUGACUAUUUCUUGUUAAAAGUUAGCAUUAAAGUUUCCUUAUUUCCUUUUCUCACAUAUUCUAUUCUUUUUGAAACAUGUGGUUUUCCCCAAUCAAUAUUCGAAUUUGAUAUCAGCAUGGAGGUACCACUUCCUCCCUUUUAUUACAGUCACUCAAAUCACAUUGAGGACAAUGCUCAGUUCGGUUGGGGGGUAUGAGGAAGGAAGUAUUCUAAACCUUUUUGGUAUUGCAAUUAUAUUGGUUAAUUAGUUGUAGAUUUUACUUUUUACUAGUGUUACUCUAUUCUCCAUGAAUUUUGAGGAAAAAUUUUCAAAUUAAACCAAGAGAAAUUGAACUGUUGUUUUUCACUUGACUUAGAGUAUGGAUUAUGCUUACUAAAGUGGUUCAAUUGUUGAAACUUCUACUGAAAUUGAAUUGAGUUCUUCCACUUUAAGCUAUCCACACACUGUGCACAUUAGUUUCCGAUUAUAAGAUGAAAAGCUAUUUCCCUCUUGACUUAGUAUAUUUUUGGGACUUGGUAUAUUUGACCUCAUUUGAUAAAAAUUGAAACACCCUGCAAAAGGCCAAUGAGCCUUUGAAAUAAAGAAAGUUGUUUGCUUGCCUUGAAACCCGAGCAAGGUCUGAGGGGUAUAUGGUGAAAAUCUUUAAAGCCUGGUGCCCUAAGCCUUAAUUGGUUGGGAGUCACCGACCUCAAUGCUCGUUACAAGGGUGAAUAGGUAGAGUUAGCAUAUGGUAGAUGCUUGGGUAUUAGAAAUUCAUUCUUAAAAGUCCGGGGAAAAAUCCGAGGAGUUAGUGGUUGAAAGAUCCUUAAAACUUGGUGCCCUAAACCUUAAUUGGUUGGGAGUCAUCGAUGGACCCCCAUUACAUGGACAAGUCAGAAAGAGUACCCCAUAAAGCUACCUUAAAAAAAAAAAAAAAAAAAAAAAAAAAAAAAAAGAUGAAAGUGUGUUCUUUUCUUAUUGAUUUUGGUCAGUUUGCUAAAGUGUUGAAAAGAGAUAGGUUGGGGGGUGAGAUUAGUAGCAUAUUAUUCUCGGAACCUAAGGAACCAAUACACAUAGAUUUUUGUGGAAGAUUGAAGUUUAGUUCUUAGAAAAUGAAAUGAUUUUAAAACUUCAGUUUGCAUAAUGCACUCCCUUGAUUGACAGUGUUUAGCAUAGGUGUUAUGACUCUUGUUGAGAUUUGGGUUUGUAUUUCUUUAAUGAUUCAUGUGAGAAAUAGAUCAUCAUGCCACUUGAGAAUUAUUUUCCUUUUAGCAUGAUGUUGUAAAUUUUAGAUUAGUUUGCUAUUUAUUUUUUAUUUUCUCUCCUAUAUUGCUAAGGGACUAGCAAUAUGUCGGUUGGGGGGAGUGAUUACUACUCAAAAAGUGCUAUUUGAUAGCCUUUAAUUAAUCCUUUUUAACACUUUUGAGUAGUAGUUUAGGCCUUUUAACUCAAUUGGCAUGUUAAGGAUCCUUUAAAGCAAUUUUGAUCACUUUGUGCAAGUUUUGGUGUUUUUGUUAGUAUUUUGAUCACCAAAGCAAGUCAAGAAUGAGGAGAACUAUGAGGAAUCAUGGGCAAAGCUUAGAAUUCAAUUGCCAAGAGUGAAUCCGGAUUGCAAGGAGAAAAAGCAAAGAGAAUCUGUCAUGAAGCCUAUUCUUGAUGACAGUCGUAGCAGCCACUUUUGGAGCACUUUCUGAAGUCCAAAUGAUGCAAGCUAUAUACCAUUUCAAAGCUCAGGAAGUCAACAAUCCAAUGCUUCAAACGGUGCGCGAUUCGGAGUUGAAACGAAGAAGUUGCAGCCAUUACAAGCCAGUCACUCUAAAGUGUUGCGGAAUCAGCCUUUUGUUGCGAGAAUUUCGCAGCACUUUUGUACAGUAAGGUGUUUCUCCUUCUGACGAUGCACGAACCAUGCCGCGAGAGGGAAGCUAGGAACUUCAAGAUGGAAGCCAACUUUGCAGCCUGGUGAAGAUAGCUUGGUCUUGCGAAAUAAUUUCGCAGCCCUCUUGGGUGUCUGCGAAAUUUCGCAGGCACCACUUUUUUCCUGCGAAAUGGCUCCGGAAGCCUCCCGAAGCUUGCUACCGACAUUGGGAGAUAUUUUCCAUUAGAUUUUUGUUGUCUAAAUUCCAAAAUACUCCUUGUAAACCACCAAUUACAUGAUUCCUUAGUUUUUAAGUUAGUAAAAAGACCAAAUAUCUAUGUAAUAAUUAGUUUUAUAUUAGUUUGCUAUAAAUACCUCUCGGGAGCAUGUUCUCAGAGAGGAGUUCCUUCUGUAACCAUUUUGGUAAGCAAGUAAAGUCUUUUCUUUCUACUGCCUUACCUUCUCACUUUGUAUUUUCAUUUUAUUUCUAAGUUAUGAAUUCUCUGAGGAGCUUUCCCCAGAGAAUGAGUAACUAAACCUCCAAUUCCUUGGAGCUAAGGUUGCCGGGGAAGGUUCCAAGUGCAAGAAUGCAAAGCUCUGUGGUUUUAGCUAGUAAUGAAGAGGAAGUGAAAUCCUUUAGUGAUUUCAAUGUUUUUAGUUAACUUAAAACACCUUGGAGUCACCUGGGCCAACACUUGGUAAGGCAAGUGAUUUCCAACCGUGGAAAUGCACUAGUUUACCCCUUGCGAGCCUCUGGUAGGUGACUUCAAGGUAGGAUUUUCUGGAAUUACCAACACUUGGUAAGCUUUUGGACUCCUAGGAGACAUCCAUUAGUUAUCUCUUGCGAGUUUGUGAAGGGGAAUCCAAGGUUAAAGAUCACCUUGAAUGGUAAGUGCUCGUGAGAGGCAUGAACCAUUGCAAGUUGUAUCAGUGAGAGAAUUAAAGUGAAAUCUAAUUGAAGGAGUCUCUGUACAUCACCGGUUAGAGAAUUGACUAUAAGUUGAAUCUCUAAUGCGAGGAAAUGAACCAUCUGACCGGAGCUAUGUCUUUUGCAUGAGGAACCACCCCAGUGAACCUAAAUCUCCAAGGAAUGCUUUUCUUCCUAAAUUAUUCCAAACUUCUGUUAAGUUAGUUAGUUUAAGUCUAAACCUUUACCAAUCAAACUUUGUGUUUUAUUCCUUAAGCUAACCGUGAAAUGAAACAAAACCAAUUCACUUGGAAUUGGUAUCCUUGAUUGCUUGCAAAUCAUUCCCAGUGAACGAUCCUUAGAGCCACUAUACUAUAGUAGCUUUGUAUUUGCUACCCUAGUGUAUGGUGUUAUAGGUAUAAAUUUUGUUGAUCACUUCCUCAAUCAAGGAACACCAGCUGAACACAAAUCAGCUGAGACACCAAUUGGGCAUGAGUCAGUGCGUUAGAGGAUCAAGAAGAAGAAAAAGAAGGAACUGUUGGAAUUAGUAUGAGUGUGAAGAGAAAAGUAUAUAAAUAAGGGGAAGUAAAAGCAAAGUUCAAAAAGCUAUAUUUUUUUAUUGUUGGUGUAUGGUUGCAUGAUUAUCCCUAUAAAUAAUAGGAGUUUUUUGGUAUUCUACUAGUAGUUGAAGCAUAAUUUCAUAAAUUAAUAUUUAGAGCGGGGUGGGGUGAGUUGUGACAAAAUUCAUACCCGUCCCAAACCUUGGUUCAGAUUUUUAAAAUAUUCUCAAACUUAUCAUAUACCCAACUUUUAUAUUUCAUACUUGUCCUAAUAGAGGCACGUUAGGCCGGGUUACUUGAGUAACCUACAUAAUUGUCAUCCCUAGUUGAAAUACACUUUUUGGCAGUGGCCACCAACUGAGCUAGAAGCUUGAUUGAUUGACCUACAAGAUUAGUUCUCAUCAUUUUAAAAAAAGUUCUGGCUUUGGUUGUGAGUGCAAUUGAAUCUAAACUGGCAUUUGCUUAAUGCAUCUACUUCAAUCCUAAACUUCUUACUUCUUAAGCCUCAAUUGUUGUUAGGAUUUUGGAAAACCCAUUUCCUUAAAUUGUAAAUUUAAGAUAAAAUAAAAUAAAAGUGAGACAUUUCUUGAUUGAAUAUUGUUAAAGGUCCCUUGGCAUUAAGACUUGGUUGAAGCCUUGGAAGAUUAGUGGAACUCUCAACAUGUGUUUGAAUCUUGAGGAGAGUGGAUGUAAGCCAAAAUUUUGUCAAACCAUUAUACAAAUUGAGUUUGAAUCCUCAUUUCUUGAUUUCUUAUUUAUUUGCUUUUUCUUAUUAUUACUUGAAUUGUCAUUUGCAUUCAUUAAUGUUAAAAUUGGUUAUAAUUAACCAACACUAAUUCUCUUUCCCCUUCCCUUUCUUGGGUGUAAACCUAGGUUGGAUUAACUAGAUAAAUCUAUUAAGAUGGUAAAAGAAUAAUUAUUCUUAACAUACAUAAGAUCAUCUUCAAUCAAAUGACUCAUUGGCUAAUAUGUUGAAUUUGCUUAUUACUUGCAACUCAAAAUUGUGUUCUAGUUGUGUCAAGUCCCCAGUGUAUGGACAUUAAAUUUGUAGUACGUGAUGAGUAAUUAGAUGGUCCAACUCCAAGAAAGUGAUUGAAAAGUAGUUCAAGAAAGGUGCAAAAGGGAAUUGUUUUGGUAUUUUCGUUUUUAUUCUUGAAGGUGGCAGAGCUAAAAUUUGAGAAAUCAAGCAAAACAUACUGAAAUUACAUUGAAAGAAAGAAGAUGGGAGUUAAUGUCUUGCAGUACAUGAUAAGGACUUCAUGCAUGUAGUGUGACCCAUGUCUUGGACUGAUGCCAACUCACGGUUACACUUAUACCCUUGGUUCUCUCUUUACUACCUUGGCUAACCUAGAUCAGGCUAUGAGAUAGGCUCCUCACCACACCAUUACUUGCCCAUUAAUUAGAGACAUUUUCAAGCAAUGAGGUAACAUGGUGACACCAAGAGGGUCUAUUCCUCGCCCGGAACAAGUCUAGACUUGGUCUCAAAAAAAUGGAGAAAAAUGAGGUGUCGUUAUGUAGAAAUACAACAACCAUGCCUUCCUCAUUACUUAGAUUCAGAAUGUGAAGGUGAAAUUGAGAAACAGAAACUCUUGAAACCAAAAUGAAAAUUGAUACUUUUACGAAGAAUUACAACAACAUUAGAGGAAGACUACAUUCUUCCUCUUUAUUCCUACAUUUCUACACUACUUCUACUCCACUCCAUAUUUCUACAUACAUCUUUAAUCAGUCUUCCCUCCUUUAUAUAGAGCCAUCUUCACACAAAUUUCGCAAGGUAGAAAAGAGGAAUGAAACUUGGAGCAAGGUUCGACUACUGGUUGUAGCUUGUCAAGGCUGGAAGUGAACUUUUCUUGGCUUUCUGGGCAUGGGUAGUAACUUGUGGGUUCCUGUUUGGCAUAAAAAUGGCUAGAACAUGUGGCACUAUCUUGUUGGAUGAUGUGUCAAGCAUGUGGCAGCCAUCUAGUGGCGAUUAUGUCAAUUUUGGGAUGGAGAGUUGGCAUCCAAUUGCAAAGAAAUAUGACGUCUACCAACAUGCAAUGUAAACCUAUGUAGAUCAUAUGAAGAUAGAGAGGAAAAAUAUAGAAAUGGAUAUAUACCUAGAACUAGCUUUUUAUUAAAUGAAACGGAGAGACAACAAUGAAGGAAAAUAAAAUUUUUUGGCUUAUAUCAAAGAGUUCACAUUGUGUUACCCUAGGUUUUCUUAAAACUUACUUUUAUGAUAACAAAAAAGAAAAAACCAUUAUUGUUUAAUCCUUUGUUUUAAACGCAUGUAAGGUGUAAUUAAGUUAGUUCAAUGCAUUAAUUUAAGAAACUUGACCUAUCAAAAGUACAAAAUUAGAUGAAAUCCAUUUCAAUGGUUAAAAUGAUCAAAAUCAAACUUUUUCUAAGUAUUUUUUAAAAGCAUCAAUAGUGAAAGACAAUUUUAUAUUUAGUCGGAGUUUGGACAAAACUGAAAAACACACAAAAUCCAAGCGACCAUCUCUAGCUUGGAUGGUCGCUUGAUCCCACCUAGAGAUGUGCAUGAGUAAAAGGAUUUGAAAAUGGAAAUUGACUAUGUAGUCGAUCAAUUAACUUUGCAACAUCAUAUGCAAUCCUAAUUGCUAGUCAUCUAAUCAAUUAGGUAGUCAAUCAACAGGCCAAAAAUAUGUUUAUAAUGACUAUUUUGUACAAAAACCACCUGUAUAGUUAAAUAUAAUGCAUUUCAUUUAUAAAUCUUCUAAUUCUUGAAUAACGAUCCUAUCAUCCUUUGAAAGUUUUUAUUACACUUUUUUUACUUUUGUUCUAAAACUUACACAUCACCCUUAAUUGUACCAUGAGAACCUAGCUAUUUUUUAUUUUUUUUUUUGUAAUUCAUCAAAGUUAGCUUUUGUAUUCAUUGUUGUAUUAUUUUUAGUAUAACUUAGAAAGCUAGUGUUUUCAAGUGAGUAAAAUUAACUUGUAAAUAUUGUAAAGAUUCAUCGACAUGUAUCUUAAACUAAGUGUACAAGUUAAAACAUUUGCUAGUAGAUUUUCUCAAAAUUUAGAAUAGAGCUUGAGACUAUUGAAAUAGGUGGGGUUGCACCAAACCACAUCACAUCGUUGUUUGCACCUUUUUUCACUCUCUUUUACUUAGUUGCUCUAUAUUUGUUGUCUAGUAAUAUCCUAUAGGCUUGAUGGGUUAGGGAGCAUCCCUUUGUGAAAAAAUUUUAUUCAAUCCUUAGUUGUAUCACGCAUAUAUAAAAUGCCUCAUUGUUUUAAUGGUAUUCAGUCGUGGCAUCACAGAUAUGGGCAUCUAAAUUUUAAAAGUUUGAAACUUUUAUCUAAAGAAAAUAUGGUGCUUUGCCUUUUUGUAAAGCAUGUUGAUGAAAUCCAUGAGAAUUGUGUACUUGGGAAGCAACACCGAGAUGACUUUUUUUUUUUUUUUAUAAUAUUGUUUGUCCAAAUUCCCUACAAAUUAGGCCACCAGAUGUUCAUAAUUCUCCCUUCUUGAAUUUGAAAACUCGGACAAUUGGACAAUGCGACACCUAAGUCCGGUUUCUAAAUGCUAAAGUGAAAGGGUAGGUAUGGACCAUUGAAAUGUGAUCACAACUUUUCUCUGUAGCCAUGUUGUCUCUUUUUUCUUUUGCAUGAUUUUCUUACCUUAACAGAAUCAUAGACUUGUUUAGUCUCUAAAUGGGAUUAAUUUCAUCCAGCUUUAAGCUACUAUAUUAUAUCUAGGUGGAGGACUUUUAAGAGUGCAACCGACAUAGAGCACAUGGAAGUGGGUAUAUGGGACAUGAAAUUUCUUCUUAUAAAGAUUGCAUGAUUUUUAUAUUAGAGUUGUUGAGGCGCUAUGUAUUUAGCUUGUUUUGCAGUUAAAUUAAUUGGAUAAGUAGACAUUGGCGUUUCUAAAUCUACUGUGAAGUGCUUCAUGUACGUGUGAAGUAUUAGAAAUUUCUUUCUUGGCAACUUGUUUUUCUUUGCGGUCUACUGAUAGGUUUGACUAAAAUUAUAUUCCCUGUCAUGCUAAUUAAUUUUCACGUGCAUGCUCAAAAGAAAAGUAUGACCUUAGUGCACCAAAAUCACUUUGAUUAAUUUGUGAUAGGUUUUUGUGCAUCAUGACAUUAGCCUUAUUCAUUUAGAUAAUGUUUAGUUUUUAGAAAGUAUUAAGAAAAGGAAAAUAAAUAUUAAGAAAAAUAUUCUUAUAUUUGAUUGUAUUAUGAAAAAUAUCAUAAAAAAAUCAAAUAUAAUUUAAAUUAAUUAAUAAUUUAUACAUUUUCAAAUUAUUUAAUCUUUAUAUUGAAGAUAUAAUAUAAAUGAAAUGAGUUUUAAGUAUUAUAUAAAAGUGAUUUAUUGAUCUUACAUAUAUAUAUUUCUUUUUUUUUUCCUUCUAUUUUUUCUCUUUAUUUUAUUUUCCUUAUGUUUUCCUCAACAUUUUCCGGAACCAAACAUAGCCUUAGGAAAUCCACAAUUACCUUCAACUGAGUAGAUUCUGUUGUUUUAGCAAUGUUAGGCUGCUAACUUGUGUUGGUACGAACCUAUUAAGCCUAAAGAUGUAAUUAGUUAGGAUAUUCUUUUCCCUCUAGUCUUGUAGCUCCACGUGUACAGUUGGUUAGGACCUCAUUGUAUAUAAUGCUUGCCCUGUUAUUGUAGAAGACAACAAAGAUAAAUAAUAUUAACAUUUUUCCUCUCAUCUCUCUCUGUUUCCCUCUGUUUUCAUCUCCUCUCUCAUCUUGGUAUCAGAGCCUCCAUGGCUUCUUUCAAAGAAACCUCCGAAUCACCUUCUGCUAGCAUUGUUAAUGUGCAAAACCCAUUAUCUCAAUCAAACAACCUUCCUUCACCAGUAGCCACACCCUCUUUUUCUUUCUCGUCUAUGAAUCAACCUCUCACAGUGAAGCUGGAUAAUGGGAACUACCUCAUAUGGAAGAAUUAGCUUCUAAAUGUCAUCAUUGCUAACGGACUCGAUGAUUUCAUUGACGGAUCUCGACCCUGCCCUCCUCGAUUUCUCGAUCUGCAACAACAAACCCUCAAUCCAGAGUACUCAGCUUGGCAGAGAUACAAUCGACUUCUGAUGAGUUGGCUGUACGCAUCCUUGUCCAAAGAUAUAAUGGCUCAGAUUGUUGGGUAUUCAACAGCUAUGGAGAUUUGGAAUGCCCUUAAUCAGAUUUACUCUGCCUCUUCUAUGGCGCGGUUUACUGAGCUUCGCACCAAGCUUCAAACGCUCAAGAAAGAUGGACUCUCAGUUGGUGAAUAUAUUCAAAGGCUCAAAUCCAUUUGCAAUAGUCUUGCAGCAAUAGGAGAACCAGUUUCUGAGAAAGACCAUCUUAUCUAUUUGUUCAAUGGAUUAGAUUGUGAGUAUUAUUCUUUUGUUACCUCCAUUCAAAAUCGAUCUGACCAACCAACUAUUGACAAAAUCCAUAGCCUAUUGCUUAGCUAUGACUUCCGGCUUGAACAACAAAACUCUGUUUCUCUCCAUUCUGCCCAAGUCCAUAUGGCUCAUCUGAACAAGAAACCUUAUAAAUCAACUCCUCAACCUACAUUCAAUCAUAUUCACAUUCAACCUAGAUACUCUUCUCCACCUUUUAAGCCAACCACUAGUCAAUAUCAACCCAACAUUUUGGGCAAACCACAACCACAACCAUGACAGCCUCAACCUCAAUGGAAACCACAUUUUUCAAUCUAAAAUCAAAAGCCUCAGCGCCAAAUUUGUGGUAAAUUUGGACACACUGCUCUUAUUUGCUUCCAUCACACAAAUUUGAACUAUUCACCCCAACCUUCUCCUAAAUCUUUCAAUACUGUUCUCACCACAAAUUCCCAGCUCCCUAAUCCUCCAAAAUUUUCUUACCCUACAAUGGCUCAUCCUGCUGCUACGCAUAACACGGUUCCCGAUACAAAUUGGUACAUGGACUCAGGUGCUACACAUCACUUUACUCUGGACAUCAACGUGCUUGACACUGUGACACCAUUUAGUGGUUCAGAACAGGUGACAGUUGGGAAUGGUAAGCAACUCUGUAUCUCACAUCUUGGUACUGCAAAACUACCAUCUUCGUAUUCUCCUCCUGUUCUACAUCAGGUAUAUCACACUCCAAAAAUUUCAAAUAAUCUUAUUAGUGUUAAAAAAUUGUGUUCUGAUAAUAAAGUUUUUGUUGAAUUUUAUGCCACUCAUUUUCUUGUCAAGGAUCAGGUUUCGAAGAGAGUUCUCCUUUAGGGUCAACUUGAUAAUGGCUUAUACAAAGUUCAGUCGUCAUGCUCUCCUUCUGCUGUUUCCUUUCCUCCUCAAGUUUUCAUAGCCAACAUCAAGUAUCCAAAUCUGUGGCACAAGAGACUAGGCCACCCAGCUUUAUCUGUUGUUAAUCAAAUCUUGGAUUCUUGUAACAUUGCUCGAACACAGAAAAUUUGUUUUAAUUUUUUAAAUUCUUGUCAAUUAGCAAAGAGCCACAGGCUUCCUUUUUCUCUGUCUCCAUCCAUUGCAGAAAAACCUUUUGAGUUAAUUCAUACAGACCUAUGGGGUCUUUCGCUCGUUCGCUCUAUUUCUGGUGCUCUUUAUUUUUUACUUUUCAUUGAUGAUCAUACUCGUUUUACUUGGUUUUAUUUGCUCAAAACAAAAGAUGAAGCAUAUCCUACUUUUCUCAAGUUUCAAGCUCUCAUUGAAAAUCAAUUUAAUACCAAGAUUAAGGCUGUCCAAUCUGAUUGGGGAGGUGAGUUUCGAUCUCUCUCCAUACCGUUUUCAAAUAUGGGCAUUGUCUAUUGUUUAUCGUGUCCAUACACCUCACAACAGAAUGGGCGAGUUGAGCGAAAAAAUCGCCAUGCGAUUGUCCUUUCUUGCUUGCUCUAUGCCCUUAUCUUAUUGGCCUUAUGCCUUUCAAACUGCCACUUACCUUAUUAAUCGUCUCUCUACCCCUGUGCUGCAUCAUCAAUCCUCUUACUUCGCACUCUAUCACAAACUCCCAACUUAUACUCAUCUUAAGGUCUUUGGUUCCUCUUGUUUUCCGUAUUUGCACCCUUAUAAUACCCAUAAACUCCAAUACAGGUCACUAGAGUGUGCUUUUCUUGGUUACAGUUCACACCACAAAGGUUAUCUAUGUCUUGACAUUCAUUCUAGCAGGGUGUAUAUUUCUCGCCAUGUGAUUUUUAAUGAAGAUUCUUUUCCAUUCAAGAAUUUGAAAUCUUCUCUCUCUCAGUCUAUUUCUUCUUCCUCUUCUUUAUAAGUUCCUCUGUUCAUUCUCUUGCCUCCCCUUUCCCCAUCUCCUCUUAUUUCUUCAUCUAUACCUCAUUCUUUUCCCUCUUCUUCUUCUACCUCUAGUACUUGUUCCCCUCUCGUUGCUCCUACCUCUCUUCCUUCCUCUUCACACUCUGUGUCUCCAUCUAUUCCACCUCCUUCUCCACCUUCUCCGAGUGUGGACCUGCUUGCACCUUGUGUGAAUACAAAUUUACAUACUUCUUCUCGCACUCACAAUAUUCAUCCUAUGGUGACUAGAUCUAAGGUUUGUAUCUAUAAACCUAAGUUGUUGUUGAGUGUCUCCAUAGGUUCUCUCACUAAGCCUACUUCCUUUCUUCAAGCUAUUAAAGAUCCUUCAUGGAAGCAAUCCAUGGAAUUCGAGUUUGCUACCCUUCAACACAACAAGACCUGGCAUUUGGUUCCUUCACCUUCCUCAGGCGAAGUAAUCGGUUGUAAAUGGGUCUAUAAGCUAAAGCUUCAGCCUGAUGGCUAAAUUGAGAGAUACAGCCUGCUUAGUAGCUAAGGGUAUCAUCAAAUUGAAGUAUGGACUACUUCGAAACAUUCAGCCUGAUNNNNNNNNNNNNNNNNNNNNNNNNNNNNNNNNNNNNNNNNNNNNNNNNNNNNNNNNNNNNNNNNNNNNNNNNNNNNNNNNNNNNNNNNNNNNNNNNNNNNAGCUUCAGCCUGAUGGCUAAAUUGAGAGAUACAAGGCCUGCUUAGUAGCUAAGGGUUAUCAUCAAAUUGAAGGUAUUGACUACUUCGAAACAUUCAGCCUGAUUGUCAAGCUUUCUACUAUCUGUAUUGUGCUCAGUCUUACUUUUUCCCAGAAUUGGUGUAUUAGACAGCUGGAUGUUCAUAAUGCCUUCUUACAUGGUGACUUAGCUAAAGACGUUUUCAUGGAACAACUGCCUGGAUUUGUUGAUCCUCUCUAUCCUACUCAUGUCUGCAAGUUGGAUAAGUCUCUCUACUGUCUUAAAUAGUCACCUCGGGCUUGGUAUACUAAGCUGAGUACUUCUCGCUACACUUGGGAUUUGUUACUUCUAAGAAUGACUCUUCCUUAUUUAUUUGUCAUUCGUCUCAUGGGUUACUUCUUGUUCUUGUCUAUGUGGAUGAUAUAAUCGUCAUUGGGAGCCACUCUCCUCAGGUUACUCACCUUAUCCAACAGUUGCAUCAUUAGCUUUCUUUAAAGGAUCUUGGUCCUUUACAUUAUUUUCUGGGCUUGGAGGUUCAUCACACCCCUACUGGUAUUCACCUCAGCCAAGCAAAGUAUAUCACUGAUCUCCUUACCCGGGCGGCUAUGUUGGAUGCCAAGCCAUGUCCCACUCCUAUGUCCUCCAACACAUAUCUCUCUUUUCAUGAUGGAGUGGCUCUUGAAAAUGGUUCAGAUUAUCGAAGUUUUGUUGGUGCCCUUUAGUAUUGUACCAUGACACGCCCAGAUAUAGCUUUUGCAAUAAAUAAAGUGUGUCAAUUCAUGCACCAUCCCUCUAAUGUUCACUGGCAGGCUAUAAAACGUAUUCUCCGGUACUUAAAGGGCACAUCUCAUUUUGGUCUCUUCCUACAGCCUUCCUAUGACUUCAACAUCACUUGCUAUACAAAUGCCGACUGGGCUUCCUGUCCUGAUGACAAGUGUAGCACCAGUGGCUACUGCCUCUUUCUUGCCUCUAAUCUGGUUUCUUGGUCAUCUUCCAAACAAAAAGUGGUCUCCCGCUCCAGCGCCGAAUCAGAGUACCGAGGGGUAGCAAAUGGGGCUGCUGAAAUUGCUUGGACUGAAUCUCUUCUUUGUGAACUUUCCAUUACUCCCCCUCCCCUCAUUCUCUGUGACAAUAUCAGUGCCACGUACUUAGCUGCCAAUCCUAUUUUGCAUGCCCGCACCAAACAUGUGGAAAUCGACUAUCACUUUGUCACGGAACGUGUUCUUCAAUGCUCUCUUUUUGUCCAGUUUACACCUUCUGAUGAUCAACUUGCUGAUUGCAUGACCAAGCCUCUCUCCACCCAACGUUUCAUCACUCUACGCUCCAAGCUCACUGUUCUCACUAGACCAAUGAGCUUGAGGGGGGAUGUUAAGCCUAAAGAUGUAAUUAGUUAGGAUAUUCUUUUCCCUCUAGUCUUGUAGCUCCACGUGUACAGUUGGUUAGGACCUCAUUGUAUAUAAUGCCUGCCCUGUUAUUGUAGAAGACAACAGAGAUAAAUAAUAUUAACAUUUUUCCUCUCAUCUCUCUCUCUGUUUCCCUCUGUUUUCAUCUCCUCUCUCAUCUGAACCAAAUGAUCCAUGUUAACCUUGGCUUGGUUUGAUUUGGCUCUAUCUUAGAGAGCUCAAGGAUCACGUCAACUCUGGUUUCUACUAUUCAGGUCCAUUCCCAUAUGAACUGGUUCAAAUUUGAGAAAAUGGUAACAGACCUUUAGUGAUGUUGGUUUGGAGCCAGUUGCCAAACCCGCCCUGAGCUUUACCACUAAUGUCAAGGGAGAAAGCCAUUUGAACAAAAACAAUAGCUUCAAGGGACUGAAUCGUGGAUGAAAUCUGAUCCACAUUUCUUCUCAUUUUGGAAACAAAUGAGAACUUAACUAAGAAGAUUCUACGGCCUCAUAGUGCUUUUCCUGAUCUAAGGUUGGUUCGUUUCCCAAACUGUGAGAUGCACGUGCCAGACUUCAGAACUCUCACGCUCAGGAGUGUAUCCACGUGGUGGACAUAAGAUGGUGGCUUAAGAUCUGGUGUCGGUGGCUUUACUUUACUAGGAGAGUAGUGUGUCUUCAUCUCAUUCACUGCCGGAGGGUGGCGUAAGCAGUGACGCUAAGGUGGGGCACAGUCAAUAUCAUUUGCAUUUGACCAUUAUAGUUUUCUCCCGGCUUUAAAGUAACCUUAUCGUGAUAAAGGAUUACUAGCACUAGUUCAGAUGAUAGUCAUGUUAAAUUCGGACCAUGUUUGUGUCACAUUAUCAGCAACCAUGUGUUUAUGGUUCAUGCUUUCUGCAACUAAAAUUGAUAUAUAACCAGGUGAACUUCAAUCUAAAUUCUGAAAGUACUCAUGUGAUAGAUGGUGCCCGUCUGCAGAGUCCAUCAAUUGAAAAAUGGAGUGAGUGUAUCUAUAAGAGGGAAGGCUUGGAAAAUGUUCAGUUUUCUGGGAAUUCAACAAGGAUCUAAAAUAGAUUGUUUUCUUUGCUGAUUUCAAUGGUUGAAAUUUGAGAAGAUUGUGUCCACAUAACACAACUAUUACUGGUCCUUCUGUUGCAAUUUAUCCUCUAAAGCUCUAGCAUGUCUUCCAAUUCCCACUUCCCUGUUACUCCAGGAAAGCUAUUUCUGUCAUUGUGAAGAAGAAAAGAGAAUGUACAUAUCGAUGCUUUUAAGUGACUGGAGCAUUUAUAUCAGGUGGUCUGCAGCCAUAUAUGCCACUUUGUGAAGAUUGGAACAGUCAAUCACUAGGCUAUAUAUUAGUGUGGCCCAGCCACUUUAAUCAAGGACAAGUCUUCAUACUUAAAGUCAAAUUCUGCCUUUAGUCUCAUUAUAAAUUUCUGUUUAAAUAUUAAGCAAACAUUUGUUUAAUGCGAUUAAGACAGUACUAACUCAAUACCUGUUCUAUUUUUGGAUGCAAAUGCUUGAUGGUUUCAUCAUUGGAUGGGAUAAAGGUGCAUUCAUGAUUAGGAAUACUAGUAGUUAUAUUUUAAUUCUCUUUUUUCUCAAUGAGACUUGUUGGCACAAUUUUGCUGUUGAGAAACCUACCUCUCCAUGGAAAAUAAGUUGUGAUUGAUAGUACUGGAUAUAUUCAAGAAAUCUAAAUAUAGAUAGCACAAAAUAUUAUCGACAUAAAUAGCAUUAACAGCGUACGUAUGUCUCAGUGCUCAUCAGCUAUAAGCAUGGGGCAAACACUUACUAUGAGCAACUUACGUCAAAAUUCCAGAAUAGGACAUAGAAGUGACAGAUAUAGAACAUUGCAUAUGAGUCACAAGAAAGGAAAUUACGGGUGCAUAGCAGCUCUUAUUUUACAUACUACUACUCAUACUGAUCAAAGUCACUCAGUUGGGAUGGGUGGGAGUAGGAGGUUUGUGGGGUGGCUUGUGCGGAGGAGUUGGCAGCUUCUUUCCAGGACCUGGUUGCUUCUCUGCUGGAGUUGAAGGAGGCUUAAUCUUCCGAGGUGGCUUGUAUGAGUCUUCAGCAUUCUCAGCUGGAGGGUGACCAGGGUUGUGACCAUAAUGUGGUGGCUUCUCUCCCUUAGGUGGUUUGCCAACUGGGGUUGGUGGCUUGUAUGAGUCUUCAGCAUUCUCAGCAGGAGGGUGACCAGGGUUGUGACCAUAAUGUGGUGGCUUCUCUCCCUUAGGUGGUUUGCCAACUGGGGUUGGUGGCUUGUGUUCUGGGAGUGGCUUCUCCCCCUUGGGAGGUUUUUCCAAUGGGGUUGGUUUGUGUUCAGGAGGUGGCUUCUCCACUGGAGGCUUGUGUUCAGGAGGUGGCUUCUCCACCGGAGGCUUGUGUUCAGGUGGUGGCUUCUCCACCGGAGGCUUAUGCUCUGGUGGUGGCUUCUCGAAUGGGGGAUGCUUAGGAUAAUCAGCAAGUGAGGGGGCGGUGAGAACCACCAGGCCAAGCAACACCACUAGCAAAUAUGUAGGAGACAUCUUUGGGUUUGGGCUCAGAUGGUGCAAAACUAGGAGAAUUGGCUAGCCUUUUAUAGCGGAUCGUACCCAAUAAUGAAAUGACACGUGUCAUUAUGACCCAUGUGUAAUGGGGUCGAUUUGGGUCCUACAGUGUUGAAAACUUCGACAUCCACUUUUGGCCUUUUGCUUUCUCUACAGCCGCCUUGCUUUUUCCCUCUUUCCUUUUGUUUUCCUCCUGCCCCAUUCUAUCAACUAAACACAAUUAUGUAGUUGUUUAAUUCUUAAAUGAGAUAUUAUCCGUCAAUCGUAUUAUAUUUUAUCAAGAGAGAACGGAGUGCAAUGUGGCUGUAAUUUUAUCGUUUAGUUUUAUCUCUUGGACCACUGCAUUUUUGUUAAGAGGUGCAAUAAUACACGUCUUUAUCUGCCAUUCAAUAUUUACAGUAAAGAGAGGGCACAAAACUCUUCACUUCGCACCAUAAUUAUUUUGUUUUCUGGACACCCCGGGGCCCUUUGGUUGGUUUGGGGGUCAGAAAGUGAACAUCAUAGGGGGUUUUUCCCUUAUGUGCAUUUGUAUCUGAUGGCUUUAACUCGCCUUGUUACUACAAAGAAACUGUCACAGAUAGGAACUUAUUCCAGGCUGAGUAUCUCCUCAUAGACCCUAUAAAAGAAGACAAGUCAUAAUGAACAUCUAACCUUUGUUCAAUUUGAUUCAAUGCCCCCAUUGUGUCCAUCUCACAAAUCUGAAUUAUUAUAUCCAUUGAAUACAUAAAUUAAUGAAGAAAAUAUGAAACCCAAGAUACAUCUCUGCACAACCUCAACCCUGGUUGCUAUGUUUCCCUUCUAUUCACAUGAUUUGAUGCUAAUUGCCAAACUUGCAACAAGCCCUGAGUUUGACACCUAGUAUCGAUGGGCGAAUUUAAAGUCUCCUCCAAACAUAUAUUCCACAGCUUGAAGCUCACAGAAGAUGUUACAGGCAGGGAAAAACCUUCAGAGUUCGCUACCAAAGAUAAUUAUUAAGGAGAUAUCACAAAGAGAAUUCCAAGGGGUCUGAAUCAAAGACAAAUUGGUCGUUCGUGGGGGUUCUUACUUUCUUUUGGGUAUAACUCACUGAGGGCACUGUCUUUGUUAUUUGCAUUUCACAUUUAGAGUUCUGUUCUGGAAACAUAUAAAAGGAGCAUCAUUUUGUUCUUGGGUAACCCAUAGUCGUGAGUGGGUCCAUUUGCAUGCUACUUAGUUGAAAAGUUGGACCAUUUGCUCCGACGCCUACCUCCCGGAUUCCAUGCUCGGAUAAAACAAGAAUAAAAAAAAUAUUUAUAAUUUACAAAUGGGGGAAAGAAAAAAAUGUCAACAACAAACCAGGAAAAAAGAGUAGUAAAAUUCAUGUCACAUGCUAGUGAGAGAAGGGGUUGUUACACUCACUCGAAGUUCUUUCCAAAAUAUCGCAUGGUAUUUUAUUUUAUGUGUCAGCGCAGUUGUGAAUGGAACGUGCAAAAGUCCAAAUUGGCGUUUUUCCUUUUCCCGUGUAGGAUGGCGACCUUUAAUAAAUAUUUAAAACAAAAAACGAAAAAAAGGAGGGAAAAGGGAUCAGAAAAGAUAAAACAAUGUGUACAAGAGCUCAAUUAGUUUGCAAAUUACUGUUUGGAUUUUGAUAGUAUUUUAUUUGUCCAUCUAUAUUUGAUGGAAAAGAGAAUUUAAGAUAUUUCUGAAACAAAAGCAUUAGUGUAAAACUAAAUUAAGGUAUAAUUAAGUUAGUUCAAUGCAUUAAUUUAAGAAACUUGAUCUAUCCAAAGUACAAAAUUAGAUGAAAUCCAUUUCAAUGGUUAAAAUGAUCAAAAUCAAACUUUUUCUAAGUAUUUUUUAAAAGCAUCAAUAUUAAAAGACAAUUUUAUAUUUAGUCGGAGUUUGGACAAAACCAAAAAGCACACAAAAUCCAAGCGACCAUCUCUAGCUUGGAUAGUCACUUGAUCCCACCUAGAGAUGUGCAUGAGUAAAAGGAUUUGAAAAUGGAAAUUGACUAAAUAUUUAGUUGAUCAAUUAAAUUUGCAAUGUCAUAUGCAAUCCUAAUAGCUAGUCAUCUAAUCAAUUAGGUAGUCAAUCAAGUGUUUGUAAUGACUAUUUUGUACAAAAAACCACAUGUAUAGUUAAAUAUAAUGCAUUUCAUUUAUAAAUCUUCUAAUUCUUGAAUAACGAUCCUAUCAUCCUUUGAAAAUUUUUAUUACACCUUUUUUACUUUUGUUCUAAAACUUACAUAUCACCCUUAAUUGUACCAUGAGAACCUAGCUAUUUUUUUUUUUUUUGUAAUUCAUCAAAGUUAGCUUUUGUAUUCAUUGUUGUAUUAUUUUUAGUAUAACUUAGAAAGCUAGUGUUUUCAAGUGAGUAAAAUUAACUUGUAAAUAUUGUAAAGAUUCAUUGAUAUGUAUCUUAAACUAAGUGUACAAAUUAAAACAUUUGCUAGUAGAUUUUCUCAAAAUUUAGAAUAGAGCUUGAGGCUAUUGAAAUAGGUGGGGUUACACCAAACCACAUCACAUCGUUGUUUGCACCUUUUUUCACUCUCUUUUACUUAGUUUCUCUAUAUUUGUUGUCUAGUAAUAUCCUAUAGGCUUGAUGGGUUAGGGAGCAUCCCUUUGUGAAAAAAUUUCAUUCAAUUCUUAGUUGUAUUACGCAUAUAUAAAAUGCCUCAUUGUUUUAAUGGUAUUCAGUCGUGGCAUCACAGAUAUGGGCAUCUAAAUUUUAAAAGUUUGAAACUUUUGUAAAGCAUGUUGAUAAAAUCCAUGAGAGUUGUGUACUUGGGAAGCAACAUCGAGGUGACUUUAUUUUUUUUUCCUUUUAUAAUGCCACACCUAAGUCCGGUUUCUAAAUGCUAAAGUGAAAGGGUAGGUAUGGACCAUUGAAAUGUGAUCACAACUUUUGGCCUUUUCCUUUCUCUGCAGCCAUGUUGUCUCUUUUUUCUUUUGCAUGAUUUUCUUACCAAAACAGAAUCAUAGACUUGUUUAGUCUCUAAGCUACUAUAUUAUAUCUCGGUGGACUUUUAAGAGUGCAACCGACAUAGAGCACAUGCAAGUGGGCAUAUGGGACAUGAAAUUUCUUCUUACAAAGAUUGCAUGAUUUUUAUAUUAGAGUUGUUCACGUGCAAUGUAUUUAGCUUGUUUUGCAGUUAAAUUAAUUGGAUAAGUAAACAUUGGCAUUUCUAAAUCGACUGUGAAGUGCUUCAUGUACGUGUAAAGUAUUAGAAAUUUCUUUCUUGGCAACUUGUUUUUUCCUUGCCAUCUACUGGUAGGUUUGACUAAAAUUAUAUUCCCUGUCAUGCUAAUUAAUUUUCAUGUGCAUGCUCAAAAGAAGAGUAUGACCUUAGUGCACCAAAAUCACUUUGAUUAAUUUGUGAUAGGUUUUUUUGCAUCAUUUAGAUAAUGUUUAGUUCUAAGAAAAAUUUAUAUAAAAAUGGUUUAUUUAUCUUACAUAUAUAUAUAUAUAUAUAUAUUUUUUUUUUUUUCAUUUUUUUUUCUUCUAUUUUAUUUAUUUAUUUUAUUUUCCUUAUGUUUUCCUCACAUUUUCCGGAACUAAACAUAGUCUUACGAAAUCAACAAUUGCCUUCAACUGAGUAGAUUCUGUUGUUUUAGCAAUGUUAGGCUGCUAACUUGUGGUGGUACGAACCAAAUGACCCAUGUUAAUCUUGGCUUGGUUUGAUUUGGCUCUAUCUCAGAGAGCUAAAGGAUCACGUCAACUCUGGUUUCUACUAUUCAGGUCCAUUCCCAGAUGAACUGGUUCAAAUUUGAGAAAAUGGUAACAGACCUUUAGUGAUGUUGGUUUGGAGCCAGUUGCCAAACCCGCCCUGAGCUUUACCACUAAUGUCAAGGGAGAAAGCCAUUUGAACAAAAACAAUAGCUUCAAGAGACUGAAUCGUGGAUGAAAUCUGAUCCACAUUUCUUCUCAUUUUGGGAAAAAAUGAGAACUUAACUACAAAGAUUCUACUGCCUCAUUCAUAGUGCUUUUCCUGAUCCAAGGUUGGUUCGUUUCCCAAAUUGUGAGGUGCACGUGCCACUCUCACGCUCAGGAGUGUAUCCACGUGGUGGACAUCAGAUGGUGGCUUAAUAUCUGGUGUCGGUGGCUUUACUUUACUAGGAGAGUAGUGUGUCUUCAUCUCAUUCACUGCCGGAGGGUGGCGUAAGCAGUGACGCUAAGGUGGGGCACAGUCAAUAUCAUUUGCAUUUGACCAUUAUAGUUUUCUCCCGGCUUGAAAGUAACCUUAUCGUGAUAAAGGAUUACUAGCACUAGUUCAGAUGACCGUCAUGUUAAUUCGGACCAUGUUUGUGUCACAUUAUCAGCAACCAUGUGUUUAUGGUUCAUGCUAUCUGCAACUAAACUUGAUAUAUAACCAGGUGAACUUCAAUCAAAAUUCUGGAAGUACUCUUGUGAUAGAUGGUGCCUGUCUGCAGAGUCCAUCAAUUGAAAAAUGGAGUGAGUGUAUCUAUAAGAGGGAAGGCUUGGCAAAUGUUCAGUUUUCUGGGAAUUCAACAAGGAUCUAAAAUAGAUUGUUUUCUUUGCCGACUUCAAUGGUUGAAAUUUGAGAAGAUUGUGUCCACAUAUCACAACUAUUACUGGUCCUUCUGUUGCAAUUUAUCCUGUAAGGCUCUAACAUGUCUUCCAAUUCCCACUUCCCUGUUACUCCAGGAAAGCUAUUUCUGUCAUUGUGAAGAAGAAAAGAGAAUGUACAUAUCGAUGCUUUUAAGUGACUGGAGCAUUCAUAUCAGGUGGUCUGCAGCCAUAUAUGCCACUUUGUGAAGGUUGGAACAGUCAAUCACUAGGCUAUAUAUUGGUGUGGCCCAGCCACUUCAAUCAAGGACAAGUCUUCAUACUUAAAGUCAAAUUCUGCCUUUAGUCUCAUUAUAAAUUGCUGUUUAAAUAUUAAGCAAACUUUUGUUUAAUGCGAUUAAGACAGUACUAACUCAAUACUUGUUCUAUUUUUGGAUGCAAAUGCUUGAUGGUUUCAUCAUUGGAUGGGAUAAAGGUGCAUUCAUGAUUAUGAAUACUUGUAGUUAUAUUUUCAUUCUCUUUUUUCUCAAUGAGACUUGUUGGCACAAUGUUGCUGUUCAGAAACCUACCUCUCCAUGGAAAAUAAGUUGCGAUUGAUAGUACUGGAUAUGUUCAAGAAAGCUAAAUAUAGAUAGCACAAAAUAUUAUCGAUAUAAAUAGCAUUAACAGCGUACGUAUGUCUCAAUGCUCAUCAGCUAUAAGCAUGGGACAAACACUUACUAUGAGCAACUUACGUCAAAAUUCCAGAAUAGGACAUAGAAGUGACAGAUCUAUAUAUAUAGAACACUGCAUAUGAGUCACAAGAAAGGAAAUUACGGGUGCAUAGCAGCUCUUAUUUUACAUACUACUACUCAUACUGAUCAAAGUCACUCAGUUGGGAUGGGUGGGAGUAGGAGGUUUGUGGGGUGGCUUGUGCGGAGGAGUUGGCAGCUUCUUUCCAGGACCUGGUUGCUUCUCUGCUGGAGUUGAAGGAGGCUUAAUCUUCCGAGGUGGCUUGUAUGAGUCUUCAGCAUUCUCAGCUGGAGGGUGACCAGGGUUGUGACCAUAAUGUGGUGGCUUCUCUCCCUUAGGUGGUUUGCCAACUGGGGUUGGUGGCUUGUAUGAGUCUUCAGCAUUCUCAGCAGGAGGGUGACCAGGGUUGUGACCAUAAUGUGGUGGCUUCUCUCCCUUAGGUGGUUUGCCAACUGGGGUUGGUGGCUUGUGUUCUGGGAGUGGCUUCUCCCCCUUGGGAGGUUUUUCCAAUGGGGUUGGUUUGUGUUCAGGAGGUGGCUUCUCCACUGGAGGCUUGUGUUCAGGAGGUGGCUUCUCCACCGGUGGCUUGUGUUCAGGAGGUGGCUUCUCCACCGGAGGCUUAUGCUCUGGUGGUGGCUUCUCCACCGGAGGCUUAUGCUCUGGUGGUGGCUUCUUGAAUGGGGGAUGCUGAGGGUAAUCAGCAAGUGAGGGGGCGGUGAGAACCACCAGGCCAAGCAACACCACUAGCAAAUAUGUAGGAGACAUCUUUGGGUUUGGGCUCAGAUGGUGCAAAACUAGGAGAAUUGGCUAGCCUUUUAUAGCGGAUCGUACUCAAUAAUGAAAUGACACGUGUCAUUAUGACCCAUGUGUAAUGGGGUCGAUUUGGGUCCUACAGUGUUGAAAACUUCGACAUCCAGUUUUGGCCUUUUGCUUUCUCUACAGCCGCCUUGCUUUUUCCCUCUUUCCUUUUGUUUUCCUCCUGCCCCAUUCUAUCAACUAAACACAAUUAUGUAGUUGUUUAAUUCUUAAAUGAGAUAUUAUCGGUCAAUCGUAUUAUAUUUUAUCAAGAGAGAACGGAGUGCAAUGCAGCUGUAAUUUUAUCGUUUACUUUUAUCUCUUGGACCACUGCAUUUUUGUUAAGAGGUGCAAUAAUACACGUCUUUAUCUGCCAUUCAAUGUUUACAGUAAAGAGAGGGCACAAAACUCUUCACUGCUCUGCAUGUGUCCCAAAAAUGCGAUUGGACAAAUUAUGAUUUGCAUGCUAAAAAGAGGCAAAUGAGGUUAAUUCGCACCAUAAUUAUUUGGUUUUCUGGACACCAUAAAAAGAUGUUAUACAGGCAGGGAAAAACCUUCAGAGUUAGCUACCAAAGAUAAUUAUCAAGCAGAUAUCACCAAGAGAAUUCCAUAGAGUCUGAAUCAAAGACAGAUUGCUCGCUCGUGGGGGUUCUUACUUUCUUUUGGGUAUAACUCACUGAGGUCACUGUCUUUUUUAUUUGCAUUUCACAGUUAGAGUUCUGCUCUGGAAGGUUUGUUCUGGAAACAUAUAAAAGGAGCAUCAUUUUGUUCUUGGGUAACCCAUAGUCGUGAGUGGGUCCAUUUGCAUGCUACUUAGUUGAAAAGUUGGACAAUUUGCUCCGACGCCUACCUCCUGGAUUCCAUGCUCGGUAAAACAAGAAUAAAAAAAAAUAUAUAAUUUACAAAUGGGGGAAAGAAAAAAUGUCGGAAAAAAUAGUAAAAUUCAUGUCACAUGCUAGUGAGAGAAGGGGUUGUUACACUCACUCGAAGUUCUUUUCAAAAUAUCGAAUGGUAUUUUACUUUAUGUGUCAGCGCAGUUGUGAAUGGAACGUGCAAAAGUCCAAAUUGGCGUUUUUAUUUUUCCCAUGUAGGAUGGUGACCUUUAAUAAAUAUUUAAAACAAAAGACGAAAAAAAAAAGGAGGGAAAAGGGAUCACAAAAGAUAAAAUAAUGUUUACAAAAGCUCAAUUAGUUUGCAAAUUACUGUUUGGAUUUUGAUAGUAUUUUAUUUGUCGUUCUAUAUUUGAUGUAAAAGAGAAUUUAAGAUAUUUCCGAAGCAAAAGCAUUAGUUUGCUCUGUGAUGUCCCACAUCGAAUAGGGGAGAAAGUUUCUGGCGCUAUAUAUGUAGAGGCUCCUCUUAACCAAGUAGAUGCGUUUUAAAACCAUGAGGGCCCCCUUAGGUCCAAAGCGGACAAUAUCUACAUGAUUGGGUGUAAGUCAUUACAAAUGGUAUCAGAGCCGAUCCCCGACCCCGGUGUGGGGGUUUGUUUGGCCCUGUAAGGGGUGUUUGUCUGUUUGACCCCACAAUCCCAUGGGACACAACGAGGACGUUGUGUCUGCAUGGGGGGGCGUUUGUGAUGUCCCACAUCGGAUAGGGGAGAAAGUUCCUAGUGCUAUAUAUGUAGAUGUUUCUCUUAACCAAGUAGAUGCAUUUUAAAAUUGUGAGGGCCUCUUUGGGCCCAAAGCGGACAAUAUCUACAUGGUUGAGUGUAAGUCAUUACAUGCUCCAUGUCAAUUUCAGCAUUUCUCAUAUGUUUCACACAUACACAGAAGAGCAUCGUUUUUUAAAGCAUGCAUUUAUGUUGGAUUAAUUUGGAUUUUGUGGGAACUGGGGCAAGGAUCACAUGGAAGAGAGGUUGACUUUUUUCAGUACUUCAAUGGUUGAAAUAUGUGAAGGCUUGAUUGAUACUAAAGCUUGAAAUUGCGACUCUGUCAUUUGUAAAAAAAUAUGACAGCUUCCAUGCUCUCGUUUGGUUGCAUUGUCCGGUCGAGAGGUGCAAAAAGCAUUCUCUCUCUUCUAAUAGUCUUUUCGUUUAAAUCAAGGGAUUUGCCUUCCCGGUCGAGGUCCAAUAGAGGGUAACGGUCACCUACUAAACAUUAAAUGCUCCAACAACUAGUGAACUGAUCGACCCCAGCUCGACUAGUUGAGGUUACUUUUUGGUUUUCUUGUCUCCCGAGGUUAGAAACCUAUAAAUAGAGAGCUUCACUUCAUUUAUGAGUAAGAGAACACCUAAAUUUAUUUGUUUACCUACUUGUUUUUGCCAUAAAAGCUCUCAUUUCUUUUCUUGGUGUAUUAAAUCUCCAUUUGCAUAUCCUUUAGUGCACCUUUGUGAUUCAUUCUAGCCUUGAGUUGUAUUUAAGCCUUUGUUGAGCUAGGUUGAGAGUUUCAUACUUGUUUAUUGAGUGUUAAAGCCUUCAAGUGAGUUAAAACUUGAAGAGAUUGUGUAAGAGCCCAUUGGAGUCGGAAUCCAAGUGUAAAGGUGAUUAAAAGCUUGGUUGAAGCUUCAAGUUAGUGGAACUCUCACUCGGUUAUGAGCUUGAGAAGAGUGGACAUAGACAAGGCAGUGUCGAACCACUAUAAAAUCUGAGUUUGAUUUCUCUAACCUUAUCUCUUUAUAUUUGCUUCUCUUGUGCUUAAAUUUUUUGUGUUUAAAAAGAAUUUUUAAAAACUCAAUUCACCCCCUUCUUGGGAGUUUUUCUCUUUUAAGAUCAGCUUUUAUUUUCUCAAUUGGUAUCAGAACUAUGCCUCUUGUUUAAGACUUAAUCGUCUAAGAGGAAAUGGCUAAUCCAUCAAGUUCAUCUCACAUUGAAAGUUUUGCAACCAAUAGACUUCUUUUUUUUUUUUUGCGGGAACUGAUUAUCCCUAUUGGAAAACUAAAAUGACUUGGUUUUUACAAUCAAUUGAUUUAGAUGUAUGAGAUGCCAUUGAAGAUGACCUAACUUUUCCUUCAAAACUAGUUGAUGGAGUCAUGGUUCCAAAACCUAAGCAAGAAUGGGAUGAGCGUGAUUGAAGAAAUUUUCAAUUAAAUGCUAAAGUCGUUUAUACUUUGCAAUGCUCUAUGGACAGAAAUGAAUAUAAUAGAAUAUGUCAAUGCAAAUCGGUUAAAGAAAUUUGGAGAUUGCUUGAAAUAACUCAUAAAGGAACAAAUCAAGUUAAAGAGUCAAAAAUCAAUUUACUUGUUCAUAGAUAUGAAUUGUUUUUUAUGAAAGAUAAUGAAACUAUUGUUAAGAUGAUCACUAGGUUCACCAACAUUGUUAAUGGUCUUAAAGCCUUGGGAAAGACCUACAAGGAAUCCGAAAACGUGAUGAAGAUCUUGAGGUCACUUCCAUCAAAGUGGCAUACCAAGGUCACCGCAAUUUAAGAAGCAAAAGACUUGAUCAAGCUACCUUUGGAGGAGUUCAUAGGGUCAUUGAUGACAUAUGAAAUCAAUUUGGCAAAGAAGUAACAAAAAGGUGAAGACAAAAAGAAGAAGAACAUAACUCUCAAAGCUACAACUAAGGAAGAAGAAGUUGAAGAAGAAAAACAAAUUGAAGAAGAUGAAGAUUUAGCCCUCAUCACAAGAAAGUUCAACAAAUUCAUGAGGGGUGAAAGGUUUAGAAGAAGAAGGUUCACUUCUAGAAGAGACUUUUCUAAAAAGGAAUCUUCAUCUAAUGGUGACAAAAAGAGAUGGGAAGAGAAAAGAGACUUGGUGUGUUUCAAGUGCAAGAAACCGGGACACAUUAAAUAUGAUUGUCCUCUCUACAAAAGUGAAGUCAAGAGGAAAAAGAAUAAGGCAAUGAUGGCCACUUAGAGUGAAAGUGAAGAUGAAUCAUCCGAAGAAGAAAAUGAGAAAGAAGUGGCAAACAUGUGUUUCAUGGCAAUAGAUGAACUUGAUGAGGUAAAAUCUAACCUUAGUGAUUAAGAUAUACAUGAUGCAUUUGAAGAAUUGUAUGAGGAUUUUUAAAAACUUAGUUUGAAAAAUAUUUCUCUUAAAAAGAAAGUUCAACAACUUGACAAAGAACUUAGAGAAGUAAAAGAAAAAUUUUCAAAUGUUAAAGUUUCUAAAACUCAUCUUGAAAAAGAAAAUGAGAUUCUAAGAAAGAAAAAUGAAUAGUUGAACUCCUCUCUUUCAAUCUUUUCUUCUAGACAAAAAUCUUUUGAAAUGAUUCUAACUAGCUAAAAAUGUGUUUUUGACAAACAAGGGUUAAGAUUUAAAUCUUCAAAAAAUCAAAAGUAUUUUAAAAACUAUUUUGUAAAGGAAUCCACAAGUGCAAGUCCUUCCACUACUUGCAACUUUUGUGGAAGAGAAUGGCACAUUAGUAGUACGCCCUUUAAGAAAUGGUUCUCAAAAGAAUUUAAAUGCAAAAACUAAAAAAGAUUUGGAUUGAGAAAUCCAAGGUCACUAACCCUCAAGGACCCAAAAAGAUAUAGGUACCUAAAUCAACUUGAGUUUUAUGUUGUAAGGUUCAAAGAAUGAUAAGUGGUUCUUAGAUAAUGGUUGCUCAAGACACAUGACCGGAGAUGAAUCCAAGUUUGCUUUUCUUAAAAAGAAAAAUGGAGGAUAUGUUACCUUUGGAGACAAUGCAAAAGAAAGGAUGAUUGGUCAAGGCAACAUUGGUAAUGGCACAUCCUCUCUCAUUGAAAGUGUUUUAUUAGUAGAUGGUUUCAAACAUAACCUUUUAAGCAUUAGUCAAUUUUGCGACAAAGGUUUUUAAGUGAUUUUUUAAGCAUCUCAUUGCAUCAUCAAGGAUAUUCAAAAUGAUAAAACCAUUUUCAUGGGCCAUAGAUGUGAUAAUGUUUAUGCUAUAAAUAUUUCAAAAUAUGAUGGCCAUGAUAGAUGUUUUUCAAGCAUGCAUGAUCAAAGUUGGUUGUGCCAUAGGAGAUUGAGACAUGCUAACAUAGACCUCAUUUCCCAACUCAACAAAGAUGAACUUGUUAGAGGCCUUCCCAAAAUAAUUUUUUAAAAAGAUAAAGUUUGUGAAGCUUGUCAAGUGGGAAAGUAAAUCAAAAACUCUUUUAAAAACAAAAACUUCAUUUCCACAUCUAGGCCACUUGAGUUGUUGCAUAUGGAUUUAUUUGGUCCCUCUAGGACACCAAGUCUUAGAGGAAAUUCUUAUGCAUAUGCUAUUGUGGACGACUUCUCUAGAUACACAUGAGUCUUGUUUUUUAGUCAAAAGAAUAAAGUUUUUUAUGAGUUUUCAAAGUUUUGCAAUAAGAUUCAAAAUGAAAAAGGUUUUUCAAUUACUUAUAUAAGAAGUGAUCAUGGGAGAGAAUUCGAAAAUAUUGAUUUUGAAGAGUAUUGCAAUGAGCAUGGAAUUGACCACAAUUUUUUGGCUCUUAGAACUCCUCAACAAAAUGGGGUAGUUGAAAGGAAAAAUAGAACUCUUCAAAAAAUGACAAGAACCAUACUAAAUGAAAACAACUUACCAAAAUAUUUUUAGGCCAAAACGGUUAACACUUCUUGUUAUGUUUUAAAUAGAGUAUUAUUGAGGCUCAUACUUAAGAAAACUCCCUAUGAGCUUUGGAAAAACAAAAAACCCAACAUUAGUUAUUCCAAAGUCUUUGGAUGCAAUAUUUUAUAAUAAACACCAAAGACAAUCUUGGAAAAUUUGAUGCAAAAUUGGAUGUUGGAAUUUUCCUUGGUUACUCAACUUCAAGUAAAGCUUUUCGAGUUUUAACAAAAGAACCAUGGUUGUAGAGGAGUCCAUCCAUGUUAUUUUUUAUGAAUCUCCAAGAAAGAGAGAGGAUUGAUGAUGAUUUAGGUUUGAAGACCUCUAUAGGAAGAUUGCAAAUCGAAGAUAGAAGACAACAAGAAGAAAAUGGAGAGAAUCCAAAGAAAGAAGGAUCACCAUUGGCACUACCCCCUCAUCAACAAGCGCAAGGUGAAUCAAGUCAAGAGCUUCCUAAAGAAUGGAAGUUUGUCAUCAAUCACCCACAAGAUCAAAUUAUAGGCAAUCCAUCUAGUGGGGUAAGAACUAGAUCCUCUCUUAGAAAUAUUUGCAAUAAUCUAGCUUUUAUCUCUCAAAUUGAGCCUAAAAAUAUAAAUGAUGUUUUAGAUGAUGAAAAUUGGAUAAUUGCAAUGCAAGAAGAGUUAAAUCCAUUUGAAAGAAGUGGAGUAUGGGAAUUAGUACCAAGACCUUCAAAUCAAAGUGUUAUUGGAACUAGAUGGAUCUUUAGAAAUAAAAUGGAUGAAAAUAGCAUAAUUGUUAGAAAUAAAGCAAGAUUGGUAGCCCAAGGUUUUAAUCAAGAAGAAAUGAUAGAUUAUGAAGAAACCUUUGCCCCCGUAGCUAGGUUGGAAGCCAUUAGGAUGCUACUUGCCUUUGCAUGUUUUAAAGACUUUGUUUUAUAUCAAAUGGAUGUGAAAAGUGCUUUUUUAAAUGGUUUUAUAAAUGAAGAAGUAUAUGUUGAACAACCACCCGGUUUUCAAAGUUUCAACUUUCCUAACCAUGUUUUUAAACUUAAAAAGACACUUUAUGGUUUGAAACAAGCACCUAGAUCAUGGUAUGAAAAAUUGAGUAAAUUUCUUUUGAAAAAAAUGUUUUAAAAUGGGAAAAAUUGACACAACUCUUUUUAUAAAAACCAAAGAAAAUGAUAUGCUCUUAGUUCAAAUAUAUAUUGAUGAUAUCAUUUUUGGUGCUACUAAUGUCUCUCUUUAUGAAGAAUUUUCUAAGUGCAUGCAUAGUGAGUUUGAAAUGAGCAUGAUAGGAGAACUCAACUUCUUCCUUGGACUUCAAAUCAAGCAACUAAAGGAAUGAACCUUCAUCAAUCAAGCAAAGUAUAUAAGAGAUCUUCUCAAAAGGUUCAACAUGGAAGAAGCCAAAACAAUGAAGACUCUAAUGAGCUCAUCCAUUAAGCUUGAUAAGGAUGAGAAAGGUAAAUCCAUUGACUCUAUUAUGUAUAGAGGCAUGAUAGGUUCUUUGCUCUAUUUGACCACUAGUAGACCUUACAUUAUGUAUAGUGUGUGUUUGUGUACUAGAUUUCAAUCUUGUCUUAAAAAAUCUCACUUAAGUGUCGUGAAAAGAAUCCUCAAAUAUUUGAAAGGGACAAUGGACAUAGGCUUAUGGUAUCCUAAGAGUGAUAACUUUGAAUUAAUUGGUUUUUUGGAUGCUGAUUUUGUCAGUUGUAGGGUUGAAAAAUAAAACACUAGUGGCACUUUUCAUUUCUUAAGACACUUACUUGUCUCAUGGCAUAAUAAGAAGCAAAAUUUGGUAGCUUUGUCAACAGCAGAAGCUAAAUACAUAGCAACUGGUUUAUGUUGUGCACAAAUCCUUUGGAUGAAAUAAACACUUAGUGAUUUUGAUUUAUCUUUUGAGCAUAUUCCUAUUAAAUGUGAUAAUAGUAGUGCCAUAAGUAUAUCAAAAAAUCUCGUGCAACACUCUAGGACUAAGCAUAUAGAGAUUAGACAUAAUUUUCUUAGAUAUCAUACACAAAAGGAUGAUAUAACACUUGAAUUUGUAAGCAUAAAAGACCAACUUGCCGAUAUCUUUACAAAACCUCUAAGAACAUUUUGUUGAUAUUAGAGGACAAUUAGGAGUGAUUUCUUUAUGAUCUAAUGUGAUGAAUUCUUGAUGAAUAUACUUUUUGAUUGCAUGAAUUUCAUGUCAUAUAUGCAUCAUAUAGAAAUAUACUUAGAUAAUGGUCAAAUUUCGACCAAAAAUCAAAAUUCCCAUGGCAUUAGGCAUAAAAAUUUUGGAAUUUCAACUGAAAAUGGUAGGAGGAGGAUCACAAAAUGAGAAAGUAUGCAAAAAUUGAAAAAUCAAAACGUUGACCAAGCGGUCAAUCGGACUAGACCGAUCGACUAGUUUGUCGAGAUUUAGGAUUUUUAAGAGACUCCAACGCUUCAAUUUUUGCACCGUUCUCCUCUAUUUCUUCACGGUUUCUCUGAUUUUGUCUUUUAGAGACUAAUUUGAGUGCGUUUUGGAUCAAUUGAAGCAUUUUGGAUUGGAUUUUAGGAAGAUUGAAAGUUAAGGUUUCGGAUUUGGGUCGCCUUCUCUUCCUCUCGCGUGUCACAAUCAGCUUUAGCAUUGUUCUCUUUCCAUUUUCACACACCUAGGGUUUCAGUUGUGAGCAUCUCUCUCUCUUUACCAACCACUACUCCCUUGCUUCUUCCAUAUGGCUCCUAGGCGAGAGUCCGCUACUUCUAGGGCACAAGGCAAGCACCCAACUGAGUCGUCUCAGUCAAAGGCACGUCGAAAAGUGAGAUUUGACAUUGCCUUGUUCAGUUCCAUGGAGGACUACCAACUAUACAAGCAACACUUUGCUUAGAGACGAGUAGUUCCCAAGAGAAAUAUUAAUUUUCCUCAACUUCAGCAUUUCGAAUUUAAGGGUCUAUUUACUAGGAUGGUUGGUUGUCUAUUGUCACAAUUUCGGAGCCGGUUUUCCUGACCUUAGUGCGAGUUUUUUACUCGAGGGCGACUUAUGGCAUGGGUGGCAUGAUCAUUUCUACUGUUGGAGGAGUUGAGAUCUGUCUGGACCCAGAGAGCAUCUGCCAUAUUUUCGAUAUUGCUCUGGUUGGACUCAAAGUAUACAAGUCCAAAAUGUGGCCCAUUGUGCCAGGAUUUGAGCUUAGAGAGGUCAUUCAGAGGAUUUGUGAACUUCCAGACGCCCAGGAGAUGGGCAAACCAUUGCCACACAGUUUGACGGUCAUCAACAGGGUGCUACACCAUAUAUUGUGCUCUAUCUUUCUACCACGAAGUGGACAUUGAGAUGAGGUCUCUUAUUAUGAGGCAUUCCUUAUUGACUCCAUUCUAACGGAGAGACGAAUUCAUCUACUAUGUCAUCAUUCACUAAGCCUCCUCACAGUGACAUACCACCUCAUCAGGCACCUCUUGCUCCUGACCAUGCUCCAUUGAUGGAUUUAUUUACUCAUAUUAGCUCUCUAGGCACUCGCAUGAAGGAGUUUGUUGUAGUUAGUGAUACAUGGUUCUACUCCAUAGAGGAUCGCAUGGAUCAGUAUCAGACUGGCUUCACGUCACAGUUUGAGUAUCUCCAAUAGAGGAUUGAGCAUAUUGAGGAUCACUUGAGCAUGAGAAGAUGAUGGCUUUUCUAUGCUCUGUGUUUCCACCUCCACCUCGUCAACCUUGAUUUCUUAGAGACCCAUUGUUUUCAUUUUGUAAUGUUGCCAAAAGGGGGAGAUAUUUAGGAUCUAGGACUCUAUAGGAGACUUACAUGCAUAUCAUUUUCAUAUCAUUGUUUGGAUCGUACAUAUUGGAUAGUGAUACUUUUUACUUAUAUAUGAUAUGCCUAUAUGUUUCAUGUCUUACAUUGUUUCUUAUUGCAAAUUAUCUCUAACAUGUCUUGAUUAUCUUUUUUUUAACUUCAUAAAUUUUGAUUGUUAACCCAUGAUUGGUUUGAGGGGAAGAUUCUUCUUCUCCUAGAUAACCAAGGUUUGUCAUCAUAAAAAAAUUGGAGAUUGUUAGCCCAAGGGUUCUCCUAAUCAUGUUUUGAUGAUAACAAACCAUGCUUAAGUUACUAAUUGGUUUGAAUUAUAAAGAAUUUCAAGUGUUAAUUUGAAAAUUCAUCAAAGAACCUAAUGGAUGCAAGAUCAAGAUUUUUGGAAGACCUUUAAUCAUAAGAAACAUAUGUAAGAUGAAUGCAUGGGUGCACUUAAGAUUUGCAUAUCAUUUCAUGCAUAUUUGGAAAACACGGUUUAUGCUUUAAAGUUACAUUUCCAUCAAAAUUUGAGAUCCAUCAAAUGAACCUUAGGAAAAAUGUUUUAAAAUUGGCAUAUAAUUUUACCUAAAGACCUUGCCUAAGUGUUAGAAGCAAAAGGACAAAAAAAAUAUAGGUUUUCUGGUCAAAAAUGGUGAACCAGUCAAGGCAUUGUCUAAAUCAGCUCAAUCGGCCAAGGUACCGGUCGAUCGGUUUCCCUUUCCCUGUCGAGAUCUAGUCAAGAGGUACAAAAAUCACAAUCUCUGUCUCUUUCUCUCUUUGUCUAUCUUCCAGUAGUCUUUCCUUCCCGGUCGAGGGAUUUGCCUUCCCGAUUGAGGUCCGAUUGAGAGUAAUAGUCACUUGCCAAAUAUUAAAUGCUCCAACAGUUAGUGAACUGGUCGACCCCCACCUUGCCCAGUUGAGGUUACUUUUUGGUUUUCUUGGCUCCCGAUGUUAGAAACCUAUAAAUAGAGAGUUCCACUUCAUUUAUGAGCAAGAGAACACUUGCAUUUAUUUGUUUACCUACUUGUUCUUGCCUUAAAAGCUCUCAUUUCUUUUCUUGGUGCAUUAAAUCUCCAUUUUGAUAUCCUUUAGUGCACCUUUGUGAUUCAUCUUAGCCUUGAGUUGUAUUUGAGCCCUUUUUUUAGCUAGGUUGAGAGUUUCAUACUUGUUAAUUGAGUGUUAAAGCCUUCAAGUGAGUUGAAACUUGUAGAGAUUAUGUGAGAGUCGAUUGGAGCCGAAAUCCAAGUGUAAAGGUGAUUAGAAGCUUGGUUGAAGCUUCAAGUUAGUGGAAUCCUCACUCAAUUAGGAGCUUGAGGAGAGUGGACGUAGCCAAGGAAGUGUCGAACCACUAUAAAAUUUGAGUUUGAUUUCUCUAACAUUGUCUCUUUAUAUUUGUUUAUCUUGUGCUUAAAUUUAUUGUGUUUAAAAAGAAUUUUUAAAUACCCAAUUCACCCCCCUCUUGGGUGUUUUUCUCUUUUAAAAUUAGCCUUUAUUUUCUCACAAACUAUUGUAGUAUAGUGGUUUUUAGGUGUCAUCCAUUAGGAUGAAUUGUUCUCGGUAAUUAAGGCGUGAAUGAGAGGAGAAUUAAUGAUUGUGAUUAAGUAAAAUUGAUUUGAAAAUUCAUGGUGAAAAAUCAAUUUAACAAUGGUUUCUAAUUGAGAAAAACAAUGAAAUGUGAAAUAAAAUAAAAUUAAUAGGAAAUGAAAUUCUCGAAGUUAGAAUUUUCUAAAAAACAAAUUCCAUGGUGAAUGGAUGUUGAGAUCUAAUUUUCAUCAAGUUAGAUUGAAAACCGAAAUUUUCAUAUAAACUGAUUUUUUAUUUAGUUUUAGGUCUAGAUUUAAUUUCCCUUAAAAUUAGGUUAUUUAAUCCAAGAAAUCAAUUCAAAUCAUAUAUUCAAUUCAUCUUAAAUUAUCUUCCAAUUAUUCACACAAUGCAACUAUUCAAUCUCAUCAAAUCUAGCUUUUAAGAAUUUAAUGAAUCUACCUAGUUUGCAUUGUAAUAGUCAUCCAUGACAAUUUGAAGAGAAAAAUAAUUCAAUUAAUCAAUCACUUGGAUCAAAUUACCUUUGCAAUUAAAGUUCAUUUCUCUAAUUCACCACAGAUUUUGUCUCUAGAUCCUCCUUUCUCAAAGAAAAAUGAGAUUUAGCCACACAUGAUUGGAGAUUUGGUCUCAUAAGGCAUGUUUAGCUAGUGAUAAAAUGAGAGAAAAUAAAGAAAAAUAGAGAAUUCGAUUAAGAAAGAAAAUCUAAAAAAUUCUACAAUUAGAAAUGUCCAAAAAGCUUUUUCAUGAGAAAAUCAAGUUUCUAUUUAUAGGCCAAGGUCAAGUGGACACUUGACAUCAUCUAAGAGGUCUUCCGGAAGCUUCUUCAUCAAGAAAUCUGGAGUUUAAUAAUAAAAUGGUCAUUUCACAAGAGCUCAAACAAUUUCGCAUGAUUAUGUGAAAUAAAAAAUGCAACAACAGCAAUUUACAUCUUCUUGGAGCAUUUCGCAUGACUGUGUGAAAUUUUCACAUGAUCAUGUGGAAUCGACUUGACAACUCUCAUUUAGCCUACAACAUAAUUCCACCUUUUGGUCCAUUUUUCAUAGUCAUGCGAAAUGGAAAUAUUUGAUUUUUAAGUUUUCUUUUGUCAUUUCUUUCAUUUCCUUCUCUUGAUUCCACUUCAACUACCUCCGAAUCCUGGUCCAAACCAAUUGCAUUACUUCUUUCAUUAUGCAUUUGGAUCAUCAUCAACAUUAUUUGUUCUCUUCAAUUUGAUUCAUCUCUUUUGUCACCAAUUUAUCAAAAUCAUACCUUGAAAUGACUCCAAAACUUCAUAAAACUUGUUAGUAACUCUUGCAAGGGCAACAACAUAUUAAUUAAGUGUUUUAGGCAUAGUUACUACUCAAAAGAUGCGAAACUCAUGAUAAUUAUUAUAUAAAAUAUGCUCUUUUUGAGUAGUAAUCAACUUUCUUGCAUAAGCAGACCUUUUAGGGUGGAGUACUAAAGACCAAUAUGCUUGUCCUUGUUGUAAUAAAGAAACUUGCUCUUAUUGAUUGCACCAUGGGAGAAAAUUUUGCUACAUGAGUUAUCAUCAAUUUCUUCCCACCAAUCAUAGAUUUAGACGUGACAAGAGGCCUCUUAAUGGCAAGGAGGAACUGACACUCACACUUAUACAAUUAUCGGGCAUUGAUGUGUUGCAACAAUUAGAAUAACUUACACCAAUUAUGUUGGGGAAGUCACAAAAGGCAAACAUGAAAACUAAAAGGAAAAAAGAAAAAUGUUACAUAUCACCACAACUGGAAAGAAAAAAGUAUUUACUUUCAUUUGCCAUAUUGGAAAGCACUUAUUUUACAUCAUAAUAAUUUAGACAUAAUGCAUAUUGAGAAAAAUGUGUGACAAUAUAAUUGAGACAUUGUUCAGUAUUGACGAAGAAACAAGGACAACCUAAAUAGUCAUCUCGAUUUACAAGCUCUAACUAUUAGAAAUGAGAUUCACCCAAUAGAAAGCAGGACCAAAUUUAUUUUGCUUGCAACAUGCUACUCACUCACCCCAAAUGAGAUUAAGGAAUUUUGCAAGUUUUUGAAAUCAAUAAAGGUCCCCAAUGGCUAUUCUUUCAAUAUCUCUCGUUAUGUGCAACUCAAUGAAAGGAAGAUAUAUGAGCUCAAAUUGUAUGAUUGUCAUGUCCUAAUGCAACAACUUCUCUCACUUGUAGUUCGUGGAGUUCUACAUAAGAAUGUUUGUGGAGUUAUCAUAGAAUUGCGUAAUUUUUUCAAGCAAUUGUGCUCAAAGGUGUUAGAAACAAAUCACUUACACCAACUUGAGAACAAUAUUAUUGUCAUACUAUGUAAAAUGGAGCAAAUAUUUCUUCCAUCAUUCUUUGAUAUUAUGGUGCAUUUACUUGUGCAUCUAGUAAGGCAAAGGUUGCAAGACUUGUGCAAUAUUGUUGGAUGUACCUAAUUGAACGAUAUUGUUAUAAUUUCAUAUGAAUCAUUUAAUUUUAUUUUAUAUUAUGUUCAGUUCAUUAACAUGUACAUUGGUCUACAUAUGGAUGAUGAUAGGUACCUAAGCACUUUAAAGUCAUAUGUGCGUAAUAGAACUUUUCUAGAAGGUUCUAUUGUAGAAAGGUACCUUGCAAAAGAAUGUACAACAUUUUAUUCUAGGUACUUGAAUGAUGUGGAAAUAAAGUAUAAUCACAAUGAUAGAAACUUUGUUGGUUUCAACACUAGAGGAGAUGAAAGGGGUUAUCUUUAAACAUAUUGGACAUGCAUUGGGAAAGCCCAUAUUUCAUUAACUUAGUUCAAAAGAGUGGUCACAAGCACAUUUAUAUGUGUUGACAAAUUGCGAAGAUGUCAUACCAUUCAUUGAGUAAAAAAUUUAUUUGAAUUUUAAUUAAAGCUCUAGUUUAUAUCCUUAAUCAAUGUUUUUUAAAUUCACAAGGAGCACAAGCAAACCAUCAAGGCUAGACCACAUAUACGUGUUUGAGACGUAGAUUUAAUUCAUAACAAGGAAUUUAUCAAGUGGUUUGAAAGACAUGUAAGUAUAUUCCUUAUUAUAAGGGAUUUAUUUCACAUUAUGUUUAUAUUGAAUCCAAACCUAUUAUUGAAUUGUAGGUUGAACAAUUACAUAAUGAAGGUCAUAUAUCUGAACACCUUCUCACAUUAUCAUGUGUUCCAAAUUCAUUAGUUACAUGCUUCAAAUGAUAUAUUGUCAAUGGAUUUAGAUCCCACAUUAAAGAACGUGAUAAAAAAGUUUUUAAAAAAAGACUCAGAAUAAUGGAAUUGUUGUAGUUGCAAAAACGUCAAGCUUUACAAGUGCAUGUGAUAUGAGUCCAAUUAUUAGUGAUGCUCUCUACUAUGGUGUUCUAACUAAAGUUGUUGAGUUACAUUAUCUUGGUGAAAAUAAGGUUGUUUUAUUCGAGUUUGAUUGGUGGGAUGUUACAAAUAUUGGAAAAUUGAUAAAAGAUGAUGAGUACAAUUACACAUUUGUUAACUUUGCAUGAAUUCUAACCACGAACGAACGAUUUGUACUUGCAUCUCCAGCAAAGUAAGUGUUCUAUGUGAAGAAUGCGAAUGAAUCAGAUUGGCAUACUAUCAUGGAGAUGCAACCUCAAGACCUCUAUAAGAUGAACGGGAUAGGAUCCAAUGGUGAUUUUGAACCAUUUCAACAAAGUGAACUACAUGAUCACUAAUAUAUCUCAGAUUUAGUUGAUGAAGAUAUAAUCAAGUGGAACAAAAGUGAUGUUUUAGGACUAAUCAUCCUAAAAAAUAUUGUAGUUUCUUAAAAAAAAAAUGAAAAUGAAGAAGAUAAUUGAACCUUUGUCAUACUUUAAAAAGCAACUAUGCAUUGUUCAUUUUGUAUGUUUUGGUUUUCUUCAUUUAAUUUCCUGAUUUUUGUGAUUCAAUGUCAUAUUAUUGAUCUUGAAAUAUUUUUCUAAUUUUUCAUUCUACGAUGGUUUCAACAAGGAUGACAUCAAGUCAAAAAAGGAAAUGUGGUCCCACACACAAUAUUGCAUUACAGGGAUUAAGGUCAGGGAAGAAGGUAAAAGUUGCAUUUAAUGAGUACAAUCAAUUGGUUAAACAGAAAAAUGGAAAACACUUAUCGAGCUACAUAGGGACACUUGUAUCUAACCAACACAAUGUACCUCUCCAAGCUAGUGAUUGGAAAAAUGUUCCAAAUGAUGCAAAAGAGAAAGUAUGGCCUUUGUUUUGGUAUGUUGUAUUUCUCACUAUAUGAUGUCAUUUCACUGUUAUUCUAUUUUGUGACUAACGUUUGAAUCAUAUGUAAGAAAAAUUUGAAGUAGAUAAAGACUGAAAAGAUUACAUGUUGGGUAUAGCCUCAAAUAAAUAUAGAAGCUAUAAAAAUAUGAUGAAUGCAAAAUACUAUGACCCUUGGCAUAAGGAUGCAUGAGGAGAGGUUAAUACAUAAAUCACCAUUUGUCUCUGAUGUUGAUUGGAAGUGGCUUGUCUCUGAUGCAUAAACCAAAUCCCCCACUGAAUGUUUGAUAUUUGAUAGCAGGAAAAACACACCCGCAGCUAUACACCUCCAUCAUUCAGAUAAUUAUAGUGGGGGAGAUGAUUCAUGGUUGCCCUUAUACCCUUUAUUUGCACCAUCUAUUGAGAUUCUUUAUCAUGGCCAGGUUUUACUGCAGCAAUAAGAUAUGGUGGCAACAAUUUUAUCUAUAGGUGCGGUUCCAGACCGCCUCCAUAGGUGCGGUUCCUGACUGCCUCCAUAGGUGCCUCUUCUUGUAAUGUUUGUUCUGGGAAUUACACUUGAAAGCCUUAUCGUGAUAAGGGAUUACAAACACUAGUUCAGAGGACAGCCAUGUUAAACUUCCACUAUGUUUGUGUCACAUUAUCAGCAGCCUAGUGUUUAUUGGUCAUGCUAUCUGCAACUAAUAUAACCCGGUGAACUUCAAUCUAAAUUCUGAAAGUACUCAUGUGACAGAUGGUGCCUUUCAGCAGAUAUCAUCAAUUUAAAAGUAGUGUGUGUGCCUAUAGGUGGGAAGGCCUUGGCAAAUGUUCAGUAUUCCGGUAAUUCAAGAAGGAUAUAUCUAAAAUAGAUUUUCUUCUUGCCCAUUUCAAUAGUUAAAAUUUGAGAAGAUUGUGUCCACAUCACACAAAUAUUAUUGGUCCUUCUGUUGCAAUUUACCUCUGAACAUGUCUUCCAAUUCCCACGGUCCUGUUACUCCAGGAAAACUAUUUCGGUCAUAUUGAAAAAAAAAAUAUUAAAGAAGGUACACAUGCUUUUAAGUGGACUGGGGCAUUCAUAUCAGGUGGUCUGUAUCCACAUAUGCCACUUCGUGAAAGGUGGAACAGCCUAAUCACUAGGCUAUUUAGUGUGGCCCAGCCACGUUAAUCAAGCACAAGUCUUCAUACUUAAAGUCAAAUGGUGUCUUUAGUCUCAUUACACAUCGCUAUUUGAAGAUUAACUCAUCACUAGUGUAAUGCGAUUAAGACAGUCCUAACUCAAUAUUUGUUCUAGUUUUGGAUGCAAAUGCUUGCUGGUUUCAUCAUUGGAUGGGAUAAAGGUGCAAUCAGGACUAUGAAUACGUGCAGUAAUACUUCAUUCUCUUUUUUCUCAAUGAGACUUCUUGGCACAAUUUUGCUGCUCAGCAACCUACCUUUCCAUGGAAAAUCAGUUGUGACUGAUAGUAAUGGAUAUAUUCUAGAAAGCUAAACAUAGAUAGCAUUCAAUAUUAUCGAUAUAACAUUAACAGCGUAUGUCUCAAUGCUCAUCAGCUACAAGCAAUGGACAAACACUUUGAGUAACUCACAGCAGUCAAAAUUCCUAAACAGGACAGACGUGACAGAUCUAUAUAUAGAACACUGCAUAUGAGUCACAGGAAAAGAUAAUACGGGUACAUAGAAGCUCUUAUUUUACAUAUUACUCAUACUGAUCAAAGUCGCUCAGUUGGGAUGGAUGGGAGAAGGAGGUUUGAGGGGUGGCUUGUGCGGGGAAGUUGGCAGCUUCUUUCCGGGAGCUGGUUGCUUCUUUGCUGGAGUUGAAGGAGGCUUAAUCUUCCGAGGUGGCUUGUAUGAGUCUUCAGCAUUCUCAGCAGGAGGGUGACCAGGGUUGUGACCAUAAUGUGGUGGCUUCUCUCCCUUAGGUGGUUUGCCAACUGGGGUUGGUGGCUUGUUUUCUGGGAGUGGCUUCUCUCCCUUGGGUGGUUUGCCAACUGGGGUUGGUGGCUUGUGUUCUGGGAGUGGCUUCUCCCCCUUGGGAGGUUUUUCGAAUGGGGUGGGUUUGUGUCCUGGUGGUGGCUUCUCUCCCUUGGGAGGUUUACCAAUUGGGGUCGGUGGCUUGUGUUCUGGGAGGGGCUUCUCUCCCUGGGGAGGUUUAGUGGGUGGCUUGUGUUCUGGAGGUGGCUUCUCCACCGGAGGCUUAUGCUCUGGUGGUGGCUUCUCGAAGGGGGGAUGCUCAGGGUAAUCACCAAGUGAGGGGGUGGUGAGAACCACCAUGCCAAGCAACAACACUAGCAAGUAUGUAGUAGACAUCUUUGGGUUUGGACUCAGACAGUGCAAAACUACGAGAAAUCGCUAGCCCUUUAUAGCGGCUCGGACCUAAUACUGACAUAAUAUAAAAUAAAUAUUAUAUUUUAUCAAGAGAGAACAGAGUGUAAUUUUAUCAUUAAUACCGAUCGAGGCCAAAGAAAGAAGACCCAUAAUCCAUUUCCCACAAGCAUACACAAUGCAGCUGUAAUUUUAUCAUUUACUUUUAUCCCUUGGACCACUGCAUUUUUGUUGAGAGACACAAUAACACAUUUUUAUCUGUCAUUCAACAUUUACAGUAAAGAGAGGGCACAAAACGCAAUUAGAUAAAUUAUGUUUUGCCUGCUAAAAAGAGGCAAAUAACUUUAUUUGCAACAUAAUUAUUUUGGUUUCUAGUGACCCCGGGGCCUUUCGGUUGGUUUGGGAUCGGAAAAUGAACAUCAUAGGGGGGGUUGUGCCCUUAUGGGCAUAUAUAUCUGAUAGCUUCAACUGGCCUUGUUCCUAGAAAGAAAUUGCCAAAGAUAUAAACUUAUUCCAGGCUGAAAGUAGAUGAGAGUCAUAAUGAACAUCAACCUUUGUUCAGUUUGAUUCAAUGCCCCCAUAGUGUUCAUUUCACAGAUCUGAAUGAUUAUAUCCGUUGAAUACAUAAAUUAAUGAAGACAAAUAUGAAACCCAAGAUACAUCUCUGCAUAACAACCCCAACCCUGGUUGCUAUGUUUCCCUUCUUCUAUUCACAUGAGGAUACUGGUUAUAAUUGUCAAACUUGCAACAAGCCCUUUGACACCUAACGUCAAUGGACGAAUUAAAAGUCUCCUUCAAACGUCUAUUUCACAGCAUGAAGCUUAUAAAGGAUGCUGACAACCUUCAGAGUUAGCGACAAAAGAUAAUUAUCAAGGAGAGAUAGUUCCAUGAGAAUUCCAAGGAGUCUGAAUCAAAGACAAAUUGCUCACUCAAGGGUUCUUAUUUUCUUUUAGGUACAAAUCUCUUGAGUGUUGUUAAAGAAACACGUCACUGUCAUUUUGAUUUGCAUUUAACAUUUCACUUUUGUUCUGGAAGGUUUGUUCCGGAAACAUAUCAAAUGAGCAUCAUUUUCUUCUUCGGUGACACAUGGUCGCGAGUACGUGGGUCCAUUUUCAUGCCACUUAGUUGAAAAGUUGGAAAGAAAAAACAUGCCAACAAGAAGAUAGUGAGAGAAGGGGCACUUCAAGCCUUUAACAUGAACAAACAGUAAAUAAAAGAUGUUUCUCCACUCAUAAAAGUGUGUUAGAUAGCAAUAUAACGAAUCACAUCCAAAAUCUUUACUAGGCUCAAACAUAAAGAAGACUCAUUUUUAAGAAAAGAUAAAAAUGGCAUUGUCUGAUAGUAUCCAAUACACGAGAUGGCACUUAAUUUGUACAAGAUCUGUCAAUGCUGACGCACAUUUUCUGAUUAAAAAAAAACUGAUCAGUCAAAAGCAAUGAAGAGAAGUGAUGACAAUGAAUGAUGCUUCCAAUAUUUUCACCCCUUAUAGUGUUCUUCAUGAUUCAGAUAUAUAAUUGGAAAUAGAACAACCCUAUGCCAUACAUUCGUCUAAGUAUGGUGUCUAAUUUUUUGUGUCAGCGGUUGCGAAUGGAGCGUGCAAAAGUCCAAAUUGGCGUCUCUCCAUUUCCACAUAGGAAGGUGACCUUUAUUGACAAAUACCCAAUAUUUGUAGACAUUCCUUAAAUAUCAUAACUUCUUGUUGAUUUGAAAAUCAUUUUUCAACUACCAUGUUUUAAUAAAUAUUUUUUAAAAUGUAUUUUUAUCAAAGUCCACCAUGAUGGAUAAUAUUCACCAUGCAAUAAUUAAUAAAGUACAAACUAAGCGAAAUGAAAAGCAUUUUCUUUGCUUUGAGUUGAUUUUGGUUGCAUUGAGUUGAUUUUGGUUUCAUGGUUUUUUCAACUCUUAUUUUGAUUGGAAGAUGUCAAGAAAAGAAAACAUAAAGAAAAAUUAAAAGGGAAAAAAGAAGAAAAAUAAAAAAAAAUAGAUUUAAAAGUUAAUAAAUUAUUUUUUAUAUUUAUUUUAAUUCAUUUCACUUAUUUUUCUUUUACUAUAUAAAAUUUAAAUAAUUUAAAUUUUAUAAUUAAUUUAAUUACAUUUCAUUUUCUUCUAUAUUUAAAUAUUGGAAAAAUAUUUUACUUAAUAUUUUUUUCUUUAAUUUCUUUGGCAUUUUGGGAACCAAACUUAGCCUUUAAAAUAAAAAACAAAAAAAAAAUGAAAAUAAGGAGGGAAAAGUGAGAAAAGAUAAAAACAAUAUGUAAAGGAUUUGAAAAGUAUUAGUUUGUAAUUACUAUUUGGAUUUCAAUAGUAUUUUAUUUGUCUUUCUAUAUUUCAUGUAAGAGAGAAUUUAAGAUAUUCCCCAAGGCAAAGCAUUAGUUACCUGCAAUCAGUGGUGAUAAGGCUCCAAGCCAAUUUUGGGCCCCAUAUCUUAAGACAGUACAAUUUCCAUUUCAACAUUUCUGAUUUCUCAGAUGUUUCACAUACCACAGAAGAACAUUGUUUGUGAAAAUAUGCAUUUAUGUUGGAUUUUGUAUGCUGUGGGGACUGGGGCAAGGAUCAUAUGGAAGAGUGGUUGACUUUUUCUGUACUUUAACGGUUGAAAUAGGAUAAGCACGGGCAUUUGUGAGGCUUAAUUGAUUUUGAAGCCUGAAAUUGCGUUUCUGUCAUUUUGUCAAAAAAAUGGCAGAUUCCAUACUCAUAUGUUUGGCCUGUGGCCAUGUACAGAUGCCAUUUAGUGACCAGUUUGUAACUGUCAAUCGUUGCGUUUUGACUCUGCCUCAACAACAUCUGCCAUUGACGGGUUUUCAUACUUGCAAAUCAAAUAGUCUUUCGUCCCAUCAGGAAUUUCGGUUUAAAUAUUAUUAAGCAUACGUUUGGCUGACAAUCAUUAUCCAGUUCAUGAUUUGGUUUCUUACCCUUAAUCAAUGGUUUCUAAGUGAAUAUAUGUAGAAGGAAAUCCGAAGUGUAGACAGUAGUAUCGAUAACUCUCAAUAUUCUCUAUAUAAUAGAAUAAACAGCGUCAUAGUGAUCGUCGCCUACAAGCAAGGUACAAAUACCAAAACGAGUGACUCACAUAGACAUCUCCCAACAAGAUGUAGUAGUGACUGACACAUGGACACAAUUAACUCGUAGAAAAGGAUAAGACCAUUGCACAGCAGCUCUUAUUUUACAUACUACUUAUGCUAACCAAAGUCAAUUAGUUGGGAUGGGUGGGAGAUGGAGGUUUGUGCGGUGGCUUGUGGGGCGGAGUUGAUGGCUUCUUUCCAGGAGCUUCUGGCUUUUUCAUCGGAGCUGAAGGAGGCUCAAUCUUAUGAGGCGGCUUGUAUGAGUCUUCUUUACUCUCGACAGGAGGGUGGCCAGGGUUGUGAUCAUAAUGUGGUGGCUUCUCUCCCUUAGGUGGCUUGCCAACUGGGGUUGGUGGCUUGUGUUCAGGAAGUGGUUUCUCUCCCAUGGGAGGUUUAGCAAUUGGGGUUGGUGGCUUGUGUUCUGGGAGUGGCUUCUCUCCCUUGGGAGGUUUAGUAGGUGACUUGUGUUCUGGAGGUGGCUUCUCCACCGGAGGCUUGUGCUCCGGUGGUGGCUUCUUGGUUGGAGGGGGCUUGGGGUAAUCAGCAAGAGAUGGGGUGGUGAGAACCACCAGUCCAAGGAACAACACUAGCAAGUAUGUGGGAGACAUUUUUGAGUUUGGGCUGAUCAGAUGAUGCAAAACUAAAGCAUUACGUGACCUUUUAUAGCAUGUAGCUCCCAAUACCCACUAAGUAUUGUGGGGUCCAUUUGUGCCCUACGGGGUUGAAAACUUAGACAAUUGGGCAAGGACCCACCUGACUAUGGAGGACUAGUGAGGUGUGAUCAUAGCUUUAGGAUUUUUCUUCCUCUGCAGCCGUCGUGCCGUUGGCAUGAUUUUCUUAAUCUUAAAUAAAGGCAUAGUUAUAGAGUUGUUUAAUCUCUAAAUGGGAUUUUAUAUAUAUCUUCAGAUAGCCAUUAAUAUAUUUGAUGAAGAAAGAAAGACAAGUGCAUACAACAUGUAUACGACUAGCUUUCAUGGAGUUCAUUUAUGAUCAGUUUUCCUGUACAUGUAAACCAGGAUCAUAUAUAUGUUUCUGUUCCACAACUAUUUUGGAAUCUUGUUUAUCAGUUUUUAUCAUUAUAAUGUCACAUAGGCUGCCAACUUGGGCGCUAAAAGAACCAGUUGGGCUAGUUCGUUUCAGAAUUUCAAUGUGGAUUCAGGAAUUGUUUUGUAAGAUAUGCGAAAUAGUAGAGGGAUGAAUAGUGUUUCAUUAAUAAAAGUGUCCUGUAAAUUAGAAGGUGUCAUAGAAACUAUAAUCAAUAAAUAACUUUUUUUCCCCACGGGUGGUGUUUCUUGUGGGGAUCAGUGACUGGUUUAGGUUCACCCAAAAUGAGUUCAGACUAAAAUUGGUUUGAGUCAAUGCCGUGUCUCUUUUUUCCAGAAAUCAACUAUUUUAUGCAUUGAAUAAAUCAUACAAAGAAAAUAUGAACGCCCGCAAAACCUAAACCCUGGUUGCUAACUUUCUAUGUUUCAGUUCUAUUCACGCAAGAAUAUUAGUUUAAGUUUGGGAAAAAUGGCAACUUACCUAGUGAUUACUUGGUUUUGGUUUGCGACUAUUUACGCAACCAACCAUGAGUUUGACUUUAACGUCAUGGGUUGAAGCCUCCUACAGGAAGGGAGAAAGCUCCACAGCUAGCUCCAAAAGAGAAUUAUCACAUUGAUAGCUCCAGAGAUUCCCAAGGGGACUGAAUCAAAGACAAGUUCCUCACUUUUUCUUCUUUUGAGGCCAAAUAUGAACCAAGGAUCACACAACCUCAUUCAACUUCAUAAGUUUGAUUUCAUGCAGUUGAACACUGGGUGAAGGCCAUGACAAGAAUUGAUUCAAAAAUUCUAUCACUCUUUUAAGUAAUGGAAGAUUAUUAUCUCUGAUUGGCAUCACAACAGCACAUGCUCCUAGAUCUUUCUAGACACUCCAUGCAAUGAAAGCACAAUGGAUCUUGUAACGAUAGAAACUAAGCCAUGCUACAGUACUAGAUGAUGAGGUAAAACUAGUAGACACGGGUGGCAGCCUAUAUGGGAGGGACACAAGUCUAAUUGAUUUGCAUUUCAGCAUUAUAGAUAGGUAUGUUUUGGAAGAUUUGUUCUGGAAAUACCGCACCAAGUAGGAUUCUUUUUCUCUUUAGUGGGUCCACUUGCAUGCCAAUUAACGAGUUGAAAAGUAUGAGCACCUACCUCGUGCUCGUGGAACCGAAGGUCAGUGAAGUGGGGCUCCUUUUGGCCUCGUGUAAACUUGAUUCAGAAGUGAAGUUAAUAGUCUUCCAUUCAGAUGGAUACAUGGGAAUUUUUCUCUUUUAUUUAUUUAUUUAUUUUUUUUUUGUGUGUGUAUGUCAAAGGAUAAUGAAUGAAGCGCGUUAGCUUGUUUUCUGACUGGAACCGCAGAUGUCCAAAUUGGAGUUCCUUCAUUUCUUACUUAGGAUUGUUACAUGUAUAAACAAGGUAUAAGAAAUAUGCCAACGUGUCUUGAGGAGUUAUUGAUUAGAAAUAACAAGUCACCCGACUGUAGAGUUCCAAGAUUUGAAUCUUCAGACCCUAUAGCAGCCUCUGGGGUACGUGGCAUCCUAUAGCAUAUUAAUGAAGGCUUUUUCGAUUUAGACUUCACAAUACCAAUUAAUAUGUAUGCACAAAAUGGAGAUGACCCCAAAAAAAACAGAAUCGCCAUAGUUUAUGAGGUUAAGGUGAUUCUCCACUUAAUAUCUACAUUAGCUAAUUAUGUAAAUCAAAUGAACUUCUAUUUUUCCUUUUUUUUUUUGGUUUAUGUCAAAUAGUAGCCCAUAAUUAACCCAACCAUUAGCCUGUUUGAAUUGAUUUCACAUGCACAAUGUUGUAGUAGUUCAUAUUUUGAAUUUUAUUUUUACAAAGGUAGUUAAGGAAAAUGAAGUAUAAUAAUUAUAAAAGCAGACUAUAUACACUACAAUAAUUGUUAGAAUGGUAUCUCAAAUUCUAAUUUAAAAUAUUAUUUUUUGUAAAAGAAAUAUUAUAUAGAAUAUUUCCUAAUUUUAUAAAUGAUUAUAAUUAGAUCUUUAUAAAAUAAGGAAAGUUGGUAAGAAUAUCUUUAUAAAUAUUUUAGGUCAUGAGAGAAAGAAAUGGGAUAAAAAUGUGAUGAAGAGGUGAAAUAAGAGAGUUGAUUAGGAUAUAGAUGUGAAGAAGAAAGGGAUUCAAUAUAUAUAUAUCUUUCAAUUACCACAUUAAAACCCUGUGAACCUUUUAUAUGGUUUACUUUAUUUUUAUAUUCCUCCUUUAAUAUAUUUACAUUAAUGCUUCCAUUGGCACAACAAUAACGAAUUACAAAUACAAGCAACAAGUCCCAUGUUUUAUUACCAAAAGCAGGUAAAAUCCACCUAAUAUAUUACAAUAUAUUCAUCCAAUAUUUUAGACCAAUUCUUCACCAUAAAUAUCAUAAUGUGGCUUUUGUUCUUUCUUAAAUUUAAAUUGAAUUGUCUUAUAUCAAUUUGUUUGUGAUUUUUUCAUUAACUUCACUUUCAUUUGGUUAUCUUUGGUUUUUGAAAAGUAUUAAGGAAUUAAUUAACAAAAUAAUGUUAAGAAAAAUAAUUUUCUCUCUUUUGAUUUUGAUUUUGUAGUAGAAAAAUAUAAUUAAAAUUAUUUAAAAAGUAUGUAAUUUUAAAUUAUUUAAUAUUUAGAUAAAAAAAAUAAGUCUAAUGAGUUUAAAAUAACAUAUAAAAAUAAUUUAUUUAUUUUAAAUUUAUUUUUUAUUUUCCAUUAUGUUCUCUUUCUCUUUUACUUUUUCAUAUUUUUUCUUACGAAGAAUCAAACACAACCUCAUAUUAUAUGUCAAGUGUUUGUCUAUAUUUGAGCAAUGUUAGAUACGGCCAUGGAUUCAUCAAACUAAACUGAUUUUAAUAGAUACUUCACAAAUUGAUUUAUACACUAAAUCAUUGGAUAGCAAUGAUGCAUUGGAAUUAAACGUAGGAUGAAGCUCGAAGAACACUGUUUGUGUAACAACAUAUUUAUGAAAUUAUGCAAAGGAUGAGCUUCGGGGUAGUAGUACAAGGUCAUUAAUGGAGAGCCGUGUUAAACCUUGAUUGUGAUUGGAUUCCGUUAUCAGCAACAGCAACCUUGUUUGUAACCUUGAAAGUCAUUCUGUCCACAUCGAAACUCCAAUUUGACGUUUGUAAUUACCAUUCCUGGAGUGUUCCUUGAUUGAAAUUUAAAUAAUAAUUGCGGCCCACAAGGAAUAUUUUCGAUUCUGUGGGAAUUUGACAAGGUUUGUUAGAGAAGACUGGUGACAUGUUGACUUCAAUGGUUCAAAUAGGAGACGUAUGUGGAUUUGGGGGGUUUAAUUGAAACUGAGUCCCUAUGGCUUUUUAAUAUUUGCAUUGAGCAGUCUCCAUGUGACUUCCUAAUUCCCACCAACCCUCCUGUCCAUGCUGUGAAACUAAAUUGUAAUUUAUCAGCCUUUGUCAAUGGUUUCUAAAUUAAAGAUAUAGACCAUGCAUGUACUUUAAUAAAAGCAAAUCUAAAGUGUAGAUAGCAGCAAUGGUGACACCCAAUAUUCUCCAUAAAAUAGAAUUAGAAUAAGCAGUGUUACAUUGUUCAUGAUCACCUACAAGCAUACAAGAACUUCCAUGAAUAACUCAUAGCAAUUGCCAACAGGGCGUCGUAGAGACUCAUACAUAGAACACUAUCCACCCAGAGGAAAGGACAAGACCAGUGCGCUGCAGCUCUUAUUUUUCACAUGUAUACCACCACUCGUAAUAACCAAAUUCACUCAGUUGGGAUAGGUGGGAGAUGGUGGUUUGUGGGGUGGCUUGUGGGGAGGAGUUGGAGGAGGCUUUAUUUUCUGAGGCGGCUUGUAUGAGUGUGCAGGAGGAUGCCCGGGAGUGUGACCAUAAUGUGGUGGCUUCUCUCCCGUAGGUGGUUUGCCAAAUGGGCUUGGUGGCUUCUCUCCCUUAGGAGGUUUACCAAUUGGGGUUGGUGGCUUGUGUUCUGGGAGUGGUUUCUCUCCCUUGGUAGGUUUGCCAAUUGGGGUUGGCGGCUUAUGUUCUGGGAGUGGCUUCUCUCCCUUGGGAGGUUUGCUAAUUGGGGUUGGCGGCUUAUGUUCUGGGGGCGGCUUCUCUCCCUUGGGAGGUUUGCCAAUUGGAGUUGGCGGCUUAUGUUCUGGGAGUGGCUUUUCUCCCUUGGGAGGCUUGCCAAUUGGGGUUGGCGGCUUAUGUUCUGGGGGUGGCUUCUCUCCUUUAGGAGGUUUGCCAAUUGGAGUCGGCGGCUUAUGUUCUGGAAGUGGCUUUUUUCCCUUGGGAGGUUUGCCAAUUGGGGUUGGCGGCUUAUGUUCUGGGGGUGGCUUCUCUCCCUUGGGAGGUUUGCCAAUUGGAGUCGGCGGCUUAUGUUCUGGGAGUGGCUUCUCUCCCUUGGGAGGUUUUGUUGGUGGCUUGUGUUCUGGAGAUGGCUUCUCCCCUGGAGGCUUGUGCUCCGGAGGUGGCUUCUGAAAUGGCGGGGGCUUGGGGUAAUGAGCAAGAGAUGGAGUACUGGUGAGAACCACCAUUCCAAGCAACAAUACUAGCAAGCAUGUGGGAGACAUCUUUGAGUAGUUGUAGCUAAGAUGGCGCAACACUGUAGGCAUUGGGUGGCCUUUUAUAAAGGGCUGGACCCAACAGCCAUAUGACACGUGUCAUGAUGACAAAUGAAGUUGAGGGGAUCCAGAUGGGUCCUACUGAGUCGAAAACUUGCACUAAUUGAUCUGGUGAGAUGACUAUUUCUGUCCUUUUGCCCUUCUCGGCCACCCUGUGCUGUUUUCCUUUUGCACGAUUUUCGUUGCCAAACAAGCAAAUAAUAUUUCGCCAAGAAAGAGGAGAGUGAAUGUGGAAUGCAUCAAGUCCCAUCAAGGAUGGCAGAGAAGAAAUAGAAGAUUGCCCAACUGUGAUAAACAUAGCAUACACGUAGCACCAGGAACUUCAUUUACUUCCAUCUAAUGGAACAUAACAAUCUUCUAAAGUUUUUGCAUGAUUUUGUUAUAUGUCUCUUAGCCUAAAGUUGGAAAUGCGCAACAAAUUUUGUCACUUCUCUAUUUCCCACUGAUGAUGUUAAUUAGCCUUCAUAGAUAUCAUCCUUUCUACAAAGUGCUUCAUUUGUGUGUUAUUGUAAAGUGUAAGAAAAGUAAUUGAACAUGUUCUUUUUCCUUUCAUAGAUGACUUUUGAUGUGCAUUUUAAAAGCAGCGCUGUGAGUCGGUGACCUUGAUUCACACGGAAACUAAGGCUCCUAUAGGACCCACUUUUAGCUGGUUAGGGGUGAAGAAAAUAUCAACUUUUCAGAGUGAUUUAAGUCAAGGCCAAGCCUCACUGUGUCAUUACUCGUGUGAAUUUUAUAUGCACAUACAUACAUAAAUAAAGUAUGAGACCCAAAUAACACCUUCCCUUUACAAACUUAACCCCAGCCGCUCUCUUUCAAUUCUUUUCACACAAGGGUAUUGACUCUAUAAAGGUCAAGAAAAUCAUAAUUUCCUAGGGUUUACAAGGUAAUUGGCUUAAUGCUAAUGUGAAAACAUAAAAGAUAAUAGUAUAUUGUAAGCUAACGAAUAUUCUAUAGUUAUAAUUAUUUGUGAUGUGCAUAAAUAAAUCUUCAUAUAUAUAAUGGAACAAUGAAUAAAGAACCAAUGAAAAAAUACUAUAUAUCAUUGCUUGGCAUUUAAACCGUAUAUGCUGCUCUUUCUAGCUACUCCAUCCACUGAAAGACAACAAGGUAAUCCAUGUUAUAAUGAUAGAAGAUACUGUCUCUAGGCUUUUUGUGAUGAAAAAUAUAAGAUAUGGGUAGGGUUGACCCUUGUAUGUUUGUCCUAUAAACACUUCAAAGUAACAUAUUUUUCUUCUUUAGCAACUCAUAAUGAUGGGGUUCAUUUGCAUGUCACUGAGUUGAAAAGUUGGACAAUUGCCCAUGUCGCCUUCCUCCUAGAUUCCGUAGUUCACGGGAAGGUAACUCAAGUUUGACAUAUUUUGAAUUCUUUUCACUCGGACGUCUUCAUAACCUGACAAAACAAAAAUGAAAAACAGAGGAUUGGUAUAUUAUUCAUGGUAAGCCUCAAAUUAUAGUAGUAUGAGAAAGGAGAAAAAGAUUUUGGGAACUCCAAUCUGGAUAAUUCUCGUUUCUUCUCUUGAAUAAAAAUUUCACUUACCUAACUUCGUUUGGAGAAAUGGCAUAUUUUAAUUUUGUACGUCAUUGCUAAUAAAUGGAGCAAUUUAGCAUGUUUUGUGACUGAAACUGCAAAUGUCCAAUUGGCAUUUCUUCAUUUCCCACUUAGGAUCUGAUCUUGUAGACCAUAUAACGAUAUGUAUCUGUGCAAGCAUUGAAAACUAAUGUGAACUAUGAGGAGUUACAAGCCACUGGACUGUAGAGCGAGUGCCAAGAUUUAAAUCUUCAGGCUCUAUCUGGGUAAGGGGAGGAUAGCGACCUAACCUUUUACCAAAGGCUUAGAAUUUAGACUUUUGGAAAAAAAUUUCUCAUGUUUUGGCUGGAUUUCUUGUGCUUGGCGCAAAAAGGAGAUGGCCUCAAGAAAUAGCAGACUCACUUUUGUUUUCAGCCCUUAAUAAUUCUCCACUGCUUUCCAUAACUACAUGGGUUAUACAUGCAGUCUGCUGCAAUAUUCCAGUUAUAUUUAUUAUUUCAAAGAGGGUGAAUGACUUCACAUGCAAUAUGUUGCAGUAACAACCCAAAUUUUGGCACACCAUCUUAAGAAUAGAAAAGUAUAAUAAAAGAAAUCAAUCAGAGAAUCACUUUGCAUGCAGUUCAUAGAGUUCGCCCAAAAUGGAGCCACAUGUACGGACAACCCCACAAUAGACAAUCUUCUCUAUACAGUAAUAAAAUACAGAAAUGGUUAAUGAAGCUCUGUAUUUCCUUAUCAUAUAUGACCGGUUGAAAACUCAGCAAGUCUUCCUCAAUCACAGACAGUUGGAGUUGCUUCAUCAAAAUCAUGCCUUCAUUACUGGCUUCAUUUUGGUUUCAAUGUCUGUUCUACCCUUAAAUUGGGUCUCUGCUUACUACCGGGAUAUCCUUUAGCGUCCUGCAAUUCUACUAGAUUAAAGAGAAUGACUUAAUUCUGCAUUCUGCCGUCCCUAGUCCAAGUGGUACUAGAAUUGAUGUUUCCUUUAGUGUCCUUUCUUCAUACUUUCAGGUUCUUCCCUUGUUUCAAUAAUGCUGUUUUCCUUCAUGUUUAACCUCUGUUGAACCACUUAAAACAACACAAUUUGCACACCAAUGUUUCUUUACAGAAAAGACUGUUUGCAAAAAUGCACAUGUUAUAAGGUUAAUGGAAGAAUUAAUUUGGGGAUAAGGGACUAGGAUUGGGCCAAUGAAGUUUGGUGUUAAAUUUUGAUUAUGAUUGCUUUUCAUUAUCAGGUACCUUAUAUUUGCUGAUGCUAUCUGGAACUAAAUUCAAAUCAGACAUUAUCCGAUUACUAACAGGACAUAUCAUGUCCCUCUGCAGAGUUUCUAAACUAACAUGUAUCGAAAUGUGGCCCCAAAAGGAAGGCUAGGAAGAUGGAGGAUUUUGUAGGAAUCGACCAGAAUCAGAUGGAAGAGAGAUAGUCCUGUUGACUUUAAUGGUUGUGAUAGGAACAUGCAUCAUUAUAUGAGAAGUUGCAUGAAUUUAUGUAUCCUGUUAUCGUUCCUUGACGAUUUCCCAAUGCAAUUUCACUGUCCACAAGACUAACCUCUCCAUGCAGUCAAAUGAAUUGUAAUUUCUCUAUUGGUACCAGUAGUACAUUUCAUACCAAACAUAUAGUAAAUAUAAAAUAUAAAUAGAUCAAGGAAAUCUGAAUUGUAGAUAGCACUGCAAGUAACACUCAAUAUUCUCUAUAUAUAAUAAAAUAAACAGUGUCACAAUACUCAUCACCCAGUGGCAAGGGAGAAAAACCUACAAUGAGUACUCAAAUCACCAUUCUCAAACAGAAACAUAGCAGUGACUGAUACAUAGAACCUAUAUGCUCACAGGGAAAGAAUAAGAUGACCAGUGCACAGCGGGCAGCAGCUCUUAUUUUACGUACAACUCAAAUCCCAAACUAACCAAAGUCGCUCAGUUGGGAUGGGUGGGAGAUGGUGGUUUGUGGGAUGGCUUCUGGGUAGGAGCUGGUGGCUUCUGUCCCUUUGGUGGUUUGCCUAAUGAGCUUGGUGGCUUGUGCUCCGGGAGUUGUUUCUCUCCCUCGAGUAGGUUUCGAGUCUUGUCAGAUGGCUUGUGUUCUGGUGGUGGCUUCUCUCCCUGGGGUGGUUUGCCGAAUGGGCUUGGUGGCUUGUGUUCGGGGAGUGGCUUCUCUCCCUGGAGAAGGUUACGAGUUUUGUCAUAUGGCUUUUGUUCUGGUGGUGGCUUCUCUCCCUGGGGUGGUUUGCCGAAUGGGCUUGGUGGCUUGUGUUCGGGGAGUGGCUUCUCUCCCUGGAGAAGGUUACGAGUUUUGUCAGAUGGCUUGUGUUCUGGUGGUGGCUUCUCUCCCUGGGGUGGUUUGCCGAAUGGGCUUGGUGGCUUGUGUUCGGGGAGUGGCUUCUCUCCCUGGAGAAGGUUACGAGUUUUGUCAGAUGGCUUUUGUUCUGGUGGCGGCUUCUCUCCCUGGGGUGGUUUGCCAAAUGGGCUUGGUGGCUUGUGUUCGGGAACUGGCUUCUCUCCCUUGGGAGGUUCAGUUGGUGGCUGCUGUUCCGUAGGUGGUUUCUUCACCGGCGGCUUGUGCUCCGGAAGCGGCUUCUCUACCUGGAGAAGCUUACGAGUUUUGUCCGAUGGCUUGUGUUGUGGUGGUGGCUUCUCUCCCUGGGGUGGUUUGCCAAAUGGAGUUGGUGGCUUGUGUUCGGGGAGUGGCUUCUCUCCAUUGGGAGGUUUAGUUGGUGAUUGGUGUUCCGUAGGUGGUUUCUGAAGUGGGGGAUGCUUGGGGUAGUCAGCAAGAGACGAGGUAGUGAGAACCACCAGUCCCAGCAGCAACACUAGCAAGCAUGUGGAAGACAUCUUUGAGUUCAGGCUGAGAUCUGUGCAAGGAUAACAGAAUUAGGUGGCCUUUUAUAGAGGCCUGGACCCAACACCCAUAUGACACGUGUCAUGCACUCAUGGUGACACAUAAUUCUAUGGGACCAUUUGGGUCCUACAGAAGUUGCAAAGUUGGACUACUGAGGUGUGAUCACAACUUUUGUCCUUAUUGCUUUCUCUGCGGCCAUUGCACGAUUUCCUUUAGCAUCAUUUUCUUGGCUAAAUAAGCGUAUUAUAUUUGUGGCAGACCGUCCACGUGUCAUAAACAGAUAUAUUAUAAUAAUGUAGUAUGCUUUUCUCCAAUGGAACAUGACACUCUUCUAAGUCUUGUUUUAAAUAUUGUGCAGGAUUACUUUAUACGUUGCAGUUCCAAGUCAAAAUUGGUGGGCAAACGUUGGCCUUUUUUCAUUUCACCUAAGAUUAAUGCUCACCUGGGAUAGGCACUACAUGACUUAUCUGCUCUUUUACUGUAAAGUUGCUUUGUGUAUGAGAUACACCUCCCCUGCACACCCUCAACAUUCGUUGCUCUGUUUUCCUUGUGUCCAGACGAGGAUAUUAAUUGGAGGCUGACAAAACGACUGCUAGCCCAGGAUUUACAAGGUCCUGGUUUGAGGCUUCGGUGAAAGUAUUUUUGAAAAGACACACAUAGAGAUAGUGCGUUUGGUGCAAUGCAGCACUGUGAGCCAUUCUGACGCGUUCUUAAUUUCAAAACUAAUGAAUGCUUCAAAAUUUUAAGAAGUGACAUUUCCAAAUAUUUGAGUUCGUUUAAUUGAACAUUGGAUAACUAGUGAUCAUAGAUUAUUAUCUGUGCUUGGCACUAUAAGAGGGUAUAUGCUUCUUUUUCUGGCCCCUCCUUCAAGGGAGGAGGGACAAUGUGAUCUGUAACGUUAGAAGCUAUUCCAUGUCAUCUUUGGGCUCAGUUCAAAACUAAAAGAUAAUGGGGGGGGGGGGGGGGGGCAUAUCAUUUUAUAUUUCUUCUAGAAGGUUUGUUCUGGAAAUAUUUCACAGGAGCAUAUCUUUUUCUUCUAUUACGUCAUCCGCAGCCUCCAAUAGGUCGGUUAACAAGCCACCGAGUUGAAAAGUUGGAAAAAUGGGAACACAGCCCGCCUCUUGUAUUCAGUAGUUAAAUAAAAGGUCACUAGAAGUGAGAUCCCUUUUGGCGUCUUGAUUUUCAAUCCAGCACCUCUGUGACCUGACAAACCAAAAAAACUAAAAAAUAAAAAACAGUACGUGGGUUGGUGUUAAGCAUCAAGACAUGUUAAUGAAAGAAGGUAGAGAAUAGGAUAUUGAAAUCCCAAUCCUGAUAACAUGAUUUUCUUUGCUAACAACCAUAUUAUAUUUUAUCAAGAAAGAGUAAUGCAUGUGGCGUCCAUCAAGACCCAUUAGAGUUCCGCUAAAGCUAUAGUUCUGUCAACGUUAUCAUUUACGUUUCCUCUAGAUAAUGGCAUUUUCCUCUAAAGCUCUUGCACCAUUAGGCUUCAAGUCAAAAUUUCACAUGUGAACUUUGGAAAUUUUCUCCAUUUGCCCCUAAGGAUACAGUUAGAAUUGACUUAAAAUCCUGAUUGAUAUGUACUAUUAACCAAAGAAUAUUGUAUAUAAUAAUUGAAAUAUUGUUGAUUCAUCGUGGAAAUACAUUUUGUAAGGAAAGUUGUUGAGAAUUUAGUAUGCUAUAUGGAGAAAAAAGUCAUGACUUAAGGUUGUGUAUGUAUAUUCUAUAUCAAAUAUUAGGUAGGAAUGUGGGAAAGAGCAGAGUGUAAUGAUAAGAAACAAAGAAAUAUAAGAUAUUCUUGAAAGUGGAAAAUAUAAAAUGGCUAACGAGUCAAAUUUAUGAUGCGUAAGGGGGAUCAUGUCACAUAAGAAAACCAUGGCAUACUAAAGACGUACGUGUGGUAUGGAGUAAUAAUUUUGUUAAAAUAAGUUUCUUGUUGGAGUACAUUAGGUGACUAUUCAUAACGUAUCAAAUUAAAGAGUCAAGUGCAUCAAUGAAGGCAUAUGUAGAAAAUUUGUUUGUGACAUGUACCAUAAAGAUAAGAUUGACUUGAUAGAAUUUAGUCUAAGUAGGAGUUGUUAAAGGUGUCUUAAAUUUCUAAUUGAUGUAUAUUUUUUUCUAAAAAAAUAUUAUAUAGAUAUUUUAAUAAAUGAUUAAUUCUUUGUAAAAAUACUUACAUAAUAAAAAACAUCAUUAAAAAUAUCUUUAUAAAUAUUUUAAGUUACAAGAAGGAAAAAAACCACUGUGAGAUAAUGAUGAACAUGCAACACUGUACCAAGUAAAUAAAAAUGUGAUAAAAAAAAAAGAGAAACACUCGAUAAAGGAAGGCUCGUAUAUAAAGAGUAAUAUUUUUAAUCAUAUGAUAGAAUGAUUUUCUCUCAUUCAUGAAUAUAGGCAAGAUUGGGGAACCAUUAUAAAAUUUUGUACACCUCGUGUAAAUUGAUGUUUGUCUUCAUAUUUUACACCAACAAAUGACAUUGAAGUUGUCAUUGAUAAAAGGGAAAAGGCAUGCCUCCACACCAUGUGCUUGAUUCGAAUGGUUCAAGUUUGAAGAAUUUUCUCCGGAAGAUCUAAAACAUUUUCGCCUUUAAAUUUCAUUUGAUUAUUAAUAUCCGAAAAAAUAGUUAAAUACUCUUUCUAUUUUUGAGUUGUUGAAUUUUUUGAAAGUUUUUAUAUUUGUUAUCAAGAAUUUCUAUUUUAUUAAGGGUGAAUAUUUAUAAAUAAGAUAUUAUAUAAUAUUUGGAUAAGAGAGAAUGGUGGAAUAUAAUAAAGUUUUAAUCCUUCCCAAUUUUGAACCUUUUUUUUUUUUUUUGAUAUAAUCGCCUUUCUCUUGCAAUCCUAUUAUCAGGUACCUUAUAUUUGCUGAUGCUAUCUGGAACUAAAUUCCAAUCAGGCAUUGUCCAAUUACUAAUAGGACAGAUCAUAUCUCUCUGUUUCUAAACUAACAUGUAUCGUAAUGUGACCUCAUAAGGAAGGCUAGGAAGAUGGAGGAUUUUGUGGGAAGCGACCAGAAUCAGAUGGAAGAGAGAUAGCCCUGUUGACCUAAUGGCUGUAAUAGGAGAAGCGUGUGGUUUUAUGGGACUUAACUGAUACUAAACCUGUAUGAUGCUUGGAGUGGUGUUUCUUUCAUUUUGUUAAGAAAAUAUGGCAGCAUACAUGCUUUCAACUGAGUGCAUCAGAGCAUCCAUAACAGAUGGUCUGCAACCCUAGGUGCAUGCCACUUUCUGACUGAUAAUGAAAUUGUCAGGUACCUGGCCUUGACUAAGCUCAACAGCAUCACAUAAAGAGAAGCUUUCAUACUUAGAUUACUGUUUAAAGUUUUUGCUUAUUUGAUUUCUUAAUGCCAUUAUGACAUUAUUGAUUCAAUUCUGCUUCCGAUUUUCGAAGUUCUGGGCAUCUACUGAUUGCAUCAUUAUAUGAGAAGUUGCAUGAGUUUAUGUAUCCUGUUAUUGUUCCUUUGCGAUUUCACUGCUCACGGGACUAACCUCUCCAUUCAGUCGAAAUGAAUUGUAAUUUCUUUACUGGUAGCAGUAGUACUUUUCAUAGCAAAGAUAAUAGAAAAUAUGAAAUAUAAAUAGAAGGAAAUCUGGAUUGUAGAUAGCACCAUAAGUAACACUCAAUAUUCACUACAUAAUAAAUAGACAGUGUUACAUAGGUAGAGAAACCUACAAUGAGUACUCAUCACCAUUCUCAAACAGAAACAUAGCAGCGACUUAUACAUAGAACCUAUAGGCUCGCAGGGAAAGAGUAACAUGAUAAGUUCACAGCGGGUAGCAGCUCUUAUUUUACGUAUUACUCAAAAUCUCAAACUAACCAAAGUCACUCAGUUGGGAUGGGUAGGAGAUGGUGGUUUGUGGGGUGGCUUCUGGGUAGGAGCUGGUGGCUUCUUUGUUGGAGUUGAAGGAGGCAUAUUCUUCUGAGGUGGCUUGUAUGACUCUUCGGCACUCUCUGCAGGAGGGUGCCCAGGGUUGUGACCAGAAGGAGGUGGCUUCUGUCCCUUUGGUGGUUUGCCUAAUGGGCUUGGUGGCUUGUGCUCCGGGAGUUGUUUCUCUCCCUCGAGUAGGUUUCGAGUUUUGUCAGAUGGCUUGUGUUCUGGUGGUGGCUUCUCUCCCUGGGGUGGUUUGCCGAAUGGGCUUGGUGGCUUGUGUUCGGGGAGUGGCUUCUCUCCCUGGAGAAGGUUACGAGUUUUGUCAGAUGGCUUUUGUUCUGGUGGCGGCUUCUCUCCCUGGGGUGGUUUGCCAAAUGGGCUUGGUGGCUUGUGUUCGGGAACUGGCUUCUCUCCCUUGGGAGGUUCAUUUGGUGGCUGGUGUUCCGUAGGUGGUUCCUUCACCGGCGGCUUGUGCUCCGGAAGCGGCUUCUCUACCUGGAGAAGCUUACGAGUUUUGUCAGAUGGCUUGUGUUGUGGUGGUGGCUUCUCUCCCGGGGGUGGUUUGCCAAAUGGACUUGGUGGCUUGUGUUCGGGGAGUGGCUUCUCUCCAUGGGGAGGUUUAGUUGGUGGUUGGUGUUGCGUAGGUGGUUUCUGAAGUGGGGGAUGCUUGGGGUAGUCAGCAAUAGACGAGGUAGUGAGAACCACCAGUCCCAACAGCAACACUAGCAAGGAUGUUGAAGACAUCUUUGAGUUCAGGCUGAGAUCUGUGCAAGGAUAAAAGAUUUAGGUGGCCUUUUAUAGAGGGCUGGACCCAACACCCAUAUGACACGUGUCAUGCACUCAUGGUGACACAUAAUUCUAUGGGACCAUUUGGGUCCUACAGAAGUUGCAAAGUUGGACUAUUGAGGUGUGAUCACAACUUUUGUCCUACUUGCUUUCUCUGCGGCCAUUGCACGAUUUCCUUUAGCAUCAUUUUCUUGUCUAAAUAAGCGUAUUAUAUUUGUGGCAGACCGUCCACGUGUCAUAAACAGAUAUAUUAUAAUAAUGUAGUAUGCUUUUCUUCAACGGAACUUGACACUCUUCUAAGUCUUGUUUUAAAUACUGUGCAGGAUUACGUCAUAAGUUGCUUGUUCCAAGUCAAAAUUGGUGGGCAAACGUUGGCCUUUUUUCAUUUUCCCUAAUAUUAAUGCUCACCUGGGAUAGGCACUACAUGAUUUAUCUGCUCUUUUACUGUGAAGUUGCUUUGUGCAUGAGUUACACCUCCCCUGCACACCCUCAACAUUUGUUGCUCUGUUUUUCUUGUGUCCAGACGAGGAUAUUAAUUGGAGGCUGACAAAACGACUGCUAGCCAAGGAUUUACAAGGUCCUGGUUUGAGGCUUUCACGAAAGUAUUUUUGAAAAGAUACACAUAGAGAUUGCGCGUUCGGUGCAAUGCAACAAUGUGAGCCAUUCUGAAGUCUUAAAUUUCAGAUUAAUGAAUGCUACAAAAUUCUAAGAAGGGCCGUUUCCAAAUAUUUGAGUUCAUUCAUCCGAACAUCGGGUAUAUGCUUCUUUCUCUAGCCCCUCCUUGAAGGGAGGAGGGACAAUGUGAUCUGUAUCGUUAGAAGCUAUUCCAUGUCGUCAUCUUUGGGCUCAGUUCAAUACUAAAAGAUAUGGGCGGGGCCCUUAUCAUUUUAUAUUUCUUCUAGAAGGUUUAUUCUGGAAAUCUUUCACAGAAACAUAUCUUUUUCUUCUCUACGUGAUCCGUGGUUUGAAAGUUGGAAAAAUGGGUCCGUUAACAAGCCACCGAGUUGAAAAGUUGGAAAAAUGGCAACACCGCCAACCUCUUGUAUUCGAUAGUUAAAUAAAAGGUCACUGGAAGUGAGAUCCCUUUUGGCCUCUUGAUUUUCAUUCCAGCAUCUCUAUGGCCUGAUAAAUUAAAAAACUAAAAAAAAAGACAGUACGUGGGUUGGUGUUAAGCAUCAAGAGUCAAGACAUGAUAAUGGAGAGAAAGGAUAUUCAAAUUCCAGUUCUGACAACAUGAUUUUCUUUGCUGAACUACCAUAUUAUAUUUGAUCAAGAAAGAGUAGUGCAUGUGGCCAGGAUCAAGACAUACAUUAAUUUCCACAUGAUGAAGACAGUUUCUGAGAGUUUCUUCUAAAGCUCUUGCGCGAGUAGGCUUCAAGUCAAAAUCUCCCAUGUAAACACUGGUUUUUCUUUCAUUGCCACUAAGGAUGCAGUUAAUAUUGACUUAAGAUCCUACGUGAUAUAUUUUUUUAAAAGAGCUAUAUUGUAGAUAAUAUUUGAAAUAAUGUUGAUUCGUUGUGGAAAUAUAUUUGUAAGGAAAGUUGUUGACAAUUUAAUAUAGUAUAAGAAGAAAAAAGUUAUCAACUAGCUAGAGAUGAGUAUGUAAAGUGAGGCUCACGAUUCAACGCGUAAAUAUAAGAUAUUUUAAGGCUCAAUAGUUAUGAUAUCUAUUUUAUUUUUUGUAUCUCAUAUAUUCAAAGAUAUAGUAAAAUGAUUUUACAUAUAUAUAUAUAUAUAUAUAUGAACAUAACUAUUUGUGCCAAUUGAUUUUUAUCUUUAUUUUGUAUAUUAGUAAUUAUAUUAAAGUUUUUACUAAUAUAAUAACUAAUAUAAAAGCUUUUUCUAAAAGAGUCAACAGAGCAAAACACUUAUUAUAAAAAAUAAUUUUGAUUGAAGGUGGAGUCAAUUAUUCUUUAUUUAACAUGUAAUGCAUACGGCGUGUACUUCAUAACUAAAGUAUAUAAGUGUAACAUCUCUUAUAUAUUCUCAUUCAAUCUCGAAAGUGGAAAUUUUAAAAAGAUUAAACGGUUCAAAUUUGUCGUGCAUAAAGGGGAUCAUGUCACAUAAGCAAACCAUGGCAUACCAAAGACAUAGGUAUGGACUAAGAAUUUUUUUCAAAUAAGUUUCUUAUUAGGGUACAUUAAUAGGUGACUUUUUAUGACAUAUCAAAGGAGUCAAGUGCACCAAUAAAAACAUAUAUAGAAAAUUCAUGCAUGACAUGUAUCACUAAGAGAAGAUUGACUUGAUAGAGUUUAAUCCAAAUAGGAGAUUGUUAAAAGGUGUCUCAAAUUCUUGAUUGAUAUAUAUUUUUUUUAUUAAAAAGGUUAUUAUAUAGAUAUUUCAAUAGACUAUUAAUUCUUUGUAAAAAUAGUUAUAUAAUGAGGAUGGUGAUUAAAAAUAUCUCUAUCAAUAUUUUGGAUUAUAAAAAGAAAAAAAAUGAGAUAAUGAUAAACAUAUAAAACUUGUACAAGUAGAUAAAGAUGUGAUGAAAGACACUUGAUGAAUGAAGGCUUUGUAUUUCAAGAUAUAAAUAUAUGGAGCAAAACUCUUAAUUAUAUGAUCAAAUGAUUCUCUCAUAUUCAUGAAUAUAAGCAGGAUUGGGGAACCAUGAUAGAAUCUUAUAUGCCUCUCCAUGUAGAGUGAUCGAUGUUUAUCUUCAUAUUUUACACCAGUGAAUGACAUUGAAACUCUUAUUGAUAAAAGGGAAAAGGCAUGGCCUCCACCCCAAGAAAAACAAGUAACCUCGGUUUAAAUCACUAGUCUACACCCCGAAGAGAGAACUAGCCAAACCUACUAAAAGAGAAACUUAACAAUUUAGAAAGAAACCGUCCAUGAUAAAGGGCCCCUAAAGGUCCAAUUCAGUGAGGUCGUGAACAAAAACACUUUCAUGUCAAAACAGAGAUAGGUACCACCAAAAUGUAAAGGGAAAGAUGUAAACCACGUCGAACUUUGGUAAUCAAUGGUAAAGAUAGCAUGAUAGCUAAAAGCACUAAAGCUGUGCUUGGUAUGCAAAAAUGAAAAGUGGAAAUCAGCGUCUUAUUCUUUUUCACCUUUAUUCACAUAUUAGGAUAACUAAUAUCUAAUGUUUUUUAUGUCUCAAAUUCUAUUCCAUGUUAUGGUAAACUUUCAUCUUGUUUAGAUCACUUUUGUCUGGUUUGGGCUCAAGACGAUAAGCCUAUAGAGACUUCAUAUUGGGUUGAAUCGAUGCCCUUGAUCUGAUCUGUUCGUUAGAAAAAUCUGAAUUAUUAUAAGCAUUUAGAUAAAAAAUAAAUAAAUGUGAAACACAAACUACUCCCUGCACAACCUUGACCCUAGUUACUCAGUUUCACUGCUCACAGGACUAACCUCUCCAUUCAGUCGAAAUGAAUUGUAACAAGAAGAUUUUUGACAGGAGGACGGUAGUUUAAAAUAAUAAUUUCUAAAGUACUUUUGUGAAAAAAAAUAAUUCCAAACGUGGAUUUUAUCAAGUAAAAAGAAAAAAAAAAGUUAUUUUCUUUUAAAAUCUGUUCUUCUAAAGAUGAUAUAUAUACCAAAAAAAAAAAUUGUUUUCUGAAGGUAAAAUUUUUAAAAUUCAUUUUUAAAAAAAUUUACACACUAAAAUUAUCUUUUCAAGAGAAGAUUUUUUUAAUUUUAAAUAAUUAUUAAUUUAUAAUUAAUUUGUUAUUAAUUAUUUAUUAAUUUUUUUAUUUGAAAAAUGCAUUUAUAAAAAACAAAUUUGUUAUUAAUUUAUUAAAUAAUUUUUACAAAAUAAAUAAUUUUUUUUUAUUUUAAUUUUAAAAUUAAUUUUAUUAUAUAAAUUUUAAAAUUAAAAAUAUUAAUAUUUAAUUUAAAAUUUAACUAUAAAAGGAAUAAAAUAUAGAAAAAUAAAUUAAUUUAUUAUUCAAUAAAUUAAUUUUCAAUAAAAUUUUCAGCAUUAAGAGAUAAAUUUUUAAGUAUUAAUCAAUUUAAAAAGAAAUAAUGAUCAUUUGUAUAUUAAGAUAUUUUAUUUAGUAAUUAUGAAUGAUAAACAACUAAAGUAAUUUGAAAAAAUAAUAAAAUAUUUAAAAAAUAAUAAUUUAAUACACGUAAAAUUAGAAAUGAUUAACUAUUUUUUAUUAAGAAAAAAUUGAGGAAAUAUUUUGUUAUUUAAAAUUUUUUAUUUGUUUUCAAUUUUUAAUGUUAUAGGUUUCAAGAAAAUUGAUCAAAUAAAAAUUAAGAAGUCAUUUUUUCAAAAACUAUAUAUCUAAAUAAAAGCCUUGAAAUUCAAAUACACAAUAUCAUAAAUAUAAACACCAAGUCAAUCCUUAAUUAUCAAAUGUUUUUAAUAUUAAAGAAUCAAAAUCACCUACUAUCAUGAUAAUAAGAAAACCAAUAAUAUUGUUCAUAUAAAUACUAAAAAGCUAACAAAUAUCCCAAACAAUUAAUAAAGUAUCAAACAUGAUAAAAAGUCAAUUAUUAUCAUGAAUGCAAAAAAUCAAUAAUUUUGUUUAUAUGAACCAUCAACAAAGAAAAAAAAAAUCAAUAUCUAAAUAUUAAACAUAAUUUAUAUUUUUAUAAAUAUUAUUGUUGAUAAAUAUCUUAACAAUUAUAAUUUUAGUAAAUAAAAUUAAUUAAUUUUAGUUUAAGAAUUAUUUUUUUAUACUUUCGUAUUCUUAUCAAAAAUCCCCAUUUUGCAUGUCUCCUUUGGCAUGACUUUCUUACCUAAACAAGCAUAUAUAUAUAUAUAUAUAUAUAAAAUAUUUGGUUAAGAAAGAGUACUAAAGUUUAUAUGGCACACAUCAAGAUAGAAACAGAAGUGGAAGAUAAUCCAAAUGUAUGAACAGAUAUAUUAUAUCCAUGUAGUGGUAGUGACUUCAUUAUUUACUUUUAUCUAAUGGAGCAUGACACACUUCUUCUGAAUAUUUUGCACGAUUAUGUUAUGUGUCAGCUUGUUCUAAGUCAAAACUAGUGAUAAAAAUCGGUUUUUUUUGCAUUUCCUUCAUGAAGAUGGCACCUGGAUGGGGCACUACAUGAGUGGCAUAGCACGAAGUGAUUUAUCUGCUCCCUUUACUAUAAAGUGCUUUGUGUAUAAGUUACACCUCCCCUGCACUGCCUCAACAUUUGUUGUUCUGUCUUCCGUCUGUCCAAACGAGGACAAACGUAUGUUGUAGGUUGACAAAACCACAGCUAGCCUAGGAUUUGCAAGGAUCUAGUUUGAUUCGUAUGCAAAAGGAUUGGUGAAAAGAUUCACAAAGAUAAUGCUUUUUGCAAUGCAAUCUUGUUCUAAUUCAACAGUGUGGACCAUUUUCAUGUAAUGCUUCAACUAGAUGUCAGUUUCAUGAAUUUUUGUUCAUCUAAUUGAUCACUGGAUAGGCCAUAACCCGAAGAAAUUCAAAAUUCCCUUCAGUACUGUAGCUAAGGAAAGAUCCCUAUCUACCACUGGGAUUUUAAGAGGGUAAAAAUGUAGGUGGGUGCCUAUAUCAUUUGCACUUCACUAUAGGCCUCUUUGGGAAGAUUUCUUCUGAAGACAUUUCAAAGAAACAUAUUUUUCUCUUCUCUCCGUAAACGGCAGCUGCAAGUCAGUCCAUUCACAGGCCACCGAGUUGAAAAGGCUGGAAAAUUGGCCAAAGCACCCGCCUCCUGGAUUCCAUGGGUAAGGAAAAGGUCACUGGAGGUGUGAUCCCUGUUGGCCUCUUGAUUUCCAUUCCGCCAUCUAUAUGACCUGAUAACCCAAAAACACAGAAGGAAAACGUCACCUGGGUUCAUAGUAAGCAUCAAGUCAUGAUAGAGACCAGACAACAUGACCAACAAAGAGUAGCGAAUGGGGCCAACAUCAAGCCCCAUUACGGUUAGAAGAUGGAAGAAGUAGAAGACAAUCCAAUUCUGAUAGAUUCGGGCAAAUGUAGUGCUGUUCAAACUUAAUCAUUUACUAUUUCUUCAUGAAUCACGGCAUUUUUCUUCUGAAAAUUUUCCAAGAUUAGGCCUCUGAAGAAAAAUUUCAUAUGUAAAUUGGUAUAUUAAGGAAAAGGCGUUACAAAGGUGAAAAAAAACCAAUCAAAUCUUAUAUAUGACAUCUCAAAAAUAUGAACUUGCUAUAAAUAUUUAAAAUCAAAAUCUUGCACAUCACCUCGUAGUACGAACUUGCUAUAAAACUUGAAAAUCAAGAAGAAAGGGGCAGUAUUGGACGAGACUACUUAGCACAUAUUAUUAUGAUGUUUUUUCAUUUUCUUAAUGUUGUUUUUAUGUCUUAAAUUCUAUUAUUCUAUGUUACGGUAAACAUUCAUCUUGUUUGUGUGGAAUAGGAUCACUUUUCUCUGGGUUGAGUCGAUGCCCUUAGUUAAUUUGUUCAUUUGAAUAAACUAAAUUAUUAUAAGUAUUUAGAUAAGAAAAACGUGAUACAUAAAUUACGCCUCUCGGCACAACUUCAACACUGGUUACUCUGUUUCAGUUUCCUCACACAAGAUUAUUGGUUCUAGGGUUUAUUUGGUUUUGGUUUGAUUCUAAUUGCUAAACUUUCUCAAGGAAGAUGUUAUAUAGGGAGUGAGAAACCUUCACUCUUGGCUACCUCCAAGAGAAGAGCAAGUGGUCUGAAUCAAAGAUAUACUGCUCACUUUUUCUUCUUCUAAGGACAGCUAUGACCUUGCUUUAAGGUUCGAAUAGCCUAAUGCAACCUCCCAUUUCUCAAGUCAGCUGAUGAUGUAAGUCACCUUGGCUUUCCACAUUCAUACGGUGAGGACGUUUGUGGGUGUAAUUCUCUUAACAGUUUUCAUUUUAUAUGGAAAAAUUCAUAAUUAAGGGUAAUUACUGAUUCCAUUUGACAGUGACCAAGUUUAAAAUAUUAAUUCAUAUAUUAAAUGCACAUUAAAAAAUCAUGGAAUAAAUAUAUUUACUAAUAUAUAGUUCUUUUGCCAUGUUCUGUCACAGAAGCAUCGAACUUUCCCUAGAAAUUUUUGCAUGGUAUUCUACUUAUGAUUUUGAAAACUCUAGGCACCUGAGGCCACUAAUUGCAUGGUUGGAUGAGGAGCUGCAUGAGAUUAUGUAUCGUGUUGUUCCUUAACUACAAAUAUCAGUUUUAAGUAGCAUCUCCAUGUGACAUUUUCCUGAUGCAAUUUCGCUGUCCACCAACAAAUUUCACCAUGCAGCAAGAUGAAUUGUAAUUUCUUUAUUGUUAUCAACAGCUUUAAUUAAUCUUGAUAUAUAUAUAUAACUUAGUAGAAGUAUAUUAAUCUAGAUUGUAGUUGCACUAAGAUAAUAGGCAAUAUUAUAACAGUGCCACAAUGCUCAUCGCCAAAUAGAAAGGUAGAAAAACUACAAUGAGUAACUCACAACAUUCUCAAACAGGACAUAGCGGCGACUGAUACAUAGAACACUAUUGGCACUCAGGAAAUGAUAAGAUCAGUGCCCAGCAGGCAGCACGUCUUAUUUUACAUACUACUUAAAACUAACCAAAGUCAUUCAGUUGGGAUGGGUGGGAGAUGGUGGUUUGUGCGGUGGCUUUUGGGUAGUUGGUGGCUUCUUUCCUGGAACUGAUGGUUUUUUUGUUGGAGUUGAAGGAGGCUUAAUCGUCUGAGGUGGCUUGUAUGAGUCUUCAGCACUCUCUGCGGGAGGGUGCCCAGGGUUGUGACCAUAAUGGGGUGGCUUCUCUCCCUUAGUUGGUUUGCCAAGUGGGCUGGCUGGCUUGUGCUCCGGGAGCGGCUUCUCUCCCUUAGGUGGUUUGCCAAAUGGGCUUGCUGGCUUGUGCUCUGGGAGCGGCUUCUCUCCCUCAAGAAGUUUACGGGUUUUGUCAGAUGGCUUGUGUUCUGGUGGUGGCUUCUCUCCUUGGGGUGGUUUGCCAAAUGGACUUGGUGGCUUGUGUUCGGGGAGUGGCUCCUCUCCCUUGGGAGGUUUAGUUGGUGGCUGGUGUUCCAUAGGUGGUUUCUCAACCGGGGGCUUGUUCUCCGUUGGUGGUUUAUGAACUGGGGGAUGCUUGGGGUAGUCAGCAAGAGACGGGGUGGUGAGAACCACCAGUCCCAGCAGCAACACUAGCAAGUAUGUGGAAGAGUACAUCUUUGAGUUCAGGCUGAGAUUUGUGCGAGACUUGAAGAAUUAGGUGGCCUUUUAUAGCUGGCUGCACCCAACACUCACAUGACACGUAUCAUGGUGACACAUGUGCUAUGGGUCCAUUUGGGUCCUACAGAAGCUGAAAACUUUUGACUAUUGAGGUGUGGUCACAACUUUUGUCCCUAUUGCUUUCUCCGCAACCGUUUUACAUGUUUCCUUUGGCAUAAUUUUCUAAGCUAAACAAGCAUAUAUCAUAUUUGGUUAAGAAAGAGUAAAGUGUAUAUGGCACACAUCAAGGAAGAGAAACAGAAAAAGUGGGAGACAAUCAAUUGUGAUAAACAGAUAUAUUAUAUUCAUGUAGUACUAGUGACUUUAUCAUUUACUUUUAUCCAAUAGAUCAUCACUCUUUCUUCUAAAUAUUUUGGAGGAUAAUGGUACAUGUUGCUUGUUUCCAAGUCAAAAUUGGUGGCAAAAAUCGGCAUGAUACGAAAGGAUUGGUGAAAAGAUUCACAUAGAUGGUGCUUUGUGCAAUGCAGUCUUGCUCUAAUUCAACAGAGUGGACCAUGGUGAUGUAUUUUAAAUUUUAAAUUUUAAAUUAAUGCAUGCUUCAAAGUUUUAACUAGAUGUCACUUCCAUGGAUUUUUGUUCAUUUAAUUGAGCACAGGAUAGGCUAUCAAACUUGAAGUAAUAUAAAAAUCCCUUCAUUACUGUAACUAAUGAAAGAUCAUUAUCUGCGCUUGGUAUUUUGCCAAGGUAUUUGCUGCUCUUUCUAGCCCUGUCUUACAGUUAAGGACAAUGUGAUCUAGUUAACCUUAGAAGCUAUUCCAUGUCAGAUACAAGAGAUCAAGCACAUUAUCUUUGGGCUCAGUUCAAAACUAUAAUAUAUGGGUGGGGUGGAGGCCCAUAUCAUUUGCAUAUCACCACUAUUGGUUUAGUUUGGAAGGUUUCUUCUGGAAGAUUGCUGCUUUCUGGAAUCAUUUCAAAGAAAUAUAUCUUUUUGUUCUCUUGGUGACGAGCAGCGGCAAUCAAGUCUGUUGACAAACAACCGAGUUGAAAAGUUUGAAAAUUGGUCACAGCCCACGUCCAUGGUUAAGGAAAAGGUCACUGGAAGUGAUCCCUUCUGGGCCUCUUGAUUUCCAUUCUGACAUCUAUAUGACCUGAUAAAUAGAAAGAAAAAAAAACAGAAGAAAAGCGGCACCCGGGUUCAUAGUAAGCAUCAAGACAGGAUACUGAAAGAAGGGAGAAAGGAGAUUGCAAGUCCAAUCCUGAUAAAAUGAUCAACAAAGAGUAUCAAAAUGGGGCCAACAUAAAGACCCAUUGAGGUUAGCAGAUGGCAUGGCAUUUUUCUCCUUAAGUUUUCCAUGAUUAGACUUGAAGUCAAAAUUUCACAUGUAAAUUUGUAUUUCUACAUUUCCCACUGACGACACCCAACUUCAACUUGAGUUAGAAUAACAUUGUGUGAACUUAUCUGGCCCUCAAAAUUUACUGUGAAGUGCUUUCUGCGUGUGAAGAUUCAGAAAAGCACCAAGGGAACAUGUAUGGUCUGCCUUUUUCUGAUGUUAUGUUUGUCUCUAAUUCUGUUCCAUGUCAUGGUAAAUGUUCACAUUGCUUGUAUGGAACACACCAGGAUCACUUUUUCGGGUUUAUUUUGAGGCUUCAUAUUGGGUUCAUAUUGGGUUCAAUGCUUUUAAUGUGUUCAUUAGACAAAUCUGAAUUAUCAUAUGCAUUUAGAUAAGAACAAUAAUGUGAAACCCUAGUUACACCUCCCCUGCAUAACCCCAACCCUGCUUACUCUAUUUCAGUUUACUCACACAAGUUUUACCGGUUCUUAUAAGUCAAGAAAAGGCAACUGAUGUUGGAUUGACUCUCUUCCAUGUAUAAAAAGCAACUUUUAUAUAUACAUAAAAUAACUUCUUCCCCUCACCAAUGUGGGAUAUCAUGGAUUUAUUCUGGAAACACAUCAAAGGAACAUCUUUUCUCUUGGGUGACCCUAAGUGGUGAGUCAGACCAUUUGCAUGCCAUUGAGUUGCACAGUUGGAUAAAUGCACCUACCUCCUGGGCUCCAGAGUUAAAAGGGUGGAUCCCUGGAUCGCAACCCUCUUGGCAUCUUGGUUUCCAUUCCAACAUCCACAUGACUUGACAAAACAAAAAACAGAAUAAAAUCAUCACUAUUUUCAUGCUAAGCACCAAUACAUGAUGGAAAUCAUUGCUUAAAGAUUUGGGGUCAUUUAGGUUUUGACUGCCUCCUAACACCUCACCUAAUCACAAGUUUUUAUGCUUACAAAUCAAAUAUCGUUCUUCAUUAUAUUAAAAUCAUUUUAAGAUUUCAGAUCCAUCUGCUAAUUAUGAUUAUGAUAACAUUAAUUCACCUGUGCUUCUCAUUUUCGACACACAAGGCAUCUAGGUUUGCAGGAUUUCCUUAUUAGAUGAGAUAAAUGAGUACGCAUGGUUAUGUAUGCAGCAUUCAUUAACCAUGGUAUGUGACAUUUAGAAUUAAGAUAGCAAGCAAACUUUCCCUGCAGCUUGAGUAAAUUGUGAUUUCUUAGCCUCUAUGAGUGGUUCCCAAAUCAAAUUAACAUAGUGAAAUAUACGUAGUCCAGUGAAAGGAAAUGUAAAUUAUAAACUAACAGCACUACACUACUGGUAACACUCGAUACUCUCUAUAUAAUGCAAUGAAAUAUACGUUAUACGUUGCUUGUUCCAAGUCAAAAUUUGUGGCCAAACGUUGGCCUUUUUUCAUUUUCCCUAAGAUUAAUGCUCACCUGGGAUAGGCACUACAUGAUUUAUCUGCUCUUUUACUGUAAAGUUGCUUUGUGUAUGAGUUACACCUCCCCUGCACACCCUCAACAUUUGUUGCUCUGUUUUCCUUGUGUCCAGACGAGGAUAUUAAGUGGGGGCUGACAAAACGACUGCUAGCCAAGGAUUUACAAGGUCCUGGUUUGACGCUUCCGCGAAAGUAUUUUUGAAAAUAUACACAUAGAGAUUGCGCGUUCGGUGCAAUGCAACAAUGUGAGCCAUUCUGAAGUUUUUAAUUUCAGAUUAAUGAAUGCUACAAAAUUCUAAGAAGGGCCGUUUCCAAAUAUUUGAGUUCAUUUAUCCGAACAUCGGAUAAGUAAUGAUCAUAGAUUAUUAUUAUUAUCUGACGUUCUUAUAAUGGUUGGCAUUAUAAGAGGGUAUAUGCUUCUUUCUCUAGCCCCUCCUUCAAGGGAGGGACAAUGUGAUCUGUAUCGUUAGAAGCUAUUCCAUGUCGUCAUCUUUUGGCUUAAGUCAAUACUAAAAUAUAUGGGCGGGGCCCCUGUCAUUUUAUAUUUCUUCUAGAAGGUUUGUUCUGGAAAUCUUUCACCGAAACAUAUCUUUUUCUUCUCUACGUGAUCCGUGGUUGGAAAGUUAGAAAAAUGGGUCCGUUCACAAGCCACCGAGUUGAAAAGUUGGAAAAAUGGCAACACCGCCAACCUCUUGUAUUCGAUAGUUAAAUAAAAGGUCACUGGAAGUGAGAUCCCUUUUGGCCUCUUGAUUUUCAUCCCAGCAUCUCUAUGUCCUGAUAAACUAAAAAACUAAAAAAAAAACAGUACGUGGGUUGGUGUUAAGCAUCAAGAGUCAAGACAUGAUAAUGGAGAGAAAGGAUAUUCAAAUUCCAGUUCUGACAACAUGAUUUUCUUUCCUGAACAACCAUGUUAUAUUUGAUCAAGAAAGAGUAGUGCAUGUGGCCAGGAUCAAGACAUACAUUAAUUUCCACAUGAUGAAGACAGUUUCUGAGAGUUUCUUCUAAAGCUCUUGCGCUAGUAGGCUUCAAGUCAAAAUUUCCCAUGUAAACACUGGAUUUUCUUUAAUUGCCACUAAGGAUACAGUUAAAAUUGACUUAAAAUCCUACGUGAUAUAUAUCUUUAACAAAAGUAUAUUGUAUAUAAUAUUUGAAAUAAUGUUGAUUCGUUGUGGAAAUAUGUUUGUAAGGAAAGUUGUUGACAAUUUAAUAUAGUAUAAGAAGAAAAAAGUUAUCAACUAGAGAUGAGUAUGUAAAGUGAGGCUCACGAUUCAACGCGUAAAUAUAAGAUAUUUUAAGGCUCAAUAGUUAUGAUAUCUAUUUUAUUUUUUGUAUCCCAUAUAUUCAAAGAUACAGUAAAAUGAUUUUAUAUAUAUGAACAUAGCCGAUAGUAUCAUGUUAAAACCUUAUAUGACUCUUUGUGCCAAUUGAUUUUUAUCUUUAUUUUGUGUAUUAGUAAUUAGUAUUAAAGUUUUUACUAACAUAAUAAUUGAUAUAAAAGCUUUUUCCAAAAGAGUCAAACAGAGCAAAACACUUAUUAUAAAAAGAAUUUUGAUUGAAGGUGGAGUCAAUUAUUCUUUAUUCAACAUGUGAUGCAUACAGCGGGUACUUCAUAACUAAAGUAUAUAAGUGCAACAUCUCUUAUACAUUCUCAUUCAAUCUCGAAAGUGGAAAAUUUUAAAAGAUUAAAUGGUUCAAAUUUUCCGUGCAUAAAGGGGAUCAUGUCACAUAACCAAACCAUGGCAUACCAAAGCCAUGAUAUGGACUAAGAAUUUUGUUAAAAUAAGUUUCUUAUUAGGGCACAUUAUGUGACUAUUUAUGACAUAUCAAAGGAGUCAAGUGCAUCAAUAAAGACAUAGAAAAUUCAUGCAUCACAUGUACCACUAAGAGAAAAUUGACUUGAUAGAGUUUAGUCCAAAUAGGAGAUUGUUAAAAGGUGCAUCAAAUUCUUGAUUGAUAUAUAUUUUUUUUAUUAGAAAGGUUAUUAUAUAGAUAUUUCAAUAGACUAUUAAUCCUUUGUAAAAAUAGUUAUAUAAUGAGGAUGGUGAUUAAAAAUAUCUCUAUCAAUAUUUUGGAUUAUAAAAAGAAAAAAAAUAUGAGAAAAUGAUAAACAUAUAAAACUUGUACAAGUAGAUAGAGAUGUGAUGAAAGACACUUGAUGAAUGGAGGCCUUGUAUUUCAAGAUGUAAAUAUAUGGAGCAAAACUCUUAAUUAUAUGAUCAAAUGAUUCUCUCAUAUUCAUGAACAUAAGCAGGAUUGGGGAACCAUGAUAGAAUCUUAUAUGCCUCUCCAUGUAGAUUGAUCGAUGUUUAUCUUCAUAUUUUACACCAAUGAAUGACAUUGAAACUCUGAUUGAUAAAAGGGAAAAAGCAUGGCCUCCACCACAAGAAAAACAAGUAACCUCGGUCUAAAUCACUAGUCUACACCCCGAAGAGAGAACUAGCCAAACCUACUAAAAGAGAAACUUACCAAUUUAGAAAGAAAUCUUCCAUGAUAAAGGGCCCCUAAAAGUCCAAUUCAGUCAGGUUGUGAACAAAAACACCUUCAUGUCAAAACAGGAAUAGGUACCACCAAAAUGUAAAGGGAAAGAUGUAAACCAAGUCGAACUUUGGUAAACAAUGGUAAAGAUAGCAUGAUAGCUAAAAGCACUAAAGCUGUGCUUGGUAUGCAAAAAUGAAAAGUGGAAAUCAGCGUCUUAUUCUUUUUCUCCUUUAUUCACAUAUUAGGAUAACUAAUAUCUAAUGUUUUUUUUAUGUCUCAAAUUCUAUUCCAUGUUAUGGUAAACUUUCAUCUUGUUUAAGUGGAAGAGUAGGAUCACUUUUGUCUGGUUUGGGCUCAAGACGAUAAGCCUAUAGAGACUUCAUAUUGGGUUGAAUUGAUGCCCUUGAUCCGAUCAGUUCGUUAGAAAAAUCUGAAUUAUUAUAAGCAUUUAGAUAAAAUAAAUAAAUAAAUGUGAAACAGAGACUAUUCUCUGCACAACCUUGACCCUAGUUACUCAGUUUCACUGCUCACGGGACUAACCUCUCCAUUCAGUCGAAAUGAAUUGUAAUUUCUUUACUGGUAGCAGUAGUACUUUUCAUAGCAAAGAUAAUAGUAAAUAUGAAAUAUAAAUAUAUAGAAGGAAAUCUGGAUUGUAGAUAGCACCAUAAGUAACACUCAAUAUUUACUACAUAAUAAAAGAGAUAGUGUUACAAAGGUAGAGAAACCUACAAUGAGUACUCAUCACCAUUCUCAAACAGAAACAUAGCAGUGACUUAUACAUAGAACCUAUAGGCUCGCAGGGAAAGAGUAACAUGAUAAGUGCACAGCGGGUAGCAGCUCUUAUUUUACGUAUUACUCAAAAUCUCAAACUAACCAAAGUCACUCAGUUGGGAUGGGUAGGAGAUGGUGGUUUGUGGGGUGGCUUCUGGGUAGGAGCUGGUGGCUUCUUUGUUGGAGUUGAAGGAGGCGUAAUCUUCUGAGGUGGCUUGUAUGAGUCUUUGGCACUCUCUGCAGGAGGGUGCCCAGGGUUGUGACCGGAAGGAGGUGGCUUCUGUCCCUUUGGUGGUUUGCCUAAUGGGCUUGGUGGCUUGUGCUCCGGGAGUUGUUUCUCUCCCUCGAGUAGGUUUCGAGUUUUGUCAGAUGGCUUGUGUUCUGGUGGUGGCUUCUCUCCCUGGGGUGGUUUGCCGAAUGGGCUUGGUGGCUUGUGUUCGGGGAGUGGCUUCUCUCCCUUGGCAGGUUCAGUUGGUGGCUGGUGCUCCGUAGGUGGUUUCUUCACCGCCGGCUUCUCUCCCUGGAGAAGGUUACGAGUUUUGUCAGAUGGCUUCUGUUCUGGUGGCGGCUUCUCUCCCUGGGGUGGUUUGCCAAAUGGGCUUGGUGGCUUGUGUUCGGGAACUGGCUUCUCUCCCUUGGCAGGUUCAGUUAGUGGCUGGUGUUCCGUAGGUGGUUUCUUCACCGGCGGCUUGUGCUCCGGAAGCGGCUUCUCUACCUGGAGAAGCUUACGAGUUUUGUCAGAUGGCUUGUGUUGUGGUGGUGGCUUCUCUCCCUGGGGUGGUUUGCCAAAUGGACUUGGUGGCUUGUGUUCGGGGAGUGGCUUCUCUCCAUUGGGAGGUUUAGUUGGUGGUUGGUGUUCCGUAGGUGGUUUCUGAAGUGGGGGAUGCUUGGGGUAGUCAGCAAGAGACGAGGUAGUGAGAACCACCAGUCCCAGCAGCAAUACUAGCAAGGAUGUGGAAGACAUCUUUGAGUUCAGGCUGAGAUUUGUGCAAGGCUAGAAGAAUUAGGUGGCCUUUUAUAGCGGGCUGGACCCAACAACCAAAUGACACGUAUCAUGAUACACAUAUGUGUUAUAAGAUCCUUGUGGGUCCUACAGAAGUUGAAAACUUUGACAAUUGAGGUGUGAUUACAACUUUUGUCCCUAUUGCUUUCUCGUCAGCCGUUUUGCAAGAUUUUUGACAGGAGGACGGUAGUUUAAAAUAAUAAUUUCUAAAGUACUUUUGUGAAAAAAAAUAAUUCCAAACGUGGAUUUUAUCAAGUAAAAAAAACAAAAAAAAGUUAUUUUCUUUUAAAAUCUUUUCUUCAUGAUUCAUAUACCAAAAAAAGAAUUGUUUUCUGUAGGUAAAAUUUUUAAAAUUCAUUUUUAAAAAAAAAAAAUUACACACUAAAAUUAUCUCUUCAAGAAAAUAUUUUUUAAAUUUUAAAUAAUUAUUAAUUUAUAAUUAAUUUUUUAUUAAUUAUUUAUUAAAUUUAUAUGUGAAAAAUGCAUUUAUAAAAAACAAAUUUUUUAUUAAUUUAUUAAAUAAUUAUUUACAAAAUAAAUAAUUUUGCUUUAUUUUAAUUUUAAAAUUAAUUUUAUUAUAUAAAUUUUAAAAUUAAAAAUAUUAAUAUUUAAUUUAAAAUUUAACUAUAAAAGGAAUAAAAUAUAGAAAAAUAAAUUAAUUUAUUAUUCAAUAAAUUAAUUUUCAAUAAAAUUUUCAGCAUUAAGAGAUAAAUUUUUAAGUAUUAAUCAAUUUAAAAAAUAAUAAUAAUCAUUUGUAUACUAAGAUAUUUUAUUUAGUAAUUAUGAAUGAUAAACAACUAAAGUAAUUUGAAAAAAUAAUAAAAUAUUUAAAAAUAAUAAUUUAAUACACUUAAAAUUAGAAAUGAUUAACUAUUUUUUAUUAAGAAAAAAUUGAAGAAAUAUUUUGUUAUUUAAAAUUUUUUAUUUGUUUUCAAUUUUAAAUGUUAUAGGUUUCAAGAAAAUUGAUCAAAUAAAAAUUAAGAAGUCAUUUUUUCAAAAACUAUAUAUCUAAAUAAAAGCCUUGAAAUUCAAAUACACAAUAUCAUAAAUAUAAACACCAAGUCAAUCCUUAAUUAUCAAAUGUUUUUAAUAUUAAAGAAUCAAAAUCACCUACUAUCAUGAUAAUAAGAAAACCAAUAAUAUUGUUCAUAUAAAUACUAAAAAGCUAACAAAUAUCCCAAACAAUUAAUAAAGUAUCAAACAUGAUAAAAAGUCAAUUAUUAUCAUGAAUGCAAAAAAUCAAUAAUUUUGUUUAUAUGAACCAUCAACAAAGAAAAAAAAAAUCAAUAUCUAAAUAUUAAACAUAAUUUAUAUUUUUAUAAAUAUUAUUGUUGAUAAAUAUCUUAAUAAUUAUAAUUUUUUAUAUAUUAAAUUUAGUAAAUAAAAUUAAUUAAUUUUAUAAUAUAAGAUAUAUAUAAUAAUUAAGAGACUAUUUGUCCCAAACAAUUUAUUUAUUUUUUUUUUAGGAAAUUGUCUCUUCAAGAGACGACUUCUCCCAACAUUUUUAAAAAAAAAAAAAAAAACAUCUAUUCAAAAGACGAUUUCUCCUCAUUUUUUAAAAAUGAAUUUUAGAAAUCAUAUUUUCAAAAAUGAAUUUUAGAAAUCAUAUUUUCAAAAGACGAUUUUUUUUUAUAUAAAUUAUUUUUUAAAAUGACGAUUUUAAAAGGAAAUAACGAUCUCUCUCCUACUUGGCAAAAACUAUGGUAAAUUUGGAAUUAUUUCUUCCACAACCAUAGUUUAAGAAUUAUUUUUUUAUACUUUCGUAGACUUAUCAAAAAUCCCUAUUUUGCAUGUCUCAUUUGGCAUGACUUUCUUACCUAAACAAGCAUAUAUAUAUAUAUAUAUAUAUAUAUCACUUUUGUCUGGGUUGAGUCAAUGCCCUUAACUAAUUUGUUCAUUUGAAUAGUCUAAAUUAUUAUAAGCUUUUAGUUAAGAAAAAUGUGAAACAUAAAUUACACCUCUCGGCACAACUUCGACACUGGUUACUCUGUUUCAGUUUAUUCACACAAGAUUAUUGGUUCUAGGGUUUAUUUGGUUUUGGUUUGAUUCUAAUUGCUAAACUUUCUCAAGGAAGAUGUUAUAUAGGGAGUGAGAAACCUUCACUCCUGGCUACCUCCAAGAGAAGAGCAAGUGGUCUGAAUCAAAGAUAUACUGCUCACUUUUUCUUCUUCUAAGGACAGCUAUGACCUUGCUUUAAAAUGUUCGAAUAGCCUAAUGCAACCUCCCAUUUCUCAAGUCAGCUGAUGAUGUAAGUCACCUUGGCUUUCCACAUUCAUACGGUGAGGACGUUUGUGGGUGUAAUUCUCUUAACAGUUUUCAUUUUAUAUGGAAAAAUUCAUAAUUAAGGGUAAUUACUGAUUCCAUUUGACAGUGACCAAGUUUAAAAUAUUAACUCAUGUAUUAAAUGCACAUUAAAAAAUCAUGGAAUAAAUAUAUUUACUAAUAUAUAGUUCUUUUGUCAUGUUCUGUCACAGAAGCAUCGAACUUUCCCUAGAAAUUUUUGCAUGGUAUUCUGCUUAUGAUUUUGAAAACUCUAGGCACCUAAGGCCACUGAUUGCAUGGUUGGAUGAGGAGCUGCAUGAGAUUAUGUAUCCUGUUGCUCCUUAACUACAAAUAUCAGUUUUAAGUAGCAUCUCCAUGUGACAUUUUCCUGAUGCAAUUUCGCUGUCCACCAACAAAUGUCUCCAUGCAGCUAGAUGAAUUGUAAUUUCUUUGUUGUUAUCAACAGCUUUAAUUAAUCUUGAUAUAUAUAUAACUUAGUAGAAGUAAUUAAUCUAGAUUGUAGUUGCACUAAGAUAAUAGGCAAUAUUAUAACAGUGCCACAAUGCUCAUCGCCAAAUAGAAAGGUAGAAAAACUACAAUGAGUAACUCACACAACAUUCUCAAACAGGACAUAGCGGCGACUGAUACAUAGAACACUAUUGGCACUCAGGAAAUGAUAAGAUCAGUGCCCAGCAGGCAGCACGUCUUAUUUUACAUACUACUUAAAACUAACCAAAGUCAUUCAGUUGGGAUGGGUGGGAGAUGGUGGUUUGUGCGGUGGCUUCUUUCCUGGAACUGGUGGUUUUUUUGUUGGAGUUGAAGGAGGCUUAAUCGUCUGAGGUGGCUUGUAUGAGUCUUCAGCACUCUCUGCAAGAGGGUGCCCAGGGUUGUGACCAUAAUGAGGUGGCUUCUCUCCCUUAGGUGGUUUGCCAAGUGGGCUGGCUGGCUUGUGCUCCGGGAGCGGCUUCUCUCCCUUAGGUGGUUUGCCAAAUGGGCUUGCUGGCUUGUGCUCUGGGAGCGGCUUCUCUCCCCCAAGAAGUUUGCGGGUUUUGUCAGAUGGCUUGUGUUCUGGUGGUGGCUUCUCUCCUUGGGGUGGUUUGCCAAAUGGACUUGGUGGCUUGUGUUCGGGGAGUGGCUCCUCUCCCUUGGGAGGUUUAGUUGGUGGCUGGUGUUCCGUAG
rnacentral:lncRNA from 1 species